GACUUGAUUUCCUAAGGCACGACAACAAAAUAUUUUCUAGCUGAGAAAACUGUAUUGAUGGACCCUACCUGAGCUAGACUAAUGAAUGGUGUGUCUCACCUUCAUCGAGGGUCAUGGUGUCUACCCUGACUAGUAAAACUAUAGUACCAGAAUAAACAUAGAUGUGUAUGGAGGCAAAUUAGAUAUUUAGUCAUUUUCAUACAUCUUACAAAAACUAAUCCGUAGGAAGUUUUGUCAUUUUUUUUGGGCUCAACGCUGUGCAGAAUAUGGAAACCUUUUUUACACGACUCACAUGUACUAAAUUAAAGCAUAAAACAACCUCUACAUAUAAAAAAACCUCUAUAUAAGCAGGUAAGUUUUGUUCAUUAUUUGCAGAUCUGUUUUAUUUUUUUGAACAUUUUCUAAAAUUUAAUUUUUUUCAAAUUCGUGAAUAAGAUUUGAAUACAUGAUCAUUUUUUUUAACAUCAUGAGUAUUUUUUUUGCGAACAUUUUUUCAAAAUCUUGAUUUUUUUAUAAAUGCAAACAUUUUUUAAAAAUACUGGACAUUUUAUAAUUUUCCAGGCAUUUUUUGAAUUCAUGAAAAUUUUAUGAUUUCGCAAAAACAAUGUGAACAGUUUUUUAAAAUACUGCACAUUUUAUUAUUUCCUAAACAUUUUAUGAAUUCAUGAACCUUUUAUGAUUUCUCCAAUAAAAUCCAAAACUGACAACUUUUGGAAAUCCCGAAUUAAUUUGAAGAAGGAAAAAUAGAAACAGGAAAAGAAAAAAGGGCCAUGUCAUGAGUAAAUUUUUUUUUUUUUGCGAACAUGUCGGUGUACAAAAGUAGGGGCUCUCCUUUUAACCCUUUACUUGUGCACGGGUAGUCAGAGUCGCGCCCGCGGCCACACUUAACAAGGCAGAGAAGGGAAGCAGGAGGGAAACUGAAGCACAAGACAAACAAGGCAACGCCAAGACCAAAGACACAAAGAGCAAAGGGGCAAGGUGGACUCCCCCGGCAAGACCCUUGCCGGGGCGACCUCCGCGGCCCUGGCAAGAGCCUUGCCGGGGCAACUUGCCCAACACCAGCAGGGCGAGCCACCCUUGAGCCCAGGAGUUCCAAACACCGCCAACAAUUACAUUGGAACCAAGGCUUGGGAGGCGCCUCUGUGGUGGCAUGCAGAUCUUUGUCAAGAUCAUGAACACAUGAGAUCAGAUGAGGACCAGAAGACGAUGGUCCCCGGCGGGAUCCUAGCCGAGGAAAUCCAUGAGACCCCCGGCGAGACGCUUGCCGGGGAAGACUGCAAUGCCGCGGCAAGACCCUUGCCGGGCCCCCGGCAAGGCCCUUGCCGAAGACGCUUACAGGGCCGCGGCCAGGCCCGCAUCUGCCAAGGCUCCAUUGCCGUCCCCAUGCAGCUGCCAGCUCAACCAGCUGAGCAGGCACCUGCGUGGCGACGGGCGGCCUCCAUGACUGACUCAGCAAGCACCUGCGUGGUGGCAUGCAAGUCUUCAUGAAGGCUCCACCACCGUGCCAGCCCAGCAGCCAGCCAACGUGGCACCCCAACGCCUCAUCAGCUCGGAUGCGUGCCGGAGCCAGGCGAGGCGGCUACAGCUGGGACGUGCUUCCUUUCCGUCCCCGAUAAAGCGAGAGGGGCACGUCGGCAGCGUAUUAUAUGCGUUUGUCCAACGGGGCCAGAGGAUAGACUCAUCCACUGUAGACCUUUCCACCUCCUGUGUGCCACUGUGGCAACCCUUUUUUCCUAUAAAAAGAGGCCCGAGGCGACCAGGAGGGGGAUUCGGAUAUUUUGGGCAAAUCACACCCCGUAGCUAGCUCAAGAACACUCAAUACAUCCACCAAAGCAGGACUAGGGUUUUACGCAUCCUCGCGGCCCGAACCUGGGUAAACGAUCUGUGUGCUUCCUGUCAGACCCGCUCUUUUCACAACCCCGCGCCCGCCAACCGUAGAAGGGAUCCCAGUGAUCCCAUAGGUGUCGUUUCCACCGACAUCUUUGGCGCGCCAGGUAGGGGGAGGCACAGUUGUGAUGACCCGGUCUAGCGGUUAGCCUAGCAGUUCUUCAUCGCCAUGGCUCCCAAGAAGAAGAUGAUCACGGUGAUCGGUUCAUCCGGAGCCGGACGGCCCGUACCGGUGCGGGCGAGCAGCGGACCGGUCGCGGACAGAACCCGAGGCCCGGCCCGCGAGCACCAACAUCGCUCUGGCAGUCAGAGCCUGGCGAGCGGCGUCGUUCGUGCGCAAGACGACGGGCCGCAUGUCGCCGAACCCCAGGACGGAGCUAGGCCCCGCGCAGGCAGCGCGGGGCCCUCCAGGGGCGGUGUCGUGCCACCCACGGGCGGCGCGGCGACCUCCAAGACGCCUACACCAGCGCCCACAGUGCGCUCUUCCCAGGGUGUGCGCGACGAGCAGCGUCACCACGCUGGUGACCCCGGACGCCGCCGUGGGAAGUAUCUUGUGCAUCAUUUGCGGGACGAAGGAGGCCAGCAUGCCCGCCGAAGUGCUGGCGAAAAUGGCGCACAGCCGCCGGGCCGUGAUAGAGCUCCUUCUAACGUGGUUAGAAAUCGGAGCGCGCCACGGUCCACGCAGCUUUCGCUGCCACCCACGCUAGCGGAAGCUUUGGCGCGUGCGCAGCUGCUCCUCGACUUCCCUCCCGCCGCAGAAAAGCUCGACGAGUGGAGAGCCACCAUCCGGAGCCUCGUCGGCGUCGCCAACAAAGACGAGCCACGGCCAGCGGGGCCCUCAGGCCGACGCUCCGUCGAGCCACCACACGCCAGCGGUGGAGGGGCCGGGGGUGCUGCGGCCACGGUGCACUCUCCUCCUCCACGCCAGCCGCCACGGGUGUCGAUCCGUCAUGAUGACACUUGCGAUAGUAUUUCCAUAGCGUCGUCCGACCCACGGACCCACCGCGACCAGCACCAAGUUCUUCGGGAGCGAGCCCAUGAAGACGCUCGAACUACCAUCGAGCGUCGGCGCGAUACACGCCACCAGUCAGAUAGACGGGCGGGGCCUGCUAUGGACCACCCAACACCGGGAGGCUCCAGCAGCCUACCUUACGAGGUGGGCUGCCCAGCCUAGUUCCAGUGGCCGUCCCACCACACGUUCAAGCCCGACGUCGGCGAGAAGUACAACGGCAAGACCCAUCCGUCAGAGUUCCUCGGCAUCUACACCAUGCGAUGCAAGCCGCUGGAGCUCGUGACGACAAGGUGCUUGCCAAUUACUUCCCGUUGGCCCUGAAACCCAAUGUCAUGUCUUGGUUGAUGAACUUGCCGGCAGAUUCCAUUUCUUCUUGGUCGGACCUGUGUCAUGAGUUCGUUGGUGCCUUCACUGGAGGCCACCAAGCUCAUGGCCAGGCGAGUGAUUUGCAUAUCAUUCCCCAGAAGGAAGGUGAAAACAUGCGCAAGUACAUACAGAGGUUCAGCCGAGUGUAAUACAACAUCCCAGAUGUUCAUCCCGCUGCCGUGAUCAUCGCAUUCCAUCAGAAUGUGCGUAACCGCAAGAUGCGUGAAGAGCUGGCGAUGAACAAGGUCAAGUAUGUGGCCGAACUUUACGUUCUGGCCGAUAGAUGCGCUCAGACUGAAGAGGGGAGGAAGUACCCCGGCGCGGAAACCGACUCUACCGACGAGGACACCGCCGCCCCGACGAAGAAGGGUCGGCAUCGCAACAGGAAACGCAAGGGCAAGGCCGUGCUUGCCGUCGAGGGAUUCGACGACACCGGCACCGCCAAGAAGGCCAAGGCAGACAACCCCGGCAAGGAGAUUGCCGGGUGCGCCGCUUGCCGGGCCUUGGCGGCUGCCGACAAGCCAGGGGGCUCCGACAAGCAGUAUUGCAAGAUCCACCACACCAAGGGCCACGACCUCCAGAACUGCCGGCAAGUUGAGCUGCUUGCUGAAAAGCAAAAAGCCGAGUAUGAGAGGCGGGACAAGGAGAAGGGUCAGGAUGGUGCUGAAGGAUCCGGCAAGAAGCACGGCGGCCAAGGAGGCCGCGGCGGCAAGGAUAAUCAGCAAGAGAGGCCCGCUCGGGGCCGCGACAAGAAGCAGGAAGACGAUGAUCAUGAUGAGGACGACGAGUCCGGCGAGCAUGAGUUCCAGAAGGCAACAGAGGCCAUGUGCGUCGAUGGUGGCACCUCGCUGCAUACUUCUCACCGCCAGCUCAAGCAGUGGGCGCGUGAGAUCACAGCAGCGGAGCCAUCGUUCGACGCCCAGAAGCCACUGAAGUGGUCCAGCACGCCUAUCAUCUUUGACACCAAGGACCACCCUGAUCGCACAACUGUGGUCGGGUGUUUGCUGUUGUUGGUUUUGCCAACGAUACGCAACCUUAAGGUGAACAAGAUGCUGGUCGACGGCGGGGCUGGUCUAAACUUGAUCUCACCCGUUGUGAUCAAAAGGCUGCAAAUUCCUGAUGGAGACCUCGAGGAGAUGGGCACGUUUCAAGGGGUCAACCCGGGAAGGAGCCAGCCGAAGGGUAAGAUCACGCUGCCUGUGACGUUUGGAAGCGAGUUGAACUACAGGACGGAGAGGACUGUCUUUGAUGCAGCCGAGAUCCCCUUGCCCUACAACGGGAUCCUCGGCCGCCCGGCACUAGCCAAGUUCAUGGCGGCGUCACAUUACGCCUACAACACACUGAAGAUGCCUGGGCCGAUGACCAUCAUCACCGUUCCCUGCGACAAGAAGGAUGCGCUGAUCUGCGCCGACCUACUCUACCGGGAAGCAGUUGCAGCAAUUGCCACCGAGGCACUUACUCCUGCCGCUGGAGCCCCGGGAGGGAAGAAGAAGACCGGCAAGACCUCUCGCACCCACUCCGACAAGCGCACCUCUUCGGAGUGUUGUGCUACCGUCGAGGACGUGCCAGAGAACACCGGCAAGAGCAAGAAAUCCAGAGAUGCACCGCCAGAGACUAAGAAGGUGUCCGUCAAGGAGGAUGGCACGGGAGGGGCUUUCACCAUAAGCUCCACCCUCGGCAGCAAAUAGGAAAGCGUGCUCGUCACUUUCCUGCGGGCGAAUGUCGAUGUGUUUGCAUGGAAAGCAUCCGACAUCCCCGGCGUUCCAGGGAAGUGAUUGAGCACCAUCUUGAUGUCUGUCCCCAUGCGCGACCCGUCAAGCAGAAGGUCAGGAAGCAAGCUUUGGAACGGCAGGAGUUCAUCACAGAGGAGAUCAGGAAGUUGGAAGCGACAGGCUUGGUGAGAGGAGUGCUCCAUCGGACAUGGUUGGCCAAUCCGGUGGUGGUGCGCAAGGCAAACGGGAAGUGGAGGCUGUGUAUCGACUACACAGAUAUCAAUAAGGCUUGUCCCAAGGACCCCUUCCCGUUGCCGCGCAUUGACCAGACUGUUGACUCCACGGCCGGGUGUGAUCUGUUAUCAUUCCUCGACGCCUGCUCGGGCUACCACCAGAUCUUCAUGACAAGAGAAGACGAAGAGAAGACAGCAUUCAUCACCCCAUGUGGUACGUAUUGCUUUUUACGGAUGCCUUUCGGGUUGAAGAGUGCUGGCUCAAUGUUUGCAAGAGCAGUCCAAAUUGGUUUUGAGCCCCAGCAACAUAGAAAUAUGGAAGCUUAUAUGGAUGACAUAGUGGUCAAAACCAAGGACAAGGCAACUCUUGUGCAAGACUUAGAAGAGACGUUUGCCAACCUGCGCAAGAUCAACCUCAAGUUGAACCCUGAGAAGUGUGUCUGGCGUUUCGUCCGGCAAACUUCUCGGGUUCUUCGUGUCAUAGUGUGGGAUCGAGGCAAAUCCAGACAAGAUCAAGGCUAUUGAGCAGAUCGAGGCGCCCAAGCGGAUCAAGGAUGUGCGUCGGCUCACUGGCUGCGUUGGCGCCAUGAGCAGAUUCAUCUCGAAGUCUGCUGAGCGUGCCCUUCCCUUUUUCAAAAUCUUGAAAAAGGCGGGCCCAAUGGAGUGGACCCCAGAGGCCGAGGCAGCGCUGCAGGAUUUGAAGAAAUACCUCUCCUCUACACCGAUACUAGUUGCGCCUAAACCACACAGUCGUUGCUGCUGUAUCUGGCGGCAACGAAUCAAGUGGUCAGCGCCGCGCUAGUGGCACAGAGGGAGGUCGACGAAGAGGCAGUGGCAAGGGCGGGGCUGGCGGAUGGCGAGCCAGAGAUUCCCCCGGCAGGGCCUGGCGCCGGCAAGGCAAGGCCCACGGCAGAGUCUGACGCCAUCGGGAUAGGUCCCGUGCAACCAAAUGAAGUGGUGCAGAGGAAGAAGAUGAUGCAGCACCUGGUUUACUUUGUCAGCUCCCUCUUGCAGGGGGCUAGGUCAUGGUACUCCGGUGUGCAGAAAUUGCUCUUCGGCCUCCUUAUGGCCUCGAGGAAGCUGCGUCAUUACUUCCAGGCACAUGAAAUCACCGUCGUCACCUGCCUCCCGUUGCAAUGGAUACUGCAUAACCCGGACGCAACCGGGAGGAUUGUGGAGUGGGCCUUGGAGCUGUCAAGCUUUGGUUUGAAGUUUGAAAGUACUUUGACAAUCCAGAGCAGAGUCUUGGCGGAGUUCAUUGCGGAAUGGACCUCAACGCCCGAUGAAGAGAUCCAGGAGACCACUCUCCCCGGCAAGGAGGCAAGUCGCAACUGGAUCAUGUACUUUGACGAGGCUUUCUCGCUGCAAGGCGCCGGUGCUGGUGUGCUGUUUGUCGCACCCACCGGAGAGCACCUCAAGUAUGUAAUCCAGAUGCACUUCCCCAUGGAGAUGUCCACAAACAACACUGCUGAAUACGAGGGGUUGCUUGCCGGUCUCAGGAUCGUGGCAGACCUCGGGGUUAAGAAGCUCAUCGUCAGGGGUGAUUCACAGCUUGUCGUCAGGCAAGUCAACGAAGAUUAUCAGAGCCCGUUUGAUGGAGGCCUGCGUAGAUGAGGUGAGGAAGCUGGAGGAGCACUUUGAUGGUAUACUAGCAGAGCAUGUUCCCCGGGCGGAGAACGACAUCGCCGACUACCUGUCGAAGCGCGCUGCCUUCAAAUUACCUGUGGAACCAGGUACUUUUGUGCUUCGGUUAACUCAACCAUCCGUUGAACCAUCGACAAAGUAGAACAAGCGGAGGAAAUCAUGCCCCGGCAAGUACUUUCCCGCCGAGCCCCCGGGGCCGCCGGCAAGGAUGUUGCCGUGGAUAUUGAGCCUGCCAAGGGGCAGCCGACUCCGACAGGGCGUCAAGCUCUAGCCGUAGAGACGGCCGCUCCCAUGGCAGAGGGAAUGCCUUUGGUCCUUGCCGUCAAGCCCCAGGCUCCGGCAUGGGCACAGCAUACCGUCCGAUUCCUCCAAACAGGGGAGCUUCCUGAGGAACAGGAAGAAGCGGAGAAAGUAGCCCGUCGGUCUGCGAUGUAUCAGUUCGUCGAUGACGUCCUGUACAGGAAAGGCCGUACGAUGUGCAAUUGAAGUGCAUUCCCCGGGAGGAAGGACUAGAGCUGUUGGCGGAGAUACAUGGAGGCAUAUGUGGCUCCCACAUAGGGUCGAGGGCCCUUGCCGGCAAGGCAUUCCGGCAAGGUUUCUUCUGGCCCACCGCCCUCCAGGAUGCAACGGCACUAGUAACCAGUGUUGGAGAUAUGCCCUAGAGGCAAUCAUGUAUGACGAUAUUUCCUAUGUGUUUAUGAAUAAAGAUAGUCCUUGGACAUUAUCAAUGAUGUGUAUCAGCAAGUACGUGACUUGUUUGUGGGACUAUGCAUUGUAUGAUGACUGUCCUAAAAGGUCCCUAGUCGAAAGGGCUGUGUGGACGCGCAGCCGACUAGACUAGCAUAUGACACGGUCAAUGGCUUGGUCUCACUAGCCAUGGAGCAUUGGAUGCUAACCGGAUAAUAUGGACUUGGAAAGGUCUGGUCGGAUUCGACGUAGUCGGAUCCGAGUCGAGAUAAGGUCCGAGUCGGACAGACCCAACUAUGAGACGCAACGAUAUGUCAUAUGUGAGUCUCUAGUACAACAUAUGUUCUAUGUCCUAAGACCUGAGCUGAAACAUGUACUCCAGAUGGUGACAGACUUGCUUUGGGCCGACCAAACGCUACUCCGUGACUGGGUAGUGCUACCUCUUGAGCACUGUGUUGGUUUUCCCUUGAAGAGGAAAGGGUGAUGUAGCAAAGUAGCGUAAGUAUUUCCCUCAGUUUUUGAGAACCAAGGUAUCAAUCCAGUAGGAGGCCACGCACGAGUCCCUCGCACCUACACAAACAAAUAAAUCCUCGCAACCACCGCGAUAAGGGGUUGUCAAUCCCUACACGGUCACUUACGAGAGUGAGAUCUGAUAGAUAUAAUAGGAUAAUAUUUUUGGUAUUUUUAUGAUAAAGAUGCAAAGUAAAAUAAAAGCAAAAUAAAAAGCAACGGAAAUAGCUAAGUGUUGGAAGAUUAAUAUGAUGGAAAAUAGACCCGGGGGCCAUAUGUUUCACUAGUGGCUUCUCUCGAGAGGAUAAGUAUUACGGUGGGUGAACAAAUUACUGUUGAGCAAUUGACAGAAUUGAGCAUAGUUAUGAGAAUAUCUAGGUAUGAUCAUGUAUAUAGGCAUCACGUCCGAGACAAGUAGACCGACUCCUGCCUGCAUCUACUACUAUUACUCCACACAUAGACCGCUAUCCAGCAUGCAUCUAGAGUAUUAAGUUCAUAAGAACAGAGUAACACUUUAAGCAAGAUGACAUGAUGUAGAGGGAUAAACUCAUGUAAUAUGAUAUAAACCCCAUCUUGUUAUCCUCGAUGGCAACAAUACAAUACGUGCCUUGCUGCCCCUACUGUCACUGGGAAAGGACACCGCAAGAUUGAACCCAAAGCUAAGCACUUCUCCCAUUGCAAGAAAGAUCAAUCUAGUAGGCCAAACCAAACUGAUAAUUCGAAGAGACUUGCAAAGAUAACCAAUCAUACAUAAAAGAAUUCAGAAGAUUCAAAUAUUGUUCAUAGAUAAACUUGAUCAUAAACCCACAAUUCAUCGGUCUCAACAAACACACCGCAAAAGAAGAUUACAUCGAAUAGAUCUCCACGAGAGAGGGGGAGAACAUUGUAUUGGGAUCCAAAAAGAGAGAAGAAGCCAUCUAGCUAAUAACUAUGGACCCGAAGGUCUAAGGUAAACUACUCACACAUCAUCGGAGAGGCUAUGGUGUUGAUGUAGAAGCUCUCCAUGAUCGAUGCCCCCUCCGGCGGACCUCCGGAACAUGCCCCAAGAUGGGAUCUCACGGGUACAGAAGGUUGCGGCGGUGGAAUUAGGUUUUUGGCUCUGUAUUUGGUAGUUUGGGGGUACGUAGGUAUAUAUAGGAGGAAGGAGUACGUCGGUGGAACAACAGGGGGCCCACGAGGGUGGAGGGCGCGCCUGGGGGGGGUAGGCGUGCCCCCCUACCUCGUGGCCUCCUAGUUGAAGUCUUGGUGUAGGGUCCAAGUCCUCUGGAUCACGUUCGUUCCGAAAAUCACGUUCCUGAAUGUUUCAUUCCGUUUGGACUCCGUUUGAUAUUCUUUUUCUGUGAAACUCUGAAAUAGGCAAAAAACAGCAAUUCUGGGCUGGGCCUCCGGUUAAUAGGUUAGUCCCAAAAACAAUAUAAAAGUGUAUAAUAAAGCCCAAUAAUGUCCAAAACAGAAUAUAAUAUAGCAUGGAACAAUGAAAAAUUAUAGAUACAUUGGAGACGUAUCAGGCAUCCCCAAGCUUAAUUCCUGCUCGUCCUCGAGUAGGUAAAUGAUAAAAACAGAAUUUUUGAUGUGGGAUGCUACUUGGCAUAAUUUCAACAUAAUCCUUCUUAUUGUGGCAUGAAUGUUCAGAUUUGAUAUGAUUCAAGAUAAAAGUUUAAUGUUGACAUAAAAACAAUAAUACUUCAAGCAUACUAACUAAGCAACUAUGUCUUAUCAAAAUAACAUAGCCAAAGCAAGUUAUCCCUACAAAAUCAUAUAGUCUGGCUAUGCUCCAUCUUCCCCACACAAAAUAUUCAUAUCAUGUACGACCCCGGUUUUGGCCAAGCAAUUGGUUCAUACUUUUAACGCGCUUCAGCCUUUUCAACUCUUACGCAAUACACGAGCGCAAGCCAUGGAUAUAGCACUAUGGUGGAAUAAGGUAUAAUGGUAGGGGUUAUGUGGGAAGACAAAAAUAAGAAAGUCUCACAUCAACGAGGCUAAUUAACGGGCUAUGGAGAUGCCCAUCAAUUGAUGUUAAUGCGAGGAGUAGAGAUUUCCAUGCAACGGAUGCACUAGAGCUAUAAGUGUAUGAAAGCUCAAAAAGAAACUAAGUGGGUGUGCAUCCAACUUGCUUGCUCACGAAGACCUCGGGCAUUUGAGGAAGCCCAUCAUUGGAAUAUACAAGCCAAGUUCUAUAAUAAAAUUUCCCACUAGUAUAUGAAAGUAACAAAAUGAGAGACUCUCUAUUAUGAAGAUCACGGUGCUACUUUGAAGCACAAGUGUGGUAAAAGGAUAGUAACAUUGUCCCUUCUCUCUUUUUCUCUCACCAAUUUUUUUAUUUGGGCCUUUUCUCUCUUUUUUAUGGCCUCUUUUUUUAUUUAAGUUCGGAGUCUCAUCCCGACUUGUGGGGGAAUCAUAGUCUCCAUCAUCCUUUCCUCACUUGGGACAAUGCUCUAAUAAUGAUGAUCAUCACACUUUUAUUUACUUACAACUCAUGAAUUACAACUCAAUACUUAGAACAAAAUAUGACUCUAUAUGAAUGCCUCCGGCAGUGUACCGGGAUAUGCAAUGAAUCAAGAGCGACAUGUAUGAAAGAAUUAUGAAUGGUGGCUUUGCCACAAAUACAAUGUCAACUACAUGAUCAUGCAAAGCAAUAUGACAAUGAUGGAGUAUGUCAUGAUAAAUGAAACGGUGGAAAGUUGCAUGGCAAUGUAUCUCAGAAUGGCUAUGGAAAUGCCAUGAUAGGUAGGUAUGGUGGCUGUUUUGAGGAAGAUAUAAGGAGGUUUAUGUGUGAUAGAGCAUAUCAUAUCACGGGGUUUGGAUGAACCGGCGAAGUUUGCACCAACUCUCAAGGUGAGAAAGGGCAAUGCGCGGUACCGAAGAGGCUAGAAAAUUGCGGAAAGGUAAGUGUGCGUAUAAUCCAUGGACUUACAUUAGUCAUAAAGAACUCAUAUACUUAUUGCAAAAAUUUACUAGCCCUCGAAGCAAAGUACUACUACGCAUGCUCCUAGGGGAAGGGUUGGUAGGAGUUAACCAUCGCGCGAUCCCGACCGCCACACAAAGGAAGACAAUCAACAAAUACUUCAUGCUCUGACUUCGUUACAUAACGGUUCACCAUACGUGCAUGCUACGGGAAUCACAAACUCCAACACAUGUAUUUUUCAAUUCCACAAUUACUCAACUAGCACAACUAUGAUAUUACUACAUUUAUAUCUCAAAACAAUUAUCAAGCAUCAAUUUUCUAUGAUAUUAAUUAAAGCAAUUUGCCAUGCUAUUUAAAGACUCUCAAAAUAAUAUAAGUGAAGCAUGAGAGAUCAAUAGUUUCUAUAAAACAAAUCCACCACCGUGCUCUAAAAGAUAUAAGUGAAGCGCUAGAGCAAAAACUAUAUAGCUCAAAAAAUAUAAGUGAAGCACAUAGAGUAUUCUAAUAAAUUCCGAAUCAAGUGUGACUCUCUCAAAAGGUGUGUUCAGCAAGGAUGAUUGUGGUAAACUAACAAAUAAAGUCUCAAAUAAUACAAGAAGCUCCAAGCAAAACACAUAUCAUGCGGUGAAUAAAAAUAUAGCUCCAAGUAAAGUUACCGAUGGAAGUAGACGAAAGAGGGGAUGCCUUCCGGGGCAUCCCCAAGCUUUGGCUUUUAGGUGUCCUUAGAUAAUCUUGGGGUGCCAUGGGCAUACCCAAGCUUAGGCUCUUGCCACUCCUUGUUCCAUAAUCCAUCAAACCUUUUACCCAAAACUUGAAAACUUCACAACACAAAACUUAGCAGAAAAUCUCGUGAGCUCCGUUAGCGAAAGAAAACAAAAGACCACUUCAAGGUACUGUAAUGAAGUCAUUAUUUAUUUAUAUUGGUGUUAAACCUACUGUAUUCCAACUUCUCUAUGGUUUAUAAACUAUUUUACUAGCCAUAGAUUCAUCAAAAUAAGCAAACAACACACGAAAAACAGAAUCUGUCAAAAACAGAACAGUCUGUAGUAAUCUGUAACUAACGCAAACUUCUGGAACUUCAAAAAUUCAGCCAAAAUAGGAAGACCUAGACAAUUUGUUUAUUGAUCAGCAGCAAUUGGAAUCAAUAUUUUAUCACGUUCUGGUGAUUUUUAACAAUUAUUUUCGUGAACAGAAAGUUUCUGGAAUUUUCAGCAAGAUCAAAUAACUAUCAUCCAAGAAGAUCCUAUAGGUUAAACUUGGCACAAACACUAAUUAAAACAUAAAAACACAUCUAACCAGAGGCUAGAUCAAAUAUUUAUUCCUAAACAGAAGAAAAAAGCAAAAAACUAAAAAUAAAAUUGGGUUGCCUCCCAACAAGCGCUAUCGUUUAACGCCCCUAGCUAGGCAUAAAAGCAAGGAUAGAUCUAGGUAUUGCCAUCUUGGGUAGGCAAUCCAUAAGUGGCUCUCAUAAUAGAUUCAUAAGGUAAUUUUAUUUUCUUUCUAGGGAAGUGUUCCAUGCCUUUAUUUAAUGGAAAUUGGAACCUAAUAUUCCUUCCUUCAUAUCAAUAAUUGCACCAAUCGUUCUAAGGAAAGGUCUACCAAGAAUAAUGGGACAUGAAGGAUUGCAAUCUAUGUCAAGAACAAUAAAAUCUACGGGCACUAGUUCCUAUUUGAAACAAUAAGAACAUCAUUGAUUCUUCCCGUAGGUUUCUUAAUGGUGGAAUCCGCAAGGUGCAAGUUCAAAGAGCAAUCAUCAAAAUCACGGAAACCUAGCAAAUCGCACAAAGUCUUUGGAAUCGUGGAAACACUAGCACCCAAAUCACACAAAGCAUAGCAUUCAUGAUCUUUAAUUUUAAUUUUAAUAGUAGGUUCCCACUCAUCAUAAAGUUUUCUAGGGAUAGAAACUUCCAACUCAAGUUUUUCUUCAUAAGAUUGCAUCAAAGCAUCAACGAUAUGUUUGGUAAAAGCUUUAUUUUGGCUAUAAGCAUGAGGAGAAUUUAGCACGGAUUGCAACAAGGAAAUACAAUCUAUCAAAGAGCAGCUAUCAUAAAUAAAUUCCUUGAAAUCCAAAAUAGUGGGUUCAUUAAUAUCUAAUGUUUUGAUCUCUUCAAUCCCACUUUUAUCAAUUUUAGCAUCAAGAUCUAAAAACUCAGCAUUUCUAGAAAGCCUUCUAGGUAAAGGUGGAUCAUAUUCAGUCCCAUCAUUAUCAAGAUUCAUAUUUCAAAACAAAGAUUUAAUAGGAGACACAUCAAUAACUUUUAGAUCUUCAUCUUUGUUUUCAUAAAAAUUAGAAGAACACGCUUUUAUAAAGCAAUCUUUCUUAGCACGCAUCCUAGCGGUUCUUUCUUUACACUCAUCAAUGGAAAUUCUCUUGGCCUUGAGAGACUCAUUGAUAUCAUGCUUAGGUGGAAUAGAUCUAAGUUUCAAAGAAUCAACAUCAAGAGAAAUUCUAUCAACGUUCCUAGCCAAUUCAUCAACUUUAAGCAAUUUUUCUUCAAGCAAAGCAUUGAAAUUCUUUUGCGAAUUCAUAAAUUCCUUAACACUAGUCUCAAAUUCAGAAGGCAUCUUAUUAAAAUUUCCAUAAGAAUUGUUGUAGGAAUUACCAUAAUUAUUAGAGGAAUUACUAGGAUAAGGCCUAGGAUUAAAGUUUUCUCUAUACGCGUUAUUACCAAAAUUAUUCCUACCAACAAAAUUCACAUCCAAAAAUUCAUUAUUAUUCUCAAUAAAAGUAGACAAAGGCAUAUCAUUAGGAUCAGAAGAAACACUUUUAUUAGCAAAUAGUUUCAUAAGUUCAUCCAUCUUUCCACUCAAAACAUUAAUUUCUUCUAUCGCAUGCACUUUUUUAUUAGUAGAUCUUUCAGUGCGCCAUUGAGAAUAAUUAACCAUAAUAUUAUCUAGGAGUUUAGUAGCUUCUCCUAAAGUGAUUUCCAUAAAAGUGCCUCCCGCGGCCGAAUCUAAAAGAUUUCUAGAAGCAAAAUUCAAUCCGGCAUAGAAAUUUUGUAUAAUCAUCCAUAAAUUCAAACCAUGCGUAGGGCAAUUAUGUAUCAUUAAUUUCAUCCUCUCCCAAGCUUGUGCAACAUGUUCAUGAUCAAGUUGCUUAAAAUUCAUAAUAUCAUUUCUAAGAGAGAUGAUCUUGGCGGGAGGAAAAUACUUAGAGAUAAAAGCAUCUUUGCACUUAUUCCAAGAAUCAAUACUAUUUUUAGGCAAAGACGAAAACCAAGCUUUAGCACGAUCUCUAAGCGAAAAAGGAAAUAGCUUCAAUUUAACAAUAUCAUUGUCAACAUCUUUCUUCUUUUGCAUAUCACACAAAUCAACGAAGCUAUUUAGAUGGGUAGCGGCAUCUUCACUAGGAAGGCCGGCGAAUUGAUCUUUCAUGACAAGAUUCAACAAAGCAGUAUUGAUUUCACAAGAUUCAGUAUCGGUAAGAGGAGCAAUCGGAGUGCUAAGGAAUCAUUGUUGUUGGUAUUGGUGAAGUCACACAAUUUAGUAUUAUCUUGAGCCAUCGUGACAAGCAAGCAAUCCAACACACGAGCAAACAAGAGACGAACAAAAAGAGGCGAACGGAAAAGAGAGGGCGAAUAAAACGGCAAGGGUGAAGUGGGGGAGAGGAAAACGAGAGGCAAAUGGCAAAUAAUGUAAUGCGGGAGAUAAGGGUUUGUGAUGGGUACUUGGUAUGUUGACUUUUGCGUAGACUCCCCGGCAACGGCGCCAGAAAUCCUUCUUGCUACCUCUUGAGCACUGCGUUGGUUUUCCCUUGAAGAGGACAGGGUGAUGCAGCAAAGUAGCGUAAGUAUUUCCCUCAAUUUUUGAGAACCAAGGUAUCAAUCCAGUAGGAGGCCAUGCACGAGUCCCUCGCACCUACACAAACAAAUAAAUCCUCGCAACCAACGCGAUAAGGGGUUGUCAAUCCUUACAUGGUCACUUACAAGAGUGAGAUCAGAUAGAUAUAAUAGGAUAAUAUUUUUGGUAUUUUUAUGAUAAAGAUGCAAAGUAAAAUAAAAAGCAAUGGAAAUAGCUAAGUGUUGGAAGAUUAAUAUGAUGGAAAAUAGACCCGGGGGCCAUAGGUUUCACUAGUGGCUUCUCUCGAGAGCAUAAGUAUUUACGGUGGGUGAACAAAUUACUGUUGAGCAAUUGACAGAAUUGAGCAUAGUUAUGAGAAUAUCUAGGUAUGAUCAUGUAUAUAGGCAUCACGUCCGAGACAAGUAGACCGACUCCUGCCUGCAUCUACUACUAUUACUCCACACAUCGACCGCUAUCCAGCAUGUAUCUAGAGUAUUAAGUUCAUAAGAACAGAGUAACGCUUUAAGCAAGAUGGCAUGAUGUAGAGGGAUAAACUCAUGCAAUAUGAUAUAAACCCCAUCUUGUUAUCCUCCAUGGCAACAAUACAAUACGUGCCUUGCUGCCCCUACUGUCACUGGGAAAGGACACCGCAAGAUUGAACCCAAAGCUAAGCACUUCUCCCAUUGCAAGAAAGAUCAAUCUAGUAGGCCAAACCAAACUAAUAAUUCGAAGAGACUUGCAAAGAUAACCAAUCAUACAUAAAAGAAUUCAGAAGAUUCAAAUAUUGUUCAUAGAUAAACUUGAUCAUAAACCCACAAUUCAUCGGUCUCAACAAACACACCGCAAAAGAAGAUUACAUCGAAUAGAUCUCCAUGAGAGAGGGGGAGAACAUUGUAUUGAGAUCCAAAAAGAGAGAAGAAGCCAUCUAGCUAAUAACUAUGGACCCGAAGGUCUGAGGUAAACUACUCACACAUCAUCGGAGAGGCUAUGGUGUUGAUGUAGAAGCCCUCCUUGAUCGAUGCCCCCUCCGGCGGAGCUCCGAAACAGGCCCCAAGAUGGGAUCUCACGGGUACAGAAGGUUGCGGCGGUGGAAUUAGGUUUUUGGCUCCAUAUCUAGUAGUUUGGGGGUACGUAGGUAUAUAUAGGAGGAAGGAGUACAUCGGUGGAGCAAUAGGGGGCCCACGAGGGUGGAGGGCGCGCCUGGGGGGGUAGGCGCGCCCCCUACCUCGUGGCCUCCUGGUUGAAGUCUUGACGUAGGGUCCAAGUCCUCUGGAUCACGUUCCCGAAGGUUUCAUUCCGUUUGGACUCCAUUUGAUAUUCUUUUUCUGCGAAACUCUGAAAUAGGCAAAAAACAGCAAUUCUGGCUGGGCCUCCGUUUAAUAGGUUAGUCCCAAAAAAAUAUAAAAGUGUAUAAUAAAGCCCAAUAAUGUCCAAAACAGAAUACAAUAUAGCAUGGAACAAUAAAAAAUUAUAGAUACGUUGGAGACGUAUCAGGUAGUUACAAAGGUAGGUUUCAGGCUUGUCCAGACCCAUGUUGUGAGACAUGGUCGAGCAACAUGGGAUUUGCCCCUCCGUUCAGGAGAGAUAUACUCUGGGCCCCUCGUGUGAUCCGACCAGGAUAAGCAUGGCCAUGCGACAAGGAUUAUGAGAUAAUCCGGAUAGUGGUCGGCAUCACUGGAACGAGAAAGAGGUCGGGCUAGCACAAGGAUGACAGACUCGCCUUGAGCCCGACAACAUAUAUCGUGUGGCAAAAGGAAUGGAAGUAUGAUGUACAGUUUCGCCUAACCAGCUUCAUAGUCUGCUUGGUGUUCGGUAUGCCUUGCUAGAGGCCGCUACCAACCGUGCAGUUCGGAGGUGAUCCGAACUGCGACCAAGCCAACUUGAACCUAAGGGGUCACGCGCUUAAGGGAAGGAACCUACGAGGUCGGAUCCGAGGACACUAGUCGGAUGUGAUCCGAGCUGUAUUCGGAUUGUGGCCGAGUAGACUUAUGGGAUUUAGGGUUCGUGCGAGGCCCAAGUGUUGAGCCCGCGACGGAUGCCUAUAUAUAGUGGAGGUGCGGCACACUCAUGGAGCUGAUCGCUUCGGCGCUGUCACUAGGGUUUGCAUGUGUUGCGAAUAGACACCUCCACUUGCCGCCGGUUGUGUGAUCGGACCUAGAAGUCCGCCGCACGACGUUCCUCCUGCACGCGCGGAUACCGUUAGAGGUGGUGCACCUGCGCCGCUCCGACGAACUUGUACGUGGGACCGGACGAUCGACUGUUCGAGGGAGAUUGCACGAGGAGGAGACGAUCCACGCGGAUGCGCUGCCCCAACUCUUCUUCCGCUGCACGUCACUGCGCGUCUAGUGGUAACAAACUGUGAUCCAUCUCCCGUAGCAUGUUCUUGGUUGUUUUGCGCGUAGGAAAAUUUUAAUUUGUAGUCGACGCACCCUACCGUAGAACCCAACAGUGGUAUCAGAGCCUCUGCUAUAGGAUUUGGUUUCAGAUCGUAUGCAUAUUAGAUAUGUGGAGGCGACAAAUGAGAUCUGUUGUCGUUGAUAAGAUCGGCUAUGUGCACGGUUGAUGAGAUCAACUGCACAUGGGGAUCGAUGAGGCUAUGUUUUCUGUCAAUCAGGAUCGAUGAGGUCGUAACACGAUCUACCCCUACCGGUCGGUUAUCCGCCAGCGGGGUUAACAGUGAAACGUAAAUACGAAUCGGAUUCGCGAUGAUCGAUGAGAUCGGUCAGAUUAGAGAAUUCGGCGUGAUCGGAGUUCAGAUGUGAUCUGUGAUUUCCGAAAACGUCGGGCGCUGCCCACACCCCGCUGCCCCUGCGAACCCCGCCCGCUAACCGGCUAGCAGGACCGCCGUGUGCGUAGCGCCUUGUAUUUCGUACCCGACACACAAACCGGUAGAAUGCGAUUCUAUGCAUAACUUUCUUUUGCAGGUUUGAUGUGAAUAGUAUGGCUCAUGUGUAUGUGAUGCAUGUGUGUAAUUUAUACAUGGCCUGCGCGUCAUGUUAGUCAGCCGGCAGGAGCCAAAGUGCUGUCAUUAUAUUGUAUAACGACCUGCGUGUCGACUUGUGACUCUAUGUAAAAUUCAUUACUAGUUGUAGUAGUUGGAUAAUAGAAAUCAGGUUGGUGGCUUGGCGUCCGGGCGUGACAAACAAGAUGGAGUUCCUAGAUGGUCAUCGGAGUCGGAGUCGACCUGGAAGAACGUCCAUGAAGGAGCCAUACUAUUUCACAAUAUAUGUUUAUUUGUGAUUGUUAUGCUUCUUGUUUUCUAUGCAUGUUAGAAUGGUAGAAAGAUCCCUCAUGAAUAUCAAGCGAAUUGCCAUCCCCGAUGUUGCACCUUCGCAUGUCAAGUACGUCUAGUAGUGGGCUCAUAAAAUUGAGGUGCUGCUGGGUGUCCUUGAACUGAAGGGUUCGUGUCGGACACGGACAUGCACUGCAUCCGGUUAACUUGACAAGGCUAUCAAAACGGUUUUGGGCCUUGUGGCAAAGAAGGUUUGGGGCCGGGGUAUGAGAUACCUUCCCAACCGACAGGAGUCGUAUAGAGAUACGAUUAGCAAGUAGUUGCUUACCGGAUAGGCAUGUUGUCUAGCAGUGAUGCUAAAGCUCACUAGUCGCAUGUGCUAGUCGGAUCCUGAAUCACUGAGAGUUUGCGGAGGGAUGCCAACUUCAGUGGGAGUAUUUCUGUUUAGGCUUGAAUUACUCUACGUAAACACAUUGCUUAGUGAUUGCAUAUUUUCUAUUGUAGAUCAAUGGCACCACCUGCUCAACCCAACUUUGCAUUGAAAUCAAUUCUGGAAAAGGAUAAACUGAAUGGAACAAACUUUACCACCUGAUAUAGAAAUCUGAGAAUUGUUCUCAAGCAUGAUAAAAAGGAACAUGUUCUAGAGGAUCCACUUCCAGAGGAACCUGCCGAUAAUGCUAGUGCCACAGCUAAGAAUGCCUACCAAAAACUCAUUGAUGAAUCAACGGAGAUCAGCUGUCUAAUGCUGGCUUGUAUGGAGCCCGAUUUGCAACAUCAUUUCGAAAAUGUUGAGGCUUACGAUAUGAUCGAGAGUCUCAAGAGCAUGUUUCAGACAUAGGCUAGGACCGAAAGGUUCAACGUCUGGUGAUCCUUGAUGGAUUGCAAGCUGAAGGAAGGUGAUCCACUGAGCCCACAUGUGAUCAAGAUGAUCGGAUAUGUGCAAGCUUUGGAUCGGUUGGGCUUCCCGCUCUUGGAUGAGCUCGCUACUGAUGCAGUUCUGGGUUCUCUUCCGCCCAGCUAUGGGACGUUCAUCUUGAACUAUCAUAUGCAUGGCAUGGAUAAGAAGCUCACUGAAUUGCAUGUGAUGCUCAAAGUGGCAAAGCGAGAUAUUUAGAAAGGCACGCAUCAAGUGUUGAUGGUGUAGAAAUCGGCUAAGUUCAAGAAGAGUUGGUCUAAGAAGAAGGCUAAGGCAAAGGGCACGGAGACGGUAACCUCCGCCGCUGCGCCAAAGUCUGGACCGGACUCGAAGACCAUUUGCUACCAUUGCAAGGAAACUGGUCAUUGGAAGAGGAACUGUAGCAAGUGGCUUGCAGAGCAUGGCAAGAAGGCCGGAAAUGCUUCUUCAGGCAAAGGUACACUUGUUGCAUAUGUUAUAGACAUUUACCUUGCUCACAUACCUAGUAGCUCUUGGGUAUUUGAUACUGGAUCGGUUGUUCAUGUUUGCAACUCGAUGCAGGGGCUGGUAAGAACUAGGCGUGUGGCACAAGGGGAGAUUGAGAUCAGGGUCGGCAACAAAGCAAGAGUUGCUGCAUUGGACGUCGGCACGAUGCAGCUCCAGCUUCCUUCUGGAUUUAUUUUGGAAUUGAAUAAUUGUUAUUACAUUCCUGCACUUAGUCGGAACAUUAUUUCUGCCUCAUGUUUGAUGAGUCAGGGUUAUGAAUUCAAUUUAAAGGACAAUGGUUGUUCGUUUUAUUUGAAUGGUAUGUUCCACGGCUAUGCACCCAUUGUUGAUGGGCUAUUUAUAUUGAAUCUAGAACAGGAACCAGUCUAUAACCUGAAUGUCAAGAGGCAUAAGCCUAAUGAGAUAAAUCGGACAUACUUCUGGCAUUGCCGGCUUGGACACAUUAGUCUGAAACGCAUGAAGAAGCUCCAUGAUGAUGGGCUCCUAACUUCGUACGACUUCGGGUCGUUUGAGACAUGUGAAUCAUGCUUGCUCGGCAAGAUGACUAAGUCUCCUUUCGCAAAGAGUUGCGAGAGGGCAUCCGAGCUGUUGGAACUUAUACAUAGUGAUGUGUGUCGUCCAAUGAGCACAACUGCCAGAGGUGGCUAUCAGUACUUCGUGACUUUUACCGACGACUUGAGUAGAUAUGGAUAUAUCUAUUUGAUGAGGCACAAGUCGGAAACUUUUGAAAAGUUCAAAGAGUUUCAGACGAGGUUGAGAAUCAGCUCGGCAAGACUAUUAAACUUCUACGAUCAGAUCGUGGAGGUGAGUACAUGAGCCAGGAGUUUGAUGGUCAUCUGAAAAGCCGAGGUAUAGUACCUCAGCUCACACCUCCGGGUACGCCACAGAGAAACGGCGUGUCGGAACAGAGGAAUCAUACCUUGUUGGACAUGGUCCGGUCAAUGAUGAGCAAAUCGGAUUUACCCUUGUCAUUUUGGGGAUACGCUCUAGAAACUGCAGCUUUCACACUUAACAGGGUACCAUCAAAAUCCGUAGACAAGACACCAUAUGAUAUGUGGACCGGAAAGAGUCCCAGUUUGUCUUUUCUAAAGAUUUGGGGUUGUGAAGCAUUUGUCAAGCGACUUAUGUCAGACAAGCUUACACCCAAGUCGGAUAAAUGCAUAUUCGUGGGAUAUCCGAGGGAAACCUUGGGAUAUAGCUUGUACAACCGGGAAGAGAACAAAGUGUUUGUUGCUCGGAACGGGGUUUUCCUUGAGAAAGAGUUUCUCAGUCGGGAGGCCAGUGGAGGACAGUUCGACUCGAAGAAAUUCAAGGAGCACUCGGGGACGGCUCGACUGGUGAUGAGAUCAUACCGGAGUCAGACAAGGAACCCGUAGUGGAAGCAGCACCAGAACCACAGAGGUCGGAAAGAUUGCGCAGAGUGCGUGAUGUAUUGUUGCUAGAAAGCAACAAGCCGGCCACGUAUGCGGAAGCGAUGGUGAGCCCAGAUUCCGAGGCAUGGCUGGAGGCCAUGAGAUCCGAGUUAAAGUCCAUGGAUGAGAAUCAAGUCUGGGACUUGGUUGAUCCGUCGCCUGGCGUAACGGCCAUUGGUUGCAAAUGGGUCUUUAAGAAGAAAACCAAUGUGGAUGGAAAUGUUCAGAUCCACAAAGCUCGGCUUGUCGCUAAGGGUUAUGGACAAGUUCAAGGAAUUGACUACGAUGAGACUUACUCGCCGGUAGCGAUGCUAAAGUCGGUAAGGAUUGUACUAGCUAUAGCUGCAUAUUUCAAUUACGAGAUAUGGUAGAUGGAUGUCAAGACGGCUUUCCUUCACAGAAAUUUAACCGAGGACGUGUAUAUGAUACAGCCCGAGGGUUUUGUCGAUCCGACUAGCACUAGUAAGGUAUGCAAGCUCAAGAGAUCCAUUUAUGGGUUGAGGCAAGCAUCUCGGAGUUGGAACAUUCGUUUUGAUGAGGUCAUCACUGGUUUCGGGUUCAUCAAAAGCGAAGAGGACUCUUGUUUAUACAAGAAGUUAAGUGGGAGCUCAAUAGUGUUUUUGAUCUUGUAUGUGGAUGACAUACUACUGAUCAGAAAUGAUGUUCCGAUGCUGAACUCGGUCAAGGAGUCAUUGAAUGGCAAGUUUUCGAUGAAGGACCUUGGUGAGGCAAUGUACAUUUUAGGCAUUAAGAUCUAUAGAGAUAGAUCAAGGAGGCUGCUCGGCUUAAGCCAGAGCACGUACAUAGAUAAAGUGUUGAAGCGGUUCAACAUGAGUGAGGCAAAGAAAGGGUUCUUGCCACUCUCAGAUGGUAUAAGGCUAAGCGAGACUCAGAGUCCUUCGACAUCUGAUGAGCGAAGCAGGAUGAGUAGGAUUCCGUAUGCCUCGGCAAUUGGAUCCAUCAUGUAUGCCAUGAUAUGUACAAGGCCUGAUGUUGCUUUUGCAAUAAGCCUAACAAGCAGAUACCAAGCCAACCCAGGAGAGAGUCACUGGGCAGCGGUAAAGACUAUUUUGAAGUACCUGAAAAGGACUAAAGAGAUGUUCCUAGUUUAUGGUGGUGAGGAAGAGCUCGUCGUAAGGGGUUACGCCGAUGCUAGUUUCCAAACCGACAGAGAUGAUUGUCGAUCACAGUCCGCAUUCGUGUAUGUCAUGAACAGAGGAGCAGUGAGCUGGAUGAGUUCCAAGCAAGAUACGGUGGCCGAUUCUACCACAGAAGCUGAAUACAUUGCGGCUUGUGAAGCUGCGAAGGAAGGUGUUUGGAUCCGGAACUUUUUGGAUGAUCUUGGUAUUUUCCCAGCCUCGGUAAAACCGUUGUACUUUUGUUGUGAUAAUUCUGGUGCCAUCGCACAAGCCAAGGAGCCGAGGAAUCACCACAAGGUCAGACACAUAGAUCGGAAAUAUCACCUGAUACGAAAGAUCGUGAAGAAUGGUGAUGUAGAGUUAUGCAAAAUUCACACGGAUGCAAAUGUUGCAGAUCCGUUGACUAAGCCGCUUCCACAACCCAGGCAUGAGGGGCACGUUAGAGCUAUGGGCAUUCGAUGUCUAUUUGAUUGACUCUAGUGCAAGUGGGAGACUGUUGGAGAUAUGCCCUAGAGGCAAUCAUGUAUGAUGAUAUUUCCUAUGUGUUUAUGAAUAAAGAUAGUCCUUGGACAUUAUCAAUGAUGUGUAUCAGCAAGUACGUGACUUGUUUGUGGGACUAUGCAUUGUAUGAUGACUGUCCUAAAAGGUCCCUAGUCGAAAGGGCUGUGUGGACGCGCAGCCGACUAGACUAGCAUAUGACACGGUCGAUGGCUUGGUCUCACUAGCCAUGGAGCAUUGUAUGCUAACCGGAUAAUAUGGACUUGGAAAGGUCUGGUCGGAUUCGACGUAGUCGGAUCCGAGUCGAGAUAAGGUCCGAGUCGGACAGACCCUACUAUGAGACGCAGCGAUAUGUCAUCUGUGAGUCUCUAGUACAACAUACAUUCUAUGUCCUAAGACCUGAGCUGACACAUGUACUCGGGAUGGUGACAGACUUGCUUUGGUCCAACCAAACGCUACUCUGUGACUGGGUAGUUACAAAGGUAGGUUUCAGGCUUGUCCAGACCCAUGAUGCGAGACAUGGUCGAGCAAGAUGGGAUUUGCCCCUCCGAUCAGGAGAGAUAUACUCUGGGCCCCUCGUGUGAUCCGACCAGGAUAAGCAUGGCCAUGCGACAAGGAUUAUGAGAUAAUCCGGAUAGUGGUCGGCAUCACUGGAACGAGAAAGAGGUCGGGCUAGCACAAGGAUGACAGACUCGCCUUGAGCCCGACAACAUAUAUCGUGUGGCAAAAGGAAUGGAAGUAUGAUGUACAGGUUCGCCUAACCAGCUUCAUAGUCUGCUUGGUGUUUGGCAUGCCUUGCUAGAGGCCGCUACCAACCGUGCAGUUCGGAGGUGAUCCGAACUGCGACCAAGCCGACUUGAACCUAAGGGGUCACGCGCUUAAGGGAAGGAACCUACGAGGUCGGAUCCGAGGACACUAGUCGGAUGUGAUCCGAGCUGUAUUCGGAUUGUGGCCGAGUAGACUUAUGGGCUUUAGGGUUCGUGUGAGGCCCAAAUGUUGAGCCCGCGACGGAUGCCUAUAUAUAGUGGAGGUGCGGCACACUCAUGGAGCUGACCGCUUCGGCGCUGUCACUAGGGUUUGCAUGUGUUGCGAAUAGACACCUCCACUCGCUGCGGGUUGUGUGACCGGACCUAGUAGUCCGCCGCACGAUGUUCCUCCUGCACGCGCGGAUACCAUUAGAGGUGGUGCACCUGCACCGCUUCGGCGAACUUGUACGUGGGAUCGGACGACCGACUGUUCGAGGGAGAUCGCACGAGGAGGAGACGAUCCACGCGGACGCGCUGCCCCAACUCUUCUUCCGCUGCACGGCACUGCGCGUCUAGUGGUAACGAACUGUGAUCCAUCUCCCGUAGCAUGUUCUUGGUUGUUCUGCGCAUUGGAAAAUUUUAAUUUGCAGUCGACGCACCCUACCGUAGAACCCAACAACCAGGUGUGAAGCAUGCCAAUUCCACUCGAAGAAGCUUCAUCAACCAGCUCAAGCCCUUCAAACAAUUCCUCUCUCCUGGCCAUUUUCGGUCUGGGGACUCGACAUACUGGGCCCUUUCCCCCGCGCUGUCGGGGGCUUUGAGUACUUGUACGUUGCAAUCGAAAAGUUCACAAAGUGGCCGGAGGUGGAGGCAGUGAGAAAGGUGACAACACAGUCAGCCGUCAAGUUCUUCAAGGGGCUAGUCUGCCGUUUUGGUGUGCCCAACAGGGUCAUCACCAACAACGGCACGCAGUUCACAAGCCACACCUUCAUGCAGUACAUCCAAGACCUCGGCAGUAAGGUCUGUUUUGCCUCCGUGGCACACCUACGGAGCAACGGCCAGGCGGAGAGGGCAAAUGCUGAAGUACUGCGAGGCCUGAGAACAAAGACUUUUGACAAGCUGGACAACAGCGGAAGGUGCUGGAUUGAUGAGUUGCCGACGGUUCUUUGGUCGAUCAGAACGACGCCAAAUCGAGCCACCGGCCAGACACCCUUUGCCCUGGUAUACGGGGCAGAAGCAGUUCUCCCCACGGAACUCACAUACGGGUCACCUCGAGUGCUCGCUUUUGACGAGCUUGAGCAAGAGCAAUUGCGGCAAGAUGACGCAACGCUCCUUGAGGAAGAUCGUCUUCGGGCGGCUGUGAGAGCAGCGCGCUACCAGCAAGCCUUGCGCCGCUACCAUAGCCGCAGGGUUCAUGCCCGAAGCUUUGAGGAAGGCGUCCUUGUUCUUCGGCGCAUUCAACCGGCCAAGAAUUCCAACAAGUUGACGCCGAAGUGGGAAGGCCCUUAUCGGGUAAUACGAGUCACCAGGCCCGGCGCAGUCUACCCGAAGACCGAAGAUGUUGUUCCAGUGAUUAACUCCUGGAACAUUGAACAUCUUCGCAAGUUUUACCCAUAAGGCGCGGUUGCCGGGCCCCCCGGCAAGCCACCUUUUGUACAAGCCUUGCCGACAAGGCAUGUAACCCUCUAUACAAAGCCAGGCGCAGACCCUGAGCAUAAAUAAAUGAAGCGCUGGCGCCCUAAGUUUUAGCAUGCAUGCUAGGUUAAGUCUCUCCCUCGGUUAGGGUCGAUAGUGCUUAGCACCAACUAACCCCUAGCAUAGAGGUCGAGUGUGCGUUCCUCUGUUCCUUUCCAUCCUCUUUGGUUCGCAUGGUACUUGGACGUUUCUGCUGAGCUGUUUGGAAGAAAGAGAACGAGCCGACACUCCAGCCUCGACAAGCCAAGGUUGCCGGGGGCUGCAGAUACAAUAAUCAAAUCACGGCAAGCCAAGGCUGCCGGGGGUUGCAGAUUCAGAUAAGUCUUUCGUCCUCUGUUGUGCAUUUCUGUAUGAAGAUUGGGGCGUAUGAAACCUCGUUUUGCUCCUAGACCACCGUGCUCCCUCUUUUUCCUGUACCCAAGUCCCUGGGUCAGAACCGGGUCGUAGCCGCGGUGGCGAGGAAAUGAACAAGGGGCCUAACUCUACUUCGCCCCUGCCUCCGCCAAGAGUGUGAGAAUGGUCGGCUGAAGCAAGGGGACGGCAAGGCCUAUUGCCGGGAAUCAAUGUUUAUCUUAAAAAUAACAAGGAUUCAUUCCUUGGCAUGGGCCUCGCUCACGCACAAAGAACCCGCCAAGCACCCCAUUUCAUUAAAAACGUCCCAUACAGGUACAGUUCAUACGGGAUGAAAAACAUGAGCAAGGGGAUUACAAAUUUUAAAUCUAAUAAGUGCCCGCGGGCUUACAAACUAGAAAGAGAUAAGAUGCCCGUAAUCCCUUUCUUGUCCCUCUCCUCAGAAGGUGGAACAAAAUAGCGGGAGGGCAAAAAGAGCGCCUAGGCGAGGUGCGAGGAGCAGAAGGCACCAAGAGAACGUCCCGGUGCCGGGAGGGGAGCUGGAAGAUGAGGCAGCGGGCCGACAAUACGCGACAAAGGCGUCGACGCCCGCGUACUCCGACUUGACGGCCGCCGCCCGCCUUCUUCGCCUUCUCCAACCCUCCUACGCCAGCCGCCCAAGGAGGCGACAGGGAAUGCGCCGAUGGAGAGCUUGACGAGGAAGGCCCUUGGCAGGGCACGUGGCCGAGGGAGGGGCGACGUGGUCAGUCGGAGUCGAGGUCGGUGUCCCGCUGCUCGACGCCCUCGUCGUCGCUGUCGAUGUGCUCCUCAUCACUCCCGCUUGAGGAAGAAUCUCCAUCAUCGGAGGAGCUCUCCACGCAGCACUUCAGGCGAGUUCCGAGAUCUCCAAAGACCUUGACGGAGAGCAGGCCGCCCUCCAUUAACUUGAAGUAGAGGACGAGCCCCGCCGUCAGGCUGUGGACACGAGCGAACGUCUUCCAUCCGCGACGGAGGUACAUGACGUGAGGAGCGGGGAAGUCGACGUCGACCCGUGUGCCGCCAUUCCCGCAGCCCCUCAUGUGCAACCUGAGGGUCUGGGGCGGAUCGAGCUCCAUCUCCCAAGCAAAUGGGGUAGGGAGACGAAGACGACGACGCGGUGGCCGGCGCAGCCUGAAGAAGAACUCGCGGGGCUGGUCCCCGACAUGGCCCUCCAUCGGAGGAGGCACCGCCGGCGGAGGCAAGGCCGGUGCGCCGCCCCGCCCCCUCUUCCCCGAGAGCCACGGCGGCCUCGGCCUCGCCCCCUUCCCCUUCCUCUCAUGGCCGGCUCCGACGCCGCGGGUUCUUGGGGAGGAGGGACGCGUUGUUGAGCCGCGACCCUCGCCACCACCGUUGAAGGGCCUGCGCCCCCUCUCGCCAUGGAAGAUGGAAGAAAGGAAUGGAAGUGGAAGGAGAUGGAUGCUGGAAGAAUGCAGAAUGACAUCCCCCUCCCCCCUUAUAAAGGGGCAGGGUCGGGGCUCAGCCGCCCCGCUCAGCCAAUCCAACCAUCGGGGGCGCAGGGAAUCGGGACCGACCCGCUGCUCCAAUCAGCGACGGCCCGGUUUCCCGCCUCCACCGCCUGCCACCUGCAUGGGGGACACGUGGCGGGCGAGCAGGAUCGAGGGGACGGGUGAGGCAACCGUUCCCCACCCCGUGAUCGUGGGGCGCGGACGCCUUGAAGACCACGACCCGAGUCCACUCAGUAAAUGAGCCGCGCCUCUGCGCCUCCCUCUUUUUAUGGGGAAGGCACGAGCCGCCUCUUUACCAUGAUGUGACGCAUGCAUGCGGGAACCGCCCCACGCAUGACCCCCACGUCACGCACGACCCUCCACGACGUGCGUUCAACGCAGGUCGUGGGGAAGCGCAGCAGACGAAAAGUUACCGCAGUAAAAUCCGCCCCGCCUGCCCGCGCACCGUUCUGGGCCUGGCCCAACAACGUGUCACGCUUAUAUGUGGCCCAGGCCCGGGGGCUCCUGUCGGUGUACAAAAGUAGGGGCACUCCUUUUUUACCCCUUUACUUGUGCACGGGCAGUCGGAGCCGCGCCCACGACCACACUAAGAAGGGCAGAGGAGUGAAACCGAAGCACAAGACAAACAAGGCAACGCCAAGACCAAAGACACAAAGAGCAAAGGGGCAAGGUGGACUCCCCCGGCAAGACCUUUGCCGGGGCGAUCUCCGCGGCCCCGGCAAGAGCCUUGCCGGGGCAACUUGUCCAACACCAGCAGGGCGAGCCACCCUUGAGCCCAGGAGUUCCAAACACCGCCAACAACUACAUUGGAACCAAGGCUCGGGAGGCGCCUCUGUGGUGGCAUGCAGAUCUUCGUCAAGAUCAUGAACACACAGGAUCAGAUGAGGAUCAGAAGACGACGGUCCUCGGCGGGAUCCUAGCCGAGGAAAUCCACGAGACCCCCGGCAAGACGCUUGCCGGGGAAGACAGCAAUGCCGCGGCAAGACCCUUGCCGGGGCCCCGGCAAGGCCCUUGCCAAAGACGCUUACAGGGCCGCGGCCAGGGCCGCGCCUGCCAAGGCUCCACCGCCGUCCCCAUGCAGCUGCCAGCUCAACCAGCUGAGCAGGCACCUGCGUGGCGACGGGCGGCCUCCACGACCGACUCAACAAGAACCUGCAUGGUGGCAUGCAAGUCUUCGUGAAGGCUCCACCAUCGCGCCAGCCCAGCAGCCAGCCAAUGUGGCGCUACAACGCCUCGUCAGCUCGGACGCGUGUCGAAGCCAGGGGAGGCGGCGACAGCUGGGACGUGCUUCCUUGUCGUCCCCGAUAAAGCGAGAGGGGCACGUCGACAGCGCAUUAAAUGCGUUUGUCCGACGGGGCCAGAGGAUAGACUCAUCCACUGUAGACCUUUCCACCUCCUGUGUGCCAUUGUGGCAACCCCUUUUUCCUAUAAAAGGAGGCCCGAGGCGACCAGGAGGAGGAUUCGGAUCUUUUGGGCAAAUCACACCCCGUAGCUAGCUCAAGAACACAAGAACACUCAAUACAUCCACCAAAGCAGGACUAGGGUUUUACGCAUACUCGCGGCCCGAACCUGGGUAAACGAUCCGUGUGCUUCUUGUCAGACCCGCUCUUUCCACAACCCCGCGCCCGCCAACCGUAGAAGGGAUCCCAGUGAUCCCAUAGGUGUCGUUCCCACCGACAAUUUUUUUUCAUUUUUUAUAAAUUCAAAUUUAAAAAAAUACUGGAAAUUUUAUGAUUUUCCAAAUAUAGUUUGAAUUCAUGAUAAUUUUAUGAUAUCGCGAAAAUUAUGCGAACAGUUUUUUAAAUACUGGACAUUUUAUGAUUUGCUAAACAUUUUAUCAAUUCAUGAACAUUUAUGAUUUCUCAAAUAAAGUUCAAAACUGACAACUUUUGGAAAUCCUGAAUUAAUUUGAAGAAGGAAAAACAGAAACAGGAAAAGAAAAAAGGGCGACAUGGCCCGACCCAUGAACACGUGCGGGGUGGAGGAGGCACGCUCGCUGUUAAGAGAGAAAAGUAGAGGAAAAAGGGUAGUGCCUGUAAUUCCAUCUAUUAACCACCAAAUACUAACCAAUGGGAACCCGUGGAAUUUAGAAAGAAGAUUAAACCUGAAGAAAUAUUGAGCGGUCCUUCUUGCAUCGUGGCAUUGGGCUAGAGUACCACUGCCAUGGCGCCAUCCCACAUCACAGCUUCACCAAGGCAAGGAGCUGGCUUGAAUCAACUUUGUCAUUGCCUCUGGAUCACUGUUUCCCUUCAGGACUGGCAUGCAGAAGCUGGCGAGGCCUUAAUAGCAAUCUUGCAGUCAGAUUUGUACCCGUCCGGAGGAGGAUACAUGGAUGUGUUCCGGCCGUGAAUGUGCCCAUGAUCUCGACCGGUGUAGCGCCAGGGAAGUGGCCGACGUCAAGGUGCAGGAGGAAGAGCCAGUGCAGGAAGGGUCGCCGUCUUGCGCGGGUCAAGGCGCUCGAGGAUUCCACGAAGGGGGUUGUCGGGGAGUGCCGUCGCUUCUUCCAUUUGUUGGAAUUCCUCAUCGUCCCUAGAACACCUCCGCUGUACGCGAUGUCCUCGUCCCCGUUCACCUGCGUGCUCGGCUCCAACGGCGGCUGGCGAGGUGGCUACGGGGCUCAGCCGCUUAGGGGGCAUGGCGAGGCGUCUAGGACGGCUAGCUAGCUCGUAAAGAUCGGGGAUUUGGUCUCCGGCAGCGGCUGGCAAGCUCGCCAGGGCCACGAAGGCGGCCAGCCCCAUCAGCACAAGAUCCACGACGGCUCGGAGAUGGUGGUGAUGGAAAUAUGCUAUAGAGGCAAUAAUAAAAUGGUUAUUAUUAUAUUUCCUUAAUCAUAAUAAAGGUUUAUUAUUCAUGCUAAAUUGUAUUGACCGAAAACUUAAAUAUAUGUGUGGAUACAUAAAUAAAUACCGUGUCCCUAGUGAGCCUUUACUAGACUAGCUCGUUGAUCAAAGAUGGUUAAGGUUUCCUAACCAUAGACAUGAGUUGUCAUUUGAUAACGGGAUCACAUCAUUAUGAGAAUGAUGUGAUGGACAAGACCCAACCGUUAGCAUAGCAUAUGAUCGUUCAGUUUAUUGCUAGUGCUUUCUUAAUGUCAAAUACAUGUUCCUUCGACCAUGAGAUCAUGCAACUCCCAGAUACCGGAGGAAUACCUUGUGUGCUAUCAAACAUCACAAUGUAACUAGGUGAUCAUAAAGAUUCUCUACAGGUAUCUCCGAAGGUGUCUAUUGAGUUGGUGUGAAUCAAGAUUGGGAUUUCUCACUCCGUGUAUCGGAGAGGUAUCUCUGGGCCCUCUCGGUAAUACACUUCACAAGAAGCUUGCAAGCAAAGUGACUAAGGAGUUAGUUGCAAGAUGAUGUAUUAUGGAAUGAGUAAAGAGACUUGACGGUAACGAGAUUGAACUAGGUAUAGAGAUACCGACGAUCGAAUCUCGGGCAAGAACAUACCGACAGACAAAAGGAACUAUGUAUGUUGUCAUAAAGGUUCAGCCGAUAAAAGAUCUUUGUGGAAUAUGUAGGAAUCAAUAUGGGCAUCCAGGUACCGUUAUUGGUUAUUGAUCAGAGGGGUGUCUCGGUCAUGACUACAUAAUUCCCAAACUUGUAGGGUCGCACGCUUAACGUUCGUUGACGCUAGAGUAGUAUUGGGAUAUUUGAUGAGUGGUAACCAACUGUUGUCCGGAGUCCCGGAUGAGAUCCCGGACGUCAUGAGGAGUGUCGGAAUGGUCUAGAGGUAAAGAUUUAUAUAUGGUAAGUCAUAUUUUGGGUUCCGGAAAAAGGGCUAGUAUGGGCUGAGGGGAGGCGCACUGGCCUUAUUGGGCUAGGCGCACCAAGUCCUUAAAAGCCCAUGUGGCUAGGGAAGGCAAAAAAAGGAAGGAGUCCUAGUAGGAAUAGGAUUGGACUUGGAGUCCAAGUCCUCUCCCCUUAGCUGCGCCCUAGGGCUUGGAGGGGAUGUUUCCCAUGUCCCUCCACCUAUAUAUAGAGGGGAGGUGGCGCCCCAAGAGGAUACACCAAGCCCAUGGUGCCCCUCACUCUCCCGUUACUCAGUAGUUCCACCGCCUCGUCCCGGCGACGCUUAGCGAAGCGCUGUCGGUUCUCCACCACCACUAUCACCACCACGCCAUCGUGUUGGUUGUGAUCCCAACUACUUCUCCUCUCCCGCUUGCUGGAUCAAUAAGGAGGAGACGUCAUCGAGCCGCACGUGUGCUAAACUCGGAGGUGCCGUCCGUUCGGCACUAGAUCGGUUGGAUUGUGAUCGGAUCGCGAAGAGUACGACUACAUCAACCGCGUGAUAAAUGCUUCCGCCUAGCGAUCUACAAGGGUACGUAGAUGCUCUUCCCCUCUCGUAGCUAUGCAUCUCCAUGGAUAGAUCUUGCGUGUGCGUAGAAAUUUUUUGUUUUCCAUGCAACAUUCCCCUACAGUGGCAUCAUGAGCCAGGUCUAUGCAUAGAUGAUAUGCAUGAGUAGAACACAAAUGAGUUGUGGGCGGUGAUGUUCAUACUGCUUACCACCAACGUCUUAUUUUGAUUCUGCGGCAUUGUGGGAUGAAGCGGCCCGGACCAACCUUACAUGAAGACAUACAUGAGACCGGUUCCACCGACUGACAUGCAACUUGUUUUGCAUAAAGGUGGCUGGCGGGUGUCUGUUUCUCCUACUUUAGUUGAAUCAAAUUUAACUACGGCCGGUCCUUGAAGAAGGUUAAAACAGCAAACUUGAUAAUCACCGUUGUAGUUUUGCGUAGGUAAGAAUGGUUCUUGCUAGUUGCCCGUAGCAGCCACGUAAAACUUGCAACAACAAAGUAGAGGACGUCUAACUUGUUUUUGCAGGGUAUGUUGUGAUGUGAUAUGGUCAGGACGUGAUGUGAUAUAUGUUGUUGUAUGACAUGAUCAUGCUUUGUAAUAUCGACAACCGGCAGGAGUCUUAGGGUUGUCUUUUAAUUAUUGUAUGACCUACUUGUCAAUCAUUAAGCGCCAUGUAAUUGAUUUACUUUAUCGCUAUGCGUUAGCAAUAGUUGUAGUAGUAAUAGUUGGCGAGACGACCCUGACGCAACGAUGGAGAUCAAGGUGUCGAGCCGGUUAUGAUGGAGAUCAUGCCGAUGCUUUGGAGAUGGAGAUCAAAAGCACAAGAUGGCGAUGGUCAUAUCAUGUCACAUAUUUUGAUUGCAUGUGAUGUUUAUCCUUUAUGCAUCUUAUUUUGCUUAGAAGGAUAGCCCAAUAGGUUGAACAAUAAAUUAAAAAAAAGUAAACAAAUUCAAACAAUCCUUGAUUGAUUCUGCAAAAAAAUAUUAAUGUUUUUCUACACGCAUGCAAAUUUUCGCGAUGGAGUCACAUUUGUGGAGGUGUGGACAAAAAAAUCGAUGCCCCAAAAUGCUCAUGUACUAUAUUUGCACGAAAACAUAUAGAAACUUUGCACGCAUGAAGGAAAAACAUCAAUUUCUUGCCGAAAAUCGAUACUCCAAAAUGCUCAUGAAAAUUUUCAUGCAUGUAGAAAAAGCAUCAAUUUCUGGCCGAAUUUUUUGUUUUUUAACUAUAUUUUUGGAUUUUAGUAUAUACAAAUAGAAACGUCGGCAAAAAAAGAUAUGUGGGCUCAACCAAUAAAAGACAUGAAAGUAAGAAGGGCCAACUGAAAAAAACUGUCUCACAUGAGCCAACAAUUACAUACCUAAGCUUUUAUGUGGGAAAGACGAGUCGGGCCCUAAGGCUUCGCCCCUGGGUUCAAUCUAAUUUUUUCUAUGGUCUAUUAAUGUACGUAUCCAAUGUCUUACGUACUAUGAUAUAUAGGCGGUGCAUAUUUACAAAGUGUGAUGCAAUAUUGUAGCCAUUUGCUGUUAAUGUUGUAGCCUGUAGAUAAAAAACGACCCUAAAUAUGAUCUAACUUAUGAAAAAAGUGUCAUGCUACUUUAUACAAAAACCAUCUCUCUAAUUUUAUAAAUAUACAGAUGACGGAUUGAAAAAUAGUUGUAUGAACUAUAAAAGUAAAAAAAUACCAUGCUAAAAAUUUAAAAAUACGAUCAUCUAAACAAAAAGUGCCAUAUGAACAUAAAAGAAAAAAGUGACAUAUCUUAAUAAACCAAAAAAAUGCCAUCUCUUGAUAAAAAAUGCCAUCUCCGAAUAAUAAAAAUUCCAUCUCUUAAUAUAAAAAUGUCAUCUCUUAAAUAGUAAAAAAUGCCAUCUCUUAAUAUAAUAAAAAAUGCCAUCUCUUAAUAGAAAAGCUGUCGUCUCCUAUACUGUAAUAAAUAAAAAUUAAAAAUUAAAAAGUGGUAGAGUGGGAUUUGAACCCAAGUGUACCAGGUGGAGGGACGUGUUGCUAGCUAGUGGGCUGGCUUCUAUGUCUCGAAAAUUAGUUCGUCGGAUUGUUUCUUGCAGUGAACCAGUUUGAAAAUUCAACAUGGCUUGGAUCCUGGGUCAGGAUUUGUGCAAACGAAUCGAGGGUCACUGCGAAAACUCUCAUAGCUGACGGUCGCUAGCUAACAUUUCCAAUAAUUAAUGUAAUGUUGUCCCCUAUAAAUAUGCAAGUAAUGUACACAUUCAUUUUUUGAUGCAGUAGCAUAUCUUCAAGAUAUAUGUAAUUAAUGUAAUGGUGUAGCCCGUAGAUAUGCAAUUAAUUUACACAUUCAUUUUUUUGAUGCAGUACAAUACCUUCAAGAUAUAUAUAAUUAGUGUAAUGUUGUAGCAUGUACAUGUGCAAUUAAUGUACACGUUCAUUCUUCGAUGCAGUACCAUAUCUUCAUAUCUUCAAGAUUUAUAUAAUUAAUGUCAUAUUGUAGCAUGUAGAUGUGCAUCUAAUGCAUAUAUUCAUUUUUUAUGCAGUACCAUAUCUUCGAGAUAUAUCAUAUAUAGUACUUCCUCCGUUCGGAAUUACUUGUCGUAGAAAUGGAUGUAUCUAGACAUUUUUUAGUUCUAGAUAAAUCUAUUUCCGCGACAAGUAAUUCGGAACGGAGGGAGUACAACUAAUGUAUGUAUAAGACUAGCCACAGUGGGUAGUAACUCAGACUAGUAACAUGCAUAUGUUACUAGUCUAUGUUACUACCUCUACAAUGGGGAGUAACAUUUGUGUGGUGUCAUGCAACACUUCAUUUAUUAGGUUAUAGACUCAUCUUGCCUUGGUGUGUGUGAUGUUACUCAUAGUACUAGUAACUAGCUAUGUUACUACAUGCCUCUCUUUCUUCAUUAAUUGCUUGACAUAUCAUCUAUUUUAUCUAGAUAUGUGUGAUGUUACCACCUAUGUUACUCCCACUGUGAGUAGUCUAACAUGUCGAUGUGAAUUUACUGUACACACUCAUUGUUUGAUGUUAUUUCUUAUCUUCAAGGUAUAGCCUGUAGAUAUAGAGUUAAUGUGCACAUUUAUUGUUUGAUACAAAAUCCUAUCUUCAAGAUAUAGAACUAAUGUAUGAUGCUGCCUCUAGAGUGCAAUUAAUGUACAUAUUAAUUGUUUGACAUGGUGCCAUAUCUUCAAGAUAUACAACUGAUGCAUGCGCCCAUAUCAUCAUCUCAAACAAGGCUAUAUAAAUCAAGCCAUAGCUAACGAAGUCAUGUAUCCCACACAUUCACAGAAAAGCCACACAAACAAUUAUAACAUCAAAGGGAUAGAGAAGGCUCUAGUGUAGCAGAUACAAAAGACAUAGCCAUGGCGAAACUAAUGUGCUUAUGUUUCAUCAUCCUCACUAUUGUGGUAGCCGUGUCGGCUGACGAAUGUGAGGGUGACCGACAGGCCAUGAUCAAGGAGUGUGCUAAGUAUCAACAAUGGCCAGCAAACCCGAAGCUAGAUCCAUCGGACGCAUGCUGCGCCGUGUGGCAGAAGGCAAACAUCCCAUGCCUUUGCGCUGGUGUUACCAAGGAGAAAGAGAAGAUAUAUUGUAUGGAGAAGGUUGCCUACGUUGCCAAUUUCUGCAAGAAGCCGUUCCCACAUGGCUACAAGUGCGGAAGUAAGUGAAAUAUAUUAAGGGAGUUAUGAUGAUCGGUAUUGCAAACAUGCGGUUUUGAUAUUUGUUAUUCUUCGGAUUCACACGAUGUCGGGUGGUAGGUGCGACAUAUGCCAAUGGGUGGCUUAUCAUUGUGGGAGCCAGUAAGACAUCGCCGGUGCCUGGAAACGGGAUAAGGCGAAGACAUGCACGCCGGCGAAUCUUACCCAGGUUCGGGGCUCUCUGUGGAGAUAACACCCCUAGUCCUGCUCUGCGGGGUCUCCGCAUGAUCACUAGAUCAACACAAGUGGCUACAAGUGGCUCCUUGAGCUGUUUUGCUAGAGGAGGAAGAAGGGCAAGGCUAGCUCUCCUCUUCUCUCUACGUGGUGUCUGAAACUCUAAGAGAUCAACCCUUUGCAUGGGUGCCCUGGGGGGUUUAUAUAGGCCUACCCCCCAGGGAUACAAUGGUAAUCCGGCUGGAUGCGGGUCCAGGCCGUCAGUGUCUGUAUCCGCCGGCUUCUCCGCCGGCCGUUGGAGACCGCCGACUGGUGGGUCCCGCCGGCUGCUGGUUACUGUAGCCUCGCCCCUGAUGACGAGGGCUUUGCUGAGGUAAGCAUGGCUACGGUGCCGCCGUCCGGCGAACUCUCACUGUAGCCUUACCUCGUCUUGUCUUCUUAAUGAUGCACAUACUUCGAGGGAGUGAGGUAGCCGGCUAUUGGGAGCCGGCUACACCCUAGGCCGACUAUAAGGGGGCUUGACCGCCUUCGAGCGUCUCUCUGGCUGUAGGGGCUCGCCGCCCGCGGGCCGUACUGACAACCCGUUGUGGGUGGCGUCAUGGUCAACAUGGCUACAGUGCCGCGCCGGACGGGGGAUGGCCGACCCGUACGGCGCACUGUGGCCAUGCGUGCUCCGGGAUUCGGGGGUGGCAGACUUUACUGUAGCCACGCCCGGUCUUGUCAGCGUUAUGUGGGUGCUGUCCUGGAGGGUGCAAUCUUGGCCGCUUGCUCGAAGUCGGUCUUCUUGUGGACGGCUUCUUGGAGUCGGCCUUCUUGUGGCUGGCUUCUUGGAGUCGGCCUUCUUGCCGGCUUCUUGGAGUCGGCCUUCUUUUGGCUCUCUUCAGGAGGGUUUCAGGGUCGGGCCGCCUUCUAGCAGUCGGCCUGUGAGAUGGCCGACCAGGGGAAGGCGGCCCCGUGCUUUGGGUGCUUGAAGGCUCGAUCGGCCUGAUAAUUUUUUGAAGAGCCAGGGGGAGUUGGUUAGGCUACCCGUGGUCAUUUACUCCGACAGUAGUCCCCGAAGCUGGUUGGGCUUCGCGGCUGAAAGGAGGACGAGAAGCUUAAUCAGCUUCCUAUCUUGAGGAGCCAGCAGCUAGGAGCCGGCUUUGAUCAGGUGUGCCGUCUUGGUGAGGCCUCGAAAUGUGAAGGCGGAAAUUAGCUGGCGCGCGCGCCUGGUUGCGGGCCGGCCGCCUGCCGCCCGCGCACCACGUGGCGCCCUCCGGCUGGGAGAGCCUGCCAGCCCACGCACGUGACGGGACGCCGUCGCAGGCUGGGGCCCGCCACUUCCGCGCCUCGGCCCGGGUGUGGAUCUUCUGUGGCCCAAAACGGGCCAUUCGCCUUCCAACGGCAGUUUCUGCACGCCGUUAGGGCGCAAUAAUCGCGGGACGUGGGGGAGUGGGCGCAGUUAAUCCCACGUUGCCCCCCCACGCCUCACCUCCUCGGCUCCGCCGCACGAGGCUAUAAAUAGGGGGAGGAGGGGGAGCGGCAUACGCUCGCACGCUCACCCUCGCUCUGCCAUCUUCUUCUUUCUCUCCGUCGCCGCAGCCCCUCGCCGCCGCGCCGUCCCUCUAGUCUUCGCACUACCCCGCAGCUUCGCCGCCGUGGGGCCGUGAUUUCGUCGUCGCAGCGCCCUCUUUCAUCAGCUUCUUGCCGUCAUGCAGCACGGCGGGGACUGGGACGGCUCCAACGUCCACGUGGACCACAUCGACUUCCUCCGCAAGACGCGGCGGUUGCCCGACGAGGACCAGGUGCGGGUCCGUCUUGCGCCGAAGAAGGAGAUCUCGCCGGCGCUGGAGGAAGGCGAGCGGGUAAUCUUCCGCUCGCACUUCCUACGCGGCCUCGGCCUGCCUGCGAGUGCCUUCUUUCGCUCCUUCCUCGAAUUCUACCAGCUCUAGCCGCACCAUCUCACUCCAAACACGGUGAUGCUGCUGUCUGCCUUCGUCACUCUGUGCGAGGGCUUCCUUGGCAUCCUUCCCACCCUCGAGCUCUAGGGGGAAUUCUUCCAAUCCAAGCUCGGCACCCGCAUGCAGGGCGUGCCGGCUCAGAGUGGCGCCUUCAUCGCGGUGCGGAGGCCGGUAGCCGACAACCCCUUCCCUGCCAUCACGCUGAUCCAGUCGGUGAAGCUCUGGCAGAAAUCCUACUUCUACGUGAAGAACGUCGCCCCGCAAGGCGACUUCGUCAACUUGCCGGCUUAUGUAGCCGGCCCGCUGGCUUGGUGGCGUCCCCAGUGGUCCUAUCGGGCCAGAACGCUGUCGCCGGCUGGAGCCGCCGCCGUCGCCCGACUUCGGGUAAUGAUCCAGUCGGAGGGCCUGACCGGGUCCGACCUGGUGGCCGCCUUCGUGGUGCACCGGGUGCUCCCGCUCCAAGGCCGGCUUCAUUUGAUCUGUCAAAUGAGCGGCCAACUCGAUCCGAGUCGGAUGUGCACCAAGGAGAUGCCUCACUCCGAGGUAGCUCUCAUGGUGAACUACCUCGCGAACUACAAGCUCACCGACGAGUGGCAGUUUGGCAAGGAGCCGUACUCCCGUGCCCAUCCCCCACCUAUGGUAAGUUUUCUUUAUCUUCUCUUCUUUACUUUUGUCACCAAGUUUCUCUUGGCCGACUCUGACCAGUCGGUUUGUCUUGGCAGAGCCCUCUCCUUCGGCCGGGGGCUGGGGCAGCGGGGGCGGAGCGCCAAUUUCUCCCCGACCGGGUGGCGCAUGACUUGGACGACCCCGACUUGGGGGCGACUGCUAUGGACGACAACACCGAGGGGGGAGGAGGCGAAGCAGGCGGCUCCGGGCUUGGAGCCAGCUUCGACGACUGGCCGGAUGAUGAUGAGGCAGAAAUCAUCCCGCGCCGCCAGCCGGCGUCCGACCAUGGCGCGGGCUCGUCUACCGCGCUAGCUGCUCGAGGCGGCGCGCAGAAGCGCCGGGCCGCGCCGAGCCUAUUCGGCAGUCGGCCGAAGAGGCCCAAGAGCACGGCGGCGGCGACCAAACGGGACGAGGCAGCCACGAAGACGGCCCGCUUCCACAAGGUGGUGAAGCAGCCACAAAAGGUUUCGGCGUAAGUGUCGAUUCUCUCGCAUAUUCCUUCUUCUUUUUCGUCGAUACUCUUCUUCCAAGUCUUUGUCGUGAUUCAUCAAGCAGGUCUCCGCUCUCUCUUGAGCGGACCGCUGCCGCCUCCAUGGUUGUAUCGGCAGGAGGACCCGCAAGCACCCGCCGCGUGGACCCCCGUGCCGAGCUUCAAGCGGCAACGGAGCGGAACGCGUGGGAGGCGCGGGAGGAGCGGGAGGCGGAGGAGCUGAGGGCGGCCGCUGCCACGGCGGCGUAGGAGAUGGCGGACGAGUCGGCGAAGGCACAAGCCGACGCGGCGGCCAAGGCUCAGGCGGAGGCUGCAGCCGCAGAGACAGCGGCCGGGGCCUUGUUUGUCGUCCCCCUGCGCGCCGUGGCGCCCGAGAUCCCGGAGCCCCCGCCGGAGGAAGCCGGUGGCGACCCACCGAGGAUGGAGAGGGAGGAGGACGACGUCGUCGUCCGGGAGAGGGAGGCGGCACCGCCAUCGUCGACUGGGGCGGACCGAGGCAGCCGGCCUAACACGCCGCCCGUGCAACCGGCUGGAGGCGAGCUGGCUGCGAGGACGGACCUGGUGGUCCGGUCGCCAGCGCGCCAGCGCGCGGGGAAGGCGACUUCGGCGCCGGACCCGCAGAAGGCCGCGGGCUCUAGCUCAUUGGCCCAGGAUCUGGAGACGGCCAGCGCUAGCUCGGGGUGGACGCCGGGUGGUGGGACGACCGUGGUGAACGUGGCGGUGCAAGAAGUCUGGAACCGGCUUCAGUCCCAGGCCGCCGUGCUGAGGCAGUACAAUCAGGAGUUCCUCGCGACACGGACGGCCAUUCGGGUGAGUCUUCCCGCUUUUCUGUUUCUUGAUCUUGAUUUCUUCCGUGGGCGCGCGUCAGCGCACCCACUGGGUGUAGUCCCCGAGUUCCGAGUCGGCUGCUGAGCAGGCGGCUUGGAACUUCUUAGUAGACUUUGAUUGCUUAUCUUGUUCUUAUUCGCUUCUCUGUCCGACUUGAAGGACUACCAUAACCUCCGCGCGGCUGCCUUCAACUCCCAGGCUCGGGAGCUGACCCAGAAGACCGCUGAUCUAACUGAGAGCCGGAGUAAGUGCUUCAUCUUUUAUCUCACGUGGGGGCGCGUCAGCGCACCCACUGGGUGUAGUCCCCGAGAUUCGGGCCGACUGCUGAGCAGUCGGGCCGGAUCUUUCCUGGCGACUUCUUUCUUAUCGCUUUUUUUCUUUGCCAUAUCUGCAGAGGCCAAUGCCGACCUGAGGGAGCAGUUGGGUGGGGCCCAGACCGCCCUUCACACCAAGGAAGCCGAGUGCAACACCUUGGCCCAGGAGCAUGACCGGUUGGCCAAGAGGCUGGCUGACCAGGAGGAGAGCCAUAAGGCGGCCCUGAAGGCGGCGCAGGACAGCGAGGCCGCCCUCCAAGCCGAAUACGAGACCGAGGCGGCGGGCUGGGCUGAGGCAAGGCAAUCGUUGAUCAACGGCUAUGGCCAGAUCGAAGAUUUGGUUGACGGUAGGCUGCCUUCUUCUUCGUUCCUUCGCUUGCCGCCUGCCAUUUGGUCCAUUUUCUGACUGUGUUUUUUCUCUUCCUUUCUUACUUGUGCAGAGUACUUCCCUGGUUACUCCACUGCCGCCAACCAAAUCGCCGAGGCUCACCGCGAGGCGCAAAGGCAGGCUGGUGCUGAGAUCGCGCCGGACGCUUGCCGGUCGCUUGACGAGCAGCUUCUGGCGAUCCAAGCCCGCCUCCAGCCGGCUCACCGCAUGCUCCGCCGUCUUCAGCGUGUUGGGGCGCAAGUGCUGGCCGCCCUCUGGCCCGGCUAGGUGAUUCCCCGUACCCCCAGUCGGACUGCCGACUGGCUGGAGGUAGCGGUUGGCCGCUUCGAGGCCUGGAAGGCUUCUGCAGCUCGGUCAGGCGCCAGGCGGGCGCUGGAGUUCGUCAAAGUUUGGUAUCCCGAGCUAAGCGCCCGCCUGGCGGCAGGAGGCCGACGAGGAGCUGGUGGCGGUGCGGCCGGAUAUUAUCCAGCAUGCCUCGGCAAUGGCCGACUACACCAACACCAGCGCCUUUGCUCCUAAGGUGGAUGAUGACGGCAUUGCUCAGCCGGAGGAAUGGUUCGGGCUGAACCCAACAGAUGGUGAGGACUCGCCGGAGUAGAUCGAGUCCAGCGACAAGGGCGAAGAGGAGGAGGGAGAGGAUGGUGAAGACGCCGUGCCAGACGGUGGAGCGACCGGCCAGCCUCAACUUGAUCAUGCCUCCAGCAACGAGGUGCGUGCGAGCGCGCCGCCUGCAGCCGGCGAUGAUCAAGCCGAGACUCGCCAGUCGGCCACUCCUCCAGCCGGCACUGCCGCCUCCACUGACCUGCCCGGCUCGCCUGUUGCACCUUUAGCCUGAUCUGCCGCCUUUACUUUCCUGUUUUGUUACUCUUUGAACAAUAUUCUGUUAAAUUUGCGCAGUUCCACCCACUGGGGGUGUAUUCAAACUAUGUUGAAUGCCGGCCUUUCGAAGGCCUUUUGUGUAAAUAUAAUCAUGCAUGUGCUUGGCUUCCGAUUGUAUUUGCUUUUCAUCUUUUUGGCUGUUUCCUUUGCCGCCCUCCUUGGUUGCCGCCUUCCCAGCCGGACAGCUGCUCUGCAGUCUGUGGCUGGGGAAGGGCUUGGCCGUUUGGGAGGGCAAGUACUCUAGCUUUUUGAGAUUGUAGCAAGGUGAAUCGGAAGCCGGCCAGCCGGCUGUUCUGACAGCCAGUUGGCGGGGUGGGAGGCCGGCUUGUGCUAUAUAAGUUCGUUAGUCCUUAGCCGUUUUUCGUGUGGGCAUCCUUUCCUGCCUUUGACUCUUGCCAGUUGGACAGUCGGUUCUUCAAGCUGUGACUUUCAACAAGAGAGGGCUUGGAUGCCGGCACACUACUUGUCUGACUGCAGGUAGAAAUUUAAUAUAGCUCAAGGCGGCAAGUCCCGGGGCCGACUGGUCGAACCCGGUGCCGGACAGAAAAUCAAAUGUAAUAAUACAUUCAUAGGUAUGACACUCAUGAUACAUAGAUAAAGGAGGGUAGUCCCCGAGUGCUCCUCGGGGGGCCCGUUGUCUUGUACUUAAUACAAAAGGUAGCGUGGUACAUACUGCAUUUAGCUGUAAAAUCUUCGGAGGAGAUUGGCGUUCCAUGGUCGUUCCGACUCCUUGCCGGAAUCAUCUCUCUUGCGUGCCUUCGGCUUCUGUGCGUCGAUCAGGUAGUAGGAGUCGUUGCCUAGGGCCUUGCUGAUGACGAAGGGGCCUUCCCAAGGGGCCGAGAGCUUGUGCUGGCCGGCUGUUCGCUGGAUCAGCCGGAGCACAAGAUUGCCUUCUUGGAAGGAUCUUGGCUUGACCUUCCGGUUGUGGUAACGGCACAGACCCUGCUGGUAGAUGGCGGACCGGCUGAGUGCUAAUAGCCGGCCCUCUUCCAGCAGGUCAACGCCGUCUUCUCGCGCUUCCUUGGCCUCCGCCUCCGUGUACAUGGUGACCCGAGGCGAGUCGAACUCGAUGUCAGUUGGGAUGACAGCCUCGGCACCAUAUACAAGGAAGAAAUGGGUGAAGCCGGUUGACUUGUUCGGGGUAGUACGCAGACUCCAGAGGACAGCCGGCAGCUCAUCGAGCCAGCAGCCGGCCGAACACUCCAGUGGUACGACCAGUCGGGGCUUGAUGCCAGAGAGGAUGAGGCUGUUUGCUCGCUCAACUUGGCCGUUUGACUGCGGGUGGGCAACGGACGCUAAGUCCAGUCGGAUGCCCUGUGUCGCGCAGAAACGUGCCAGUGCUCCUUUGGCAAAAUUCGUGCCAUUGUCGGUGAUGAUGUUGUGUGGUAUGCCAUACCGGGUUGUGAUAUCUGCGAUGAAUGUCAUGGCAGUCGGCCCGUUCAGUUUCUUGAUUGGCUUCGCUUCAAUCCACUUGGUGAAUUUGUCCACGACGACAAGCAGAUGUGUCAUGCCGCCGCGCGCCGUCUUGAAAGGGCCCAACAUAUCCAGCCCCCAGACGGCAAAGGGCCAUGUGAGGGGGAUGGUCUUGAGUGCAGAAGCCGGCAGGUGUUGCUUGGAGCUGAAGACUUGGCACCCUUUGCAGUAUUUGACUAAUUCCUUGGCGUCGUCCAAAGCAGUCGCCCAGAAGAACCCAUGGCGGAAAGCUUUGGCGACGAGUGAUCUUGAGGCCGCGUGGUGGCCGCAUUCGCCUUGGUGGUUGUCUUUGAGGAUUGCUAUGCCCUUCUCUGGCUCGACGCAGCGCUGGAAGACUCCAGUGACGCUGUGCUUAACGAGUUCUCUGUUUAUUAUUGUGUAUGCUCCGGCUCGGCGUUGAACUUGUCUUGCCGAGAUCUCAUCAGUCGGCAGCUCUCUGUUUACUAGGUAGUUGAGGAUGGGUUGGGCCCAUGAUGGAGAUGUGGCUUCUUCUAUCGCCAAUACGGCUACUGCGACCCGGGUGGGUGGGUUGGGUGGUGAAGAAUUGGAGUCGGCCACCGCCUGUUGUGUCGUUGCAGUCCCCGGGCCGACUGCUGCAGUCCCCGGGCCGGGUUCUGAAGUCCCCGAGCCGGGUGCGACUACGGCAGUCCCCGGGCCGCCUGUCAAAGUCCCUGAGCCGCCUGCUGGGUUCCCCAAGUCGGAUCCGACUGCAUCAGGGGCAGGCGGUACGAAGAUGGAGUCUGAUUCUAGAGACGGCUUGACAGACGGUUUGAGGAGUCGUUGGAGGGAGACGCCAGUUGGUAUAGCUUGUCGGGUGGAGCCGAUCUGUGCCAGGACAUCUGCUUGCUCGUUGUCGGCCCGUGGUACGUGGAGGAACUCGCAUCCUUCAAAGUAUCCGCUGAUUUGCUGAACGAGGAAUCGGUAGCUUGCCAUGUUUGCGUCCUUGGCGUCCCAGUCGCCGGAUGAUUGUUGGACUACCAGAUCCGGGUCGCCAUAGCACAGGAUCCGGCGGAUGCCGAGUUCUUUGGCUAGCCGGAGCCCAUGUAUGAGCGCCUCGUACUCGACCACAUUGUUGGAGGCGGCAAAAUGAAUUUGCAGUGUGUAUCUGAGUUUGUCACCCUUGGGAGAGGUGAGGACGAUGCGCAUCUUGGAUCCAUCGAAGUGCAUCCGCCAAUGAGUGGAGUCGGGAGCCGGCGGUAGGUACUGGGUCUCGGCCCAGUCGACAAGGAAGUCGGCCAAUGCUUGGGACUUGAUGGCGGUGCGAGGCUGGUAGAAGAUCGUGUAAGGAGCCAGCGCAAUGGCCCACUUGGCCACCCGACCGGAUGCAUCCCGGCUGCCUAUGAUCUCGGCAAGCGGGGCAGUACAUACGACCGUGAUGGGGUGCUCUUGAAAGUAGGGCUUCAGCUUCUUGGCGGCGAAGUACACUCCAUAGCACAUCUUCUGGUAGUGCGGGUAGUUUUGCUUCGAGGUGGACAGUACUUCGCUCAAAUAAUACACCGGCCUCUGGACUAACUGAGCUCGGCCUUCUUCUGGGCGUUGGACCACAAUAACUGUGCUGACCACUCGGCUAGUCGCGGCAAUGUAAAGGAGCAUGGGCUCUUUCUCAGUCGGCGCCGCCAAGACAGGCGGCGUGGUCAGCAUCUUCUUCAACUCGUGGAAAGCUUGGUCUGCUUGGUCGUUCCACUCGAAGUGGGUGGACUUCUUCAUGAGUCGGUACAGGGGGAGAGCCUUCUCUCCUAGCCGGCUGAUGAAGCGGUUUAGGGAGGCCAGGCACCCGGUAAACUUCUGGACGUCUCGCAGCUUGGUACGAAUCUCCAUUCUCUCUAUGGCCUUGAUCUUCACUUGGUUGCACUCGAUGCCGCGUUCGGAGACCAAAAAGCCUAGAAGCUGGCCGGCUGGUACUCCGAACACGCAUUUCUCGGGGUUAAGCUUGAUCUGAAACCGGCGCAAGUUGGCAAAUGUUUCUCUGAGGUCUUCCAGCAGGGUGCCGCGCUUCUCCGUCUUCACCACAAUAUCGUCUACAUAGACGUGGGCAUUUCUGUCGAGUUGUUGAGGAGGCAUUUCUGCAUGCAACGCUGAAAAGUGGCACCGGCAUUUCUCAAGCCGAAUGUCAUAGUCAGGUAGUAGAAAGCUCCGAAUGGUUUGAUGAAUGCGGUCUUCAGGCAGUCGGCUGGAUCCAACUUGAUCUGAUGGUAGCCUGAGUAAGCAUCCAAGAAACUCAACAACUCGCAUCCGGCUGUGGAGUCUAUCACUUGAGCGAUUCGAGGUAAGGCAAACGGAUCUUUGGGGCAGGCUUUGUUGAGGCUGGUGUAAUCUAUACACACGCGCCAUUUAUUGUUUUUCUUCAACACCAGGACCGGGUUGGCAAGCCAUUCUGAAAAAACACCUCCAUAAUGAAGCCGGCUGCCAGAAGCUGGGCUAUCUCUUCUCCUACAAUCCUUCUCUUUUCCUCCGACAGUCGGCGGAGGGGUUGCUUGACUGGUUUUGCGUCUGCUCGGACGUGUAACUUGUGCUCGGCGAAAUCCUUCUGAACACCCGGCAUGUCCUUUGGGGACCAUGCAAAGAUGUCCCGAUUCUCACGGAGGAAAUCGACGAGCUCGCCUUCCUAUUUGCUGUCCAGGUUUGCACCAAUGACAGCAAACCUCUCCGGGUUCUCCGGGUCCAGAGGUAUCUUCUUUGUUUCCUUGGCCGGCUGGAAGGAGCCUUGAGCAUCAUACUCCUUGGGGUCAGGGGACAGGGCCGGCUGCUUGCCGGUCAUGGCCACGACUCGGUCCAGCAUCUUCUUUUUGAAGGAAAUAUGCCCUAGAGGCAAUAAUAAAGUUAUUAUUUAUUUCCUUAUAUCAUGAUAAAUGUUUAUUAUUCAUGCUAGAAUUGUAUUAACUGGAAACUUGAUACAUGUGUGAAUACAUAGACAAACAGAGUGUCAUUAGUAUGCCUCUACUUGACUAGCUCGUUGAUCAAAGAUGGUUAUGUUUCCUAGCCAUAGACAUGAGUUGUCAUUUGAUUAACGGGAUCACCUCAUUAGGAGAACGACGUGAUUGACUUGACCCAUUCCGUUAGCUUAGCCCUCGAUCGUUUAGUAUGUUGCUAUUGCUUUCUUCAUGACUUAUACAUGUUCCUAUGACUAUGAGAUUAUGCAACUCCCGUUUACCGGAGGAACACUUUGUGUGCUACCAAAUGUCACAACGUAACUGGGUGAUUAUAAAGGUGCUCUACAGGUGUCUCCAAAGGUACUUGUUGGGUUGGCGUAUUUCGAGAUUAGGAUUUGUCACUCCGAUUGUCGGAGAGGUAUCUCUGGGCCCACUCGGUAAUGCACAUCACUAUAAGCCUUGCAAGCAUUGUAACUAAUGAGUUAGUUGCGGGAUGAUCUAUUACGGAACGAGUAAAGAGACUUGCCGGUAACGAGAUUGAACUAGGUAUCGAGAUUCCGACGAUCGAAUCUCGGGCAAGUAACAUACCGAUGACAAAGGGAACAACGUAUGUUGUUAUGCGGUCUGACCGAUAUAGAUCUUCGAAGAAUAUGUGGGAACCAAUAUGAGCAUCCAGGUUCCGCUAUUGGUUAUUGACCGGAGAGGUGUCUCGGUCAUGUCUACAUAGUUCUCGAACCCGUAGGGUCCGCACGCUUAACGUUACGAUGACAGUUAUAUUAUGAGUUUAUAUGUUUUGAUGUACCGAAGGUUGUUCGGAGUCCCGGAUGUGAUCACGGACAUGACGAGGAGUCUCGAAAUGGUCGAGACAUAAAGAUUGAUAUAUUGGAAGCCUAUGUUUGGACAUCGGAAGUGUUCCGGGUGAAAUCGGGAUUUUUCCGGAGUACUGGGAGGUUACCGGAACCCCCCCGGUAACUUAAUGGGCCUUAGUGGGCCUAGGUGGAAGAGAGGAGAGGAGGCUAGGGCAGGGCCGCGCCCCCCUUCCCCCCUAGUCCGAAUAGGACAAGGAGAAAGGGGCGGCUCCCCCCCUUCCUUCCUCCCCUCCACCUCUUCCCCUCUUCCACUCCUAGUCCAACAUGGAAAGGGGGGAGUCCUACUCCCGGUAGGAGUAGGACUCCUCCUGGCGCGCCUCUCCUCCCUUGGCCGCCGGCCUCCCCCUUGCUCCUUUAUAUACGGGGCUGGGGGGCACCUCUAGACACACAAUUGAUAUACGAUAUUUUAGCCGUGUGCGGUGCCCCCCUCCACCAUAUUACACCUCGAUAAUAUCGUUGCGGAGCUUAGGUGAAGCCCUGCGUCGGUAGAACAUCAUCAUCAUCACCACGCCGUCGUGCUGACGAAACUCUCCCUCAACACUCGGCUGGAUCGGAGUUCGAGGGACGUCAUCGAGCUGAACGUGUGCUGAACUCGGAGGUGCCAUGCGUUCGACACUUGAUCGGUCGGAUCGUGAAGACGUACGACUACAUCAACCGCGUUGUGUUAACGCUUCCUCUUUUGGUCUACGAGGGUACGUGGACAACACUCUCCCCUCUCAUUGCUAUGCAUCACCAUGAUCUUGCGUGUUCGUAGGAAUUUUUUUGAAAUUACUACGUUCCCCAACAGUGGUAUCAGAGCCUGGUUUUAUGCGUUGAUGCUAUGCACGAGUAGAACACAAGUGAGUUGUGGGUGAUAUAAGUCAUACUGCUUACUAGCAUGUCAUACUUUGGUUCAGCGGUAUUGUGAGAUGAAGCGGCCCAGACCGACAUUACGCGUACGCUUACGCGAGACUGGUUUCACCGUUAUGAGCACUCGUUGCUUAAAGGUGACCGGCGGGUGUCUGUCUCUCUCACUUUAGUUGAACCGAGUGUGGCUACGCCCGGUCCUUGCGAAGGUUAAAACAACACCAACUUGACAAACUAUCGUUGUGGUUUUGAUGCGUAGGUAAGAACGGUUCUUGCUAAGCCCGUAGCAGCCACGUAAAACUUGCAACAACAAAGUAGAGGACGUCUAACUUGUUUUUGCAGGGCAUGAUGUGAUGUGAUAUGGUCAAGACAUGAUGCUGAAUUUUAUUGUAUGAGAUGAUCAUGUUUUGUAACCGAGUUAUCGGCAACUGGCAGGAGCCAUAUGGUUGUCGCUGUAUUGUAUGCAAUGCAAUCGCCCUGUAAUGCUUUACUUUAUCUCUAAGCGGUAGCGAUAGUCGUAGAAGCAUAAGUUUGGCGAGACGACAACGAUGCUACGAUGGAGAUCAAGGUGUCGCGCCGGUGACGAUGGUGAUCAUGACGGUGCUUCGGAGAUGGAGAUCACAAGCACAAGAUGAUGAUGGCCAUAUCAUAUCACUUAUAUUGAUUGCAUGUGAUGUUUAUCUUUUAUGCAUCUUAUCUUGCUUUGAUUGACGGUAGCAUUAUAAGAUGAUCUCUCACUAAAAUUUCAAGAUAAAAGUGUUCUCCCUGAGUAUGCACCGUUGCGAAAGUUCUUCGUGCUGAGACACCACGUGAUGAUCGGGUGUGAUAGGCUCUACGUUCAAAUACAACGGGUGCAAAACAGUUGCACACGCGGAAUACUCAGGUUAAACUUGACGAGCCUAGCAUAUGCAGAUAUGGCCUCGGAACACGGAGACCAAAAGGUCGAGCGUGAAUCAUAUAGUAGAUAUGAUCAACAUAGUGAUGUUCACUGUUGAAACUACUCCAUCUCACGUGAUGAUCGGACAUGGUUUAGUUGAUAUGGAUCACGUGAUCACUUAGAGGAUUAGAGGGAUGUCUAUCUAAGUGGGAGUUCUUAAUUAAUAUGAUUAAUUGAACUUAAAUCUAUCAUGAACUUAGUCCUGAUAGUAUUUUUGCAAAUUAUGUUGUAGAUCCAUAGCUCGCGUUGUUGCUUCCCUGUGUUUAUUUUUGAUAUGUUCCUAGAGAAAAUUAUGUUGAAAGAUGUUAGUAGCAAAGAUGCGGAUUGGAUCCGUGAUCUGAGGAUUAUCCUCAUUGCUGCACAGAAAAAUUAUGUCCUUGAUGCACCGCUAGGUGACAGACCUAUUGCAGGAGCACAUGCAGACAUUAUGAACAUUUGGCUAGCUCAAUAUGAUGACUACUUGAUAGUUUAGUGCACCAUGCUUAACGACUUAGAAUUGGGACUUCAAAGACGUUUUGAACAUCAUGGACCAUAUGAGAUGUUCCAGGAGUUGAAGUUAAUAUUUCAAGCAAAUACCCGAGUUGAGAGAUAUGAAGUCUCCAACAAGUUCUAUAGCUAAAAGAUGGAGGAGAAUAGCUCAAGCUGUGAGCAUGUGCUCAGAUUGUCUGGGUACUACAAUCGCUUGAAUCAAGUGGGAGUUAAUCUUCCAGAUAAAAUAGUGAUUGACAGAAUUCUCUAGUCACCAUCACCAAGUUAGUAGAACUUCGUGAUGAACUAUAGUAUGCAAGGGAUGACGAAAGUGAUUCCCGAGCUCUUCGUGAUGCUGAAAUCGACGAAGGUAGAAAUCAAGAAAAACAUCAAGUGUUGAUGGUUGACGAGACCACUAGUUUCAAGAAAAGGGCAAAGGGAAGAAGGGGAACUUCAAGAAGAACGGCAAGCAAGUUGCUGCUCAAGUGAAGAAGCCUAAGUCUGGUCCUAAGCCUGAGACUAAGUGCUUCUACUGCAAAGGGACUGGUCACUGGAAGCGGAACUACCCCAACUAUUUGGUGGAUAAGAAGGAUGGAAAAGUGAACAAAGGUAUAUUGGAUAUACAUGUUAUUGAUGUGUACUUUACUAGUGUUUAUAGCAACCCCUCGGUAUUUGAUACUGGUUCAGUUGCUAAGAGUAGUAACUCGAAACGGGAGUUGCAGAAUAAACAGAGACUAGUAAAAGGCGAGGUGACGAUGUGUGUUGGAAGUAGUUCCAAGAUUGAUAUGAUCAUCAUCGCACACUCCCUAUACUUUCGGGAUUAGUGUUGAAACUAAAUAAGUGUUAUUUGGUGUUUGCGUUGAGCAUGAAUAUGAUUUGAUCAUGUUUGUUGCAAUACGGUUAUUCAUUUAAAUUAGAGAAUAAUUGUUGUUCUGUUUACAUGAAUAAAACCUUCUAUGGUCAUACACCCAAUAAAAUGGUUUGUUGGAUCUCGAUCGUAGUGAUACACAUAUUCAUAAUAAUGAAGCCAAAAGAUGCAAAGUUAAUAAUGAUAGUGCAACUUAUUUGUGGCACUGCCGUUUAGGUCAUAUUGGUGUAAAGCGCAUGAAGAAACUCCAUGCUGAUGGGAUUUUGGAAUCACCUGAUUAUGAAUCACUUGAUGCUUGCGAACCGUGCCUCAUGGGCAAGAUGACUAAAACGCCAUUCUCCGGAACUGUGGAGAGAGCAACAAAUUUGUUGGAAAUCAUACAUACAGAUGUAUGUGGUCCGAUGAAUAUUGAUGCUCGUAGCAGGUAUCAUUAUUUUCUGACCUUCACGGAUGAUUUGAGCAGAUAUGGGUAUAUCUACUUAAUGAAACAGAAGUCUGAAACAUUUGAAAAGUUCAUAUAAUUUCAGAGUGAAGCGGAAAAUUAUCGUAACAAGAAAAUAAAGUUUCUACGAUCUGAUCGUGGAGAAAGUAUUUGAGUUACGAGUUUGGCCUUCAGUUAAAACAAUGUGAAAUAGUUUCACUACUCACGCCACCCGGAACACCACAGCGUAAUGGUGUGUCCGACGUCGUAAUCGUACUUUAUUAGAUAUGGUGCGAUCUAUGAUGUUUCUUACUGAUUUACCGCUAUCAUUUUGGGGUUAUGCUUUAGAGACGGCUGCAUUCACUCUAAAUAGGGCACCAUCAAAAUCCGUUGAAACGACACCUUAUGAACUAUGGUUUGGCAAGAAACCAAAGUUGUCGUAUCUUAAAGUUUGGGGUUGCGAUGCUUAUGUGAAGAAACUUCAACCUGAUAAGCUCGAACCUAAAUCGGAGAAAUGUGUCUUCAUAGGAUAUCCAAAGGAGACUGUUGGGUACACCUUCUAUCACAGAUCCGAAGGCAAGACAUUCGUUGCUAAGAAUGGAUCCUUUCUAGAGAAGGAGUUUCUCUCGAAAGAAGUGAGUGGGAGGAAAGUAGAACUUGAUGAGGUAACUGUACCUACUCCCUUAUUGGAAAGUAGAUCAUCACAGAAACCAGUUUCUGCGACACCUACACCAAUUAGUGGGGAAGUUAAUGAUAAUGAUCAUGAAACUUCAGAUCAAGUUAUUACUGAACCUCGUAGAUCAACCAGAUUAAGAUCCGCACUAGAGUGGUACGGUAAUCCUAUUCUGGAGGUUAUGUUACUAGACCAUGACGAACCUACGAACUAUGAGGAAGCGAUGGUGAGCCCAGAUUCCGCAAAAUGGCUUGAGGCCAUGAAAUCCGAGAUGGGAUCCAUGUAUGAGAACAAAGUAUGGACUUUGGUUGACUUGCCCGAUGAUCGGCAAGCCAUUGAAAAUAAAUGGAUCUUCAAGAAGAAGACUGACGCUGACGGUAAUGUUACUGUCUAUAAAGCUUGACUUGUUGCGAAAGGUUUUCGACAAGUUCAAGGGAUUGACUACGAUGAGACCUUGUCACGCGUAGCGAUGCUUAAGUCUGUCCGAAUCAUGUUAGCAAUUGCCACAUUUUAUGAUUAUGAAAUUUGGCAAAUGGAUGUCAAAACUGCAUUCCUGAAUGGAUUUCUGGAAGAAGAGUUGUAUAUGAUGCAACCGGAAGGUUUUGUCGAUCCAAAGGGAGCUAACAAAGUGUGCAAGCUCCAGCGAUCCAUUUAUGGACUGGUGCAAGCCUCUCGGAGUUGGAAUAAACGCUUUGAUAGUGUGAUCAAAGCAUUUGGUUUUAUACAGACUUUUGGAGAAGCCUGUAUUUACAAGAAAGUGAGUGGGAGCUCAGUAGCAUUUCUGAUAUUAUAUGUGGAUGACAUAUUGCUGAUUGGAAAUGAUAUAGAAUUUCUGGAUAGCAUAAAGGGAUACUUGAAUAAGAGUUUUUCAAUGAAAGACCUCGGUGAAGCUGCAUAUAUAUUAGGCAUUAAGAUCUAUAGAGAUAUAUCAAGACGCUUAAUUGGACUUUCACAAAGCACAUACCUUGACAAAGUUUUGAAGAAGUUCAAAAUGGAUCAAGCAAAGAAAGAGUUUCUUGCCUGUGUUACAAGGUGUGAAAUUGAGUAAGACUCAAAGCCCGACCACGACAGAAGAUAGAAAAAGAAUGAAAGUCAUUCCCUAUGCCUCGGCCAUAGGUUCUAUAAAGUAUGCCAUGCUGUGUACCAGAUCUAUUGUAUACCCUACACUGAUUUUGGCAAGGGAGUACAAUAGUGAUCUAGGAGUAGAUCACUAGACAGCGGUCAAAAUUAUCCUUACUGGAAUAAGGAUAUGUUUCUCGAUUAUGGAAGUGACAAAAGGUUCGUCGUAAAGGGUUACGUCGAUGCAAGUUUUGACACUAAUCUAGAUGACUCUAAGUCUCGGUCUAGAUACAUAUUGAAAGAGGGAGCAAUUAGCUAGAGUAGCUCCGUGCAGAGCAUUGUAGACAUAGAAAUUUGCAAAAUACUUACGGAUCUGAAUGUGACAGACCCGUUGACUAAAAUUAUCUCACAAGCAAAACAUGAUCACACCUUAGUACUCUUUGGGUGUUAAUCACAUAAGCGAUGUGAACUAGAUUACUGACUCUAGUAAACCCUUUGGGUGUUGGUCACAUGACGAUGUGAACUAUGGGUGUUAAUCACAUGGUGAUGUGAACUAUUGGUGUUAAAUCACAUGGCGAUGUGAACUAGAUUAUUGACUCUAGUGCAAGUGGGAGACUGAAGGAAAUAUGCCCUAGAGGCAAUAAUAAAGUUAUUAUUUAUUUCCUUAUAUCAUGAUAAAUGUUUAUUAUUCAUGCUAGAAUUGUAUUAACUGGAAACUUGAUACAUGUGUGAAUACAUAGACAAACAGAGUGUCACUAGUAUGCCUCUACUUGACUAGCUCGUUGAUCAAAGAUGGUUAUGUUUCCUAGCCAUAGACAUGAGUUGUCAUUUGAUUAAUGGGAUCACCUCAUUAGGAGAAUGACGUGAUUGACUUGACCCAUUCCGUUAGCUUAGCCCUCGAUCGUUUAGUAUGCUGCUAUUGCUUUCUUCAUGACUUAUACAUGUUCCUAUGACUAUGAGAUUAUGCAACUCCCGUUUACCGGAGGAACACUUUGUGUGCUACCAAAUGUCACAACGUAACUGGGUGAUUAUAAAGGUGCUCUACAGGUGUCUCCAAAGGUACUUGUUGGGUUGGCGUAUUUCGAGAUUAGGAUUUGUCACUCCGAUUGUCGGAGAGGUAUCUCUGGGCCCACUCGGUAAUGCACAUCACUAUAAGCCUUGCAAGCAUUGUAACUAAUGAGUUAGUUGCGGGAUGAUGUAUUACGGAACGAGUAAAGAGACUUGCCGGUAACGAGAUUGAACUAGGUAUCGAGAUUCCAACGAUCGAAUCUCGGGCAAGUAACAUACCGAUGACAAAGGGAACAACGUAUGUUGUUAUGCGGUCUGACCGAUAUAGAUCUUCGAAGAAUAUGUGGGAACCAAUAUGAGCAUCCAGGUUCCGCUAUUGGUUAUUGACCGGAGAGGUGUCUCGGUCAUGUCUACAUAGUUCUCGAACCCGUAGGGUCCGCACGCUUAACGUUACGAUGACAGUUAUAUUAUGAGUUUAUAUGUUUUGAUGUACCGAAGGUUGUUCGGAGUCCUGGAUGUGAUCACAGACAUGACGAGGAGUCUCGAAAUGGUCGAGACAUAAAGAUUGAUAUAUUGGAAGCCUAUGUUUGGACAUCGGAAGUGUUCCGGGUGAAAUCGGGAUUUUUCCGGAGUACUGGGAGGUUACCGGAACCCCCCCGGUAACUUAAUGGGCCUUAGUGAGCCUAGGUGGAAGAGAGGAGAGGAGGCUAGGGCAGGGCCGCGCCCCCCUUCCCCCCUAGUCCGAAUAGGACAAGGAGAAAGGGGCGGCUCCCCCCCUUCCUUCCUCCCCUCCACCUCUUCCCCUCUUCCACUCCUAGUCCAACAUGGAAAGGGGGGGAGUCCUACUCCCGGUAGGAGUAGGACUCCUCCUGGCGCGCCUCUCCUCCCUUGGCCGCCGGCCUCCCCCUUGCUCCUUUAUAUACGGGGGCAGGGGGGCACCUCUAGACACACAAUUGAUAUACGAUAUUUUAGCCGUGUGCGGUGCCCCCCUCCACCAUAUUACACCUCGAUAAUAUCGUUGCGGAGCUUAGGUGAAGCCCUGCGUCGGUAGUGUUGGGGAACGUAGUAAUUUCAAAAAAAAUCCUACGCACACGCAAGAUCAUGGUGAUGCAUAGAACCAAGAGAGUAGAGUGUUGUCGACGUACCCUCGUAGACCGAAAGCGGAAGCGUUAACACAACGCGGUUGAUGUAGUCGUACGUCUUCACGAUCCGACCGAUCAAGUACCGAACGCACGGCACCUCCGAGUUCAGCACACGUUCAGCUCGAUGACGUCCUUCGAACUCCGAUCCAGCCGAGUGUCGAGAGAGAGUUUCGUCAGCACGACGGCGUGGUGAUGAUGAUGAUGUUCUACCGACGCAGGGCUUCGCCUAAGCACCACUACGAUAUUAUCGAGGUGUAAUAUGGUGGAGGGGGGCACCGCACACGGCUAAGAGAUCAAUAGAUCAAUUGUUGUGUCUAUCGGGUGCCCCCUUGCCCCCGUAUAGAAAGGAUGGAGGAGGGGAGGCCGGCCAGCCCUUAGGGCGCGCCAGAAGUGUGGAGUCCUACUAGGACUCCCUAGUCCUAGUAGGAUUCCUCCUCCCACAUGGAAUAGGAAAAAGGGAAGGGAAAAGGAGAAGGAAAGAAGGGGGCGCCCCCCUUCCCUAGUCCAAUUCGGACCAGACCAUGGGGAGGGGUGCGGCCACCUUUUGAGGCCUUUCUCUCCUUUCCCGUAUGGCCCAUUAAGGCCCAAUACGAAUUCCCGUAACUCUCCGGUACUCCGAAAAAUACCCGAAUCACUCGGAACCUUUCCGAUGUCCGAAUAUAGUCGUCCAAUAUAUCGAUCUUUACGUCUCGACCAUUUCGAGACUCCUCGUCAUGUCCCCGAUCUCAUUCGGGACUCCGAACUCCUUCGGUACAUCAAAACAAAUAAACUCAUAAUAUAACCGUCAUCUAACUUUAAGCGUGCGGACCCUACGGGUUCGAGAACUAUGUAGACAUGACCGAGACACGUCUCCAGUCAAUAACCAAUAGCGGAACCUGGAUGCUCAUAUUGGCUCCCACAUAUUGUACGAAGAUCUUUAUCAGUCAAACCGCAUAACAACAUACGUUGUUCCCUUUGUCAUCGGUAUGUUACUUGCCCGAGAUUCGAUCGUCGGUAUCUCAAUACCUAGUUCAAUCUCAUUACCGGCAAGUCUCUUUACUCGUUCCAUAAUACAUCAUCCCGCAACUAGCUCAUUAGUUGCAAUGCUUGCAAGGCUUAUAGUGAUGUGCAUUACCGAGUGGGCCCAGAGAUACCUCUCCGACAAUCGGAGUGACAAAUCCUAAUCUCGAAAUACGCCAACCCAACAAGUACCUUCGGAGACACCUGUAGAGCACCUUUAUAAUCACCCAGUUACGUUGUGACGUUUGGUAGCACACAAAGUGUUCCUCCGAUAAACGGGAGUUGCAUAAUCUCAUAGUCAUAGGAACAUGUAUAAGUCAUGAAGAAAGCAAUAGCAACAUACUAAACGAUCGAGUGCUAAGCUAACGGAAUGGGUCAAGUCAAUCACAUCAUUCUCCUAAUGAUGUGAUCCCGUUAAUCAAAUGACAACUCAUGUCUAUGGCUAGGAAACAUAACCAUCUUUGAUCAACGAGCUAGUCAAGUAGAGGCAUACUAGUGACACUCUGUUUCUCUAUGUAUUCAUACAUGUAUCAAGUUUCCGGUUAAUACAAUUCUAGCAUGAAUAAUAAACAUUUAUCAUGAUAUAAGGAAAUAAAUAAUAACUUUAUUAUGGCCUCUAGGGCAUAUUUCCUUCAGUCUCCCACUUGCACUAGAGUCAAUAAUCUAGUUCACAUCGCCAUGUGAUUUAACAUCAAUAGUUCACAUCACCAUGUGAUUAACAUCCAUAGUUCACAUCGUCAUGUGACCAACACCCAAAGGGUUUACUAGAGUCAGUAAUCUAUUUCACAUCGCUAUGUGAUUAACACCCAAAGAGUACUAAGGUGUGAUCAUGUUUUGCUUGUGAGAUAAUUUCAGUCAACGGGUCUGUCACAUUCAGAUCCGUAAUUAUUUUGCAAAUUUCUAUGUCUACAAUGCUCUGCACGGAGCUACUCUAGCUAAUUGCUCCCACUUUCAAUAUGUAUCUAGACUGAGACUUAGAGUCAUCUAGAUUAGUGUCAAAACUUGCAUCGACGUAACCCUUUACGACGAACCUUUUGUCACUUCCAUAAUCGAGAAACAUAUCCUUAUUCCACUAAGGAUAAUUUUGACCGCUGUCCAGUGAUCUACUCCUAGAUCACUAUUGUACUCCCUUGCCAAAAUCAGUGUAGGGUAUACAAUAGAUCUGGUACACAACAUGGCAUACUUUAUAGAACCUAUGGCCAAGGCAUAGGGAAUAACUUUCAUUCUCUUUCUAUCUUCUGCCGUGGUCGGGCUUUGAGUCUUACUCAAUUUCACACCUUGUAACACAGGCAAGAAACUCUUUCUUUGACUGUUCCAUUUAGAACCACUUCAAAAUCUUGUUAAGGUAUGUACUCAUUGAAAAAACUUAUCAAGCGUCUUGAUCUAUCUCUAUAGAUCUUGAUGCUCAAUAUGUAAGCAGCUUCACCGAGGACUUUCUUUAAAAAACUCCUUUCAAACACUCAUUUAUGCUUUGCAGAAUAAUUCUACAUUAUUUCCGAUCAACAAUAUGUCAUUCACAUAUACUUAUCAGAAAUGCUGUAGUGCUCCCACUCACUUUCUUGUCAAUACAGGCUUCACCACAAGUCUGUAUAAAACUAUAUCCUUUGAUCAACUUAUCAAAGCGUAUAUUCCAACUCCGAGAUGCUUGCACCAGUCCAUAGAUGGAUCGCUGGAGCUUGCAUAUUUUGUUAGCACCUUUAGGAUUGACAAAACCUUCUGGUUGCAUCAUAUACAACUCUUCUUUAAUAAAUCCAUUAAGGAAUGCAGUUUUGUUUAUCCAUUUGCCAGAUUUCAUAAAAUGCGGCAAUUGCUAACAUGAUUCGGACAGACUUAAGCAUAGAUACGAGUGAGAAACUCUCAUCGUAGUCAACACCUUGAACUUGUCGAAAACCUUUUGCGAUAAUUCUAGCUUUGUAGAUAGUAACACUACUAUCAGCGUCCGUCUUCCUCUUGAAGAUCCAUUUAAUCUCAAUGGCUCGCCGAUUGGGCAAGUCAAUCAAAGUCCAUACUUUGUUCUCAUACAUGGAUCUCAUCUCAGAUUUCAUGGCCUCAAGCCAUUUCGCGGAAUCUGGGCUCAUCAUCGCUUCCCCAUAGUUCGUAGGUUCGUCAUGGUCAAAUAACAUGACCUCCAGAACAGGAUUACCGUACCACUCUGGUGUGGAUCUCACUCUGGUUUACCUACGAGGUUUGGUAGUAACUUGAUCUGAAGUUACAUGAUCAUCAUCAUUAACUUCCUCACUAAUUGGUGUAGGAGUCACAGGAACAGAUUUCUGUGAUGAACUACUUUCCAAUAAGGGAGCAGGUACAGUUACCUCAUCAAGUUCUACUUUCCACCCACUCACUUCUUUCGAGAGAAACUCCUUCUCUAGAAAGGAUCCAUUCUUAGCAACGAAUGUCUUGCCUUCGGAUCUGUGAUAGAAGGUGUACCCAACUGUCUCCUUUGGGUAUUCUAUGAAGACACAUUUCUCCAAUUUGGGUUUGAGCCUAUCAGGAUGAAACUUUUUCUUAUAAGCAUCGCAACCCCAAACUUUAAGAAACGACAACUUUGGUUUCUUGCCAAACCACAGUUCAUACGGUGUCGUCUCAAACAGAUUUAGAUGGUGCCCUUUUUUACGUGAAUGCAGCUGUCUCUAAUGCAUAACCCCAAAACUAUAGUGCUAGAUCGGUAAGAGACAUCAGAUAUCGUACCAUAUCUAAUAAAGUACGGUUAUGACGUUCGGACACACCAUUACACUGUGGUGUUCCAGGUGGCGUGAGUAGUGAAACUAUUUCACUUUGUUUUAACUGAAGGCCAAACUCGUAACUCAGAUAUUUUACCUCUGCGAUCAUAUCGUAGAAACUUUUAUUUUCUUGUUACGAUGAUUCUCCACUUCACUCUGAAAUUCUUUGAACUUUUCAAAUGUUUCAGACUUGUGUUUCAUUAAGUAGAUAUACCCAUAUCUGCUCAAAUCAUCUGUGAAGGUCAGAAAAUAAUGAUAUCCGCCACGAGCCUCAAUAUUCAUCGGACCACAUACAUCUGUAUGUAUGAUUUCCAACAAAUUAGUUGCUCUCUCCAUAGAUCCGGAGAACGGUGUUUUAGUCAUCUUGUCCAUGAGACACGGUUCGCAAGUACCAAGUGAUUCAUAAUCAAGUGAUUCCAAAAUCCCAUCAGUAUGGAGUUUCUUCAUGCGCUUUACACCAAUAUGACCUAAACGGCAGUGCCACAAAUAAGUUGCACUAUCAUUAUUAACUUUGCAUCUUUUGGCUUCAAUAUUACGAAUAUGUGUAUCACUACGAUGGAUGUAACAUCCCAAAAUUCUAAAUUUUGGAAUGUUAUAUUAAAUAAAUAAUUAUGCUUGUUUGAUUGUGGUGGGGUUGCUUGUGUGAAAUGGAGUGAAAUUUGAAACUUUUUGAAAAUUGAAUGAGAGGGAAUGAAAUGACUUUCCCAAACUUUCACCUUGCAUUUAUGAUCUCCAUGAAUUCAAAUUCAUUUCAUCACAAAACCCUAGAGUGAAGAUGAUAUGACAUCUUCCAUAUGAAUAAAUGAAAAGGGUUUUGAAAAGAUUUGAAUUCCAUCUGAAAAAUAUUUCAAAUUCAAAACUUUAUGCAACUCAAUGAUUUUCAGGAGAGAAGAUAAAAUGACUUCUUCAAUUAUAUGAAAUAUGAGUUGGAAGUAAAAAAGAAUCAAAUUGAAAGUCAUUUGAAAGUAUUGAAACUCCCUUUCAAUUUGGAAUUAUUUGGAUUUUAUUUAAAUUAUUUUUCUCCUGAAAAUAAAUAAAUGUUAAUAAGGGUAAAAUGAUUCCCUUCAAUGGAAAAUUAGGAGAAAAUAAAUUUGAAAUCAUUUUGGUAUUUUAAAAAUGAUUUUUGUUGGGUUUUAAUGCAACAGUAGCACUAUUUGCUUUAUUUGAAUUUUUGUAGAUUUUAUUUGCCUCUGAAAAUGUGUUCAUGUUUUAGAAAUUAUUUUUCUGAAACUUUUGAUAUAUUAUAUUCCUAUAUAAUAUAUUUAUUUAUUUAUUUGUGUUGUUUUAUUUUCUGUGUUUUGUUAAAAAGAAAAAAAAAGCAAACGGCCGAAGCCACCGAGGCCCAUCUCUUUGUCUCUCCCCUAGCUACCGAAUGGGCCAGCCCAAUUCCCCAGCACCUCGCCCCCCUUGCGAAAACCCUUCGCGCAGGUCGCCCGCUCCCUCUCGCUCUUGCCCGCAGCCACUGACGCGUGGGGCCCACCGUCUUCUUCCUCCCCACGCCAAGUCGCGCCGCCGCCGCCGGAAUCCCGAUCUUCUCGGGAUCACGAAUCCCCUCGCCCCCUCCUCCAAGAACUCCUCCCCCUAUAAAUACCCCUCUCCCUCGACCCGUUCCCCUCCUUUCCCCUCACCGAAACCCCUUGCCUCGCCCGUAAUCUCUCGCCGGAGCCGAGCACCGCCGCCGCACCAUUGAUGCCCUAGAGCCCGCCUCCGACCUCCCCGAGACCCGCCGCCACCACCAUCGUGAUCCCCUCCCUCGACUACACCUUCCCAACAACUCGCCUGAGCCGCAAAACCACCGGAUCGCCAUCGUCGUUGAUCACCGACGCCAUCUGCCGCCUCGAGCUUGUCGUCGACCACCUCCGACCAUCUCUUCUGACUCCACGACCACCGUUGGACUCGUCGUCGCCCGCUACAUCGCCCCGACCCCUCCAUCUUCAUCGCGGACGACCGGAGCGCCACCGCCACCGACGUCCGAGCCGCCACCGCCGACGACGACCUCGCCGGAGACGCCACCACCGCUGUAAGCAACCUCCACCGUCCGAUAUGUUAUUGACGGCAUAGAUUAGAUCUAACGAACGGUUACGUUUUAUUUAUUAGAUCGGUUUAGUUCUGGUUAGUUACGGUUUUAUUAGGUUUAGAUCGGUUCAAAUCUAGCCGGUUUAGCCGAGCGUUUUUUUUUUCUGUUUAACCGUACGCGUUUUAUUUAGUUUAUGACCGAGCGUCAUUCAGUUGAGAUCGCCCAUUGCUUAGGCCCAAUAGCAGCCCGACGCGUAGUACCUGCCCGUUUUUUUUUUAUUUUCGUUUCUGUUUUAAAAACAGAAAUAGUUUCAAUUUUAGAUUGCUUAUAACUUUUAUGUUUUAGGUUCAAUUUGAGUGAUUCUUUUUGCAUUGUGUCACAAAUUUGUUGAAGCUUUUGUUUGCGUAAUUAGUUUGCAAAUUUGAGUGGUUUAAAUUUGAAUUAUUUCAAAUAUGCUUCAAACACUGUUUUGGCUCUAGUUUGAGUUUUAUAAAAUAUUUUUGAUUGAUUCUUUUUGCUACUGUUUUAUUAUGAUUUUGUCUAUCCAGUAGGAUAUAGUUAUUUAUUUUUAGUUUAAUUUUAAAUUAAGUUUUUAGCAAAACAGUACUGUUUUAGUUAUAGUGUUGUUUUAGUCUUUUCUUUAUUGUUUUAUUAGUUUUAAAUUAUUUCUGUUUGUCACUUUUGACAAAUUUAGUUUUGUUUCUGUUAGUCAACCAAAGAAAAUUUUAUUUUUAUUUCAAAAAAUUAUUUUAUUUAGUUUUGUACGAAAACUUGUUUAGGUCAUAGUUAGUGUUUCAUAAAAGCUUUUUAUUUGUUUCUUUUUGCAAAUAAAAUUUUAUGAAAAAUACCUUCUGUUAACUUAGUUGUUUCACUUUGUAUUUUCUGUUAAUUUAUAAGUUUAGUGUUUUAAUUGUUGUUAAGUUUUUACUUAGGACAAAACUAUUUUGUGUUAUGUCUUAGAGUUUUCUUUAUUAGUUUUGUAGUUGUCCUUUGUUCUUAUUUGGUGUCCCUUGUUGUUUUGCAAUUUAUUUGUUGGUUUUAUUAUGAGUGUUAGAAUUGCUUGCUAGUAUGUUUGCUUAUAUGAAUGCUAUGUUUGACUAUAUAGAUUUUCAACGGAGUGACGAAUAGUUCUACCAAGUCAUUAUUCUGAGAGUGUUGUUAUCUUCAUCAAGUAAUACCAGGCAAGUUCACUUUGACCAUGUUUUUCAUACCUAUGUUUUAUUGCAUUUAGUGUCAUCUUUGCAACAAUCCCUCCAGUAGUGAUAUUGAAUUCUUGUAGUUGAGUAGUAUGCAUGAGGUAGGAACCCAUCACCCUCUUACCAAGCCCGGGACGUUAUUUAUUUUAAUGCUACGCUAUAGUAGACGGGGUUUGGUAUGAGUGCACGAGAGUGGUGUGAAGAAGGAGGACUCUACGUCAAUGACGACAACUCCAUGAUGGCAUAUGCGAGGACUGCAUCUUCAAGGCCUCAAGACUUCAAGACUCGAGACAAGAAUUCAAUACACACUACUGGGUGAAGGACGGUUGACGGGCACCCUGGAGAAACCAGUGGAUGGCCGGGAUGCAUGGAGAAGCGCCAUGACAUCUUGUGGAAAGCUUCACCCAGACUCAAAGAGACGGAAGAAUACUUCAUGCCCGGAAGCUUACCUGUGCAACCGCAAGUCACUAUGGGCUCUGGCUUGGUUGACCUUAGUUGUGACUCUGGCUGGGACGGUGCUAGCAGAUGUAGAACUACGGUAGGAUUGGAUGAGCACCGGACAGUGGUCAGAGGAACUCUUUGGAAGACCAUGUUUCGGUCAUCUUGUUCUCAAACACCCUGAAGUGCGAGAACGUAAAAAGAGGGAUCGAAUCUUGCGGGUAAAGUGUACAAACCUCUGCAGAGGGUUUAAACCUAAUCGAUUAGCCGUGUCCCCGGUUAUGGACAAUUUGCGCCUCUUGACUUGGAUCUAUCUCGGAACUCUCAACACCGGACUGAUAGCAUAAUUGUGGGCAAGUUAUGAUGAUUUUGGGCCAUGAGAUAUCGGUUGGCAGAACCAUGUCAUGAUAGAAAACUCCGUAGUACAGACUCUUGAUGUUCCUUUGUUAUAGGAAAAUAAAACCAGCUUUUACGCAAACAAAACUCAGAUACAGAGCCACAAAGCCAUAUUGCAUAUAGUAUAGUUAAUCAUCUGUUUUUAUUAUAGUGAUCUUGCCGGUACAUUCAAUGUACUGACCUACACGGCUGCAACGUAUCAUGUUGCAGGAUUAUUUCUACGACGAGUGAGUUUCAUUGAUUGGGUUACGGUCUACACUCAACCUGCCGAUGGCGUUGAUGGGACGCCACACCCGAUUGUUUGUUUCCGCUGAGAUUUAUGAGGUAUAUACCAGUUUUACAUUAUUUAUACAUGUGAUUGCACUUUGAUAUAUACAUUGAUGUACUGUGUGUGCCAGCAUAUUGAUCCAGGGAUGGCACAGAUACACAGAGACUUGACCGUCUGAGGUCGGGUCGCUACAGAUAUGGUAUCAGAGCACAUGUUGACUGUAGGACGUGACCCUAGAAACUGGAAAGCCCUAGGAUAGGAUAUCUCUAAAACUUUAUUUUCAAAAAGACUCUUACUUCUCGUCUUUUCUGAUUUUUUCAAGUAGUCCCUCUUACCUCCAAUAGCCGGAGUAUACCCUUUUUCCUUUGGACCACACGGAGGAUCAACUGAUGUCACUCCAAGAAGUGCAAGAUAUCGGACAAAUGAUGACCAACUCAGAGUAAAGAGGAUUACACUAUAUAUUUCGGAGGAAAGAAGCUAUAGCAGUUGAAGACUCUGAAGGCUUGAAGAAUUCAGAGACUCUGAAGAUUGAUUUGACCUUUAGAAGACCAAACCCCUGUUAUAUAUACUUAUGUUAGAUACAAUGAUUUGUGAGCUGUCAUUUGUAUGAUGUUUUUCCGACAGCCGCAAAUAAAACCUAUUUUAAAAACUAUUGUUUGUAUUGUGUGUAUAUCGCUCUAUUCUUCUCUCUUCUCUCACCCUAAAACCCUUGGACCCAAUAGGUGAUGAAUGAAGAAGGACUGAUAUUCUCUGGACCGGUGACUCAGCCGAAGGCAGAGCUAUGGAUUAAAAACAUGGAGGAUCACUUCAAAAAAAAAUGAUUUCAAGGAAGUAUGAGGUUCAAGAUGCUAUUUAGUAUUUUACCGAGAGUGCUGCAACCUGGUGGAAAAUGCAUCAAGCCAUACAAGGAUGCAACGGAGCAAAAACUUGGGAGGAAUUCAAGAAGACUCUGUUGAGAUCUUGUCUUAUUGGGAAGAACUAUGAUAACCCGAAGAAGAAACCUUGUGCCUGCAAGAUUUGCGGAGAAAUAGGACACACCCAGGAGGAACACAAGGAUGGAUGCCCUCAUUGUGAGGAGAAUCAUCCAGAUGAAGAAUGCCCCACUAGGCAGGUGACUUGCUUGUUGUGUGAAGGAACUACACACGACUCUGGUUAGUGUCAUAUUUAUCCCAAGGUACAAGAAAUUACCAAGCAGCAGAAAGAAGCCAUGAAAGAAACCCUCAGGGAAAAUUCAGAAGAACCUGUGAUGAAGGAAGUUAUUGAAGACCCUGAUGGUGAAGGCCUAAACAGAUUUUCGCCCAAGCCUGCUAUUCAUGUGGAGAAGAAGGACAUUUUUCAGAGUAUUGCACGAAGGAAAGCCAAGAGUAUCUCAGAGACUUCCCGACAGCAGAAGUAAAGUUUGACCCUCAGGAAAUAGAAGCUCUGAUCAUUACGGAGAAAUCUAGAAAGAGAAAAUGAAGGCAUACCCAGAACACCCCAAUUUCUACAGGAAAGGACCUGAGUCAGAUCACUUGUUACAAGUGCAAGACCUUAGGUCACUAUGCCAAUAAAUGUCCAGAAAAGAAGCCAAGAAUCCAAGGAGCCUACAUAAUCACAAAGAAGCCCCGAGACAUUUGUUUUCGCUGCAAGGAAGCAGGACAUUUUUCUAGGGAAUGUUCAAAUCAGAAGAAAGCUGGAGCUGAGUAGUUGAGAUUUUGAUAUGGAUAAUAAGAGUGGUAGAAAGCAAUCUUAUUUUCAUAAGUCGAUGAGUUGAGUUAUGUAAUGGGUGCUCAGAGAUUGUAAUGAAUUCAUGAAAUCAAUAAUGUUAAUGUGUCAUGAUUUCAUAUGUUGAAUUUUAUGAGUUGUUACUCUAUGAACAAAGAUUUUGACCAUUUUCGAGGAUAUGAGAAAUAUGGUCCAUGGAUGAAAUUGUGCAUUUCAUUUUAAGGGUGCUAGUACCCUGUAAGAACGCCCGACCAAUGGAAAAGGAAAUGUGUCCCACAGAUUGGAGUUUGGACAAAAAAUAGUUGGAGUUUUUCUUUUGAUACGAUGGUUAUGAAGAAACGAAGUACUAUUGGAUUUAAAGGAGGUGUAAUAUGGAACAAGAGUUACUCCAAGGAUGAGUUAAACUUGUACAAGUGUUGAAGUGAGCCAAGAUUUGAAAAGGAACAUACAUAACCUUGAUGAAGGAAGAAAUUUGGAAGAAUCGGUGAUUCAAUCAGCAUGCGUUUCCUAGGAGGAUACGCAAAAGCAUGAGAGCCAUGAAGAACGAUAGAUGUAUGGUUCAGCUUGCAGAACCAAUGGAAUUAUCCGAACUAAGUUCGUCGACAAGAGAAAUUCUGCAAUGCUUGUGAGAAUUCCCGAGUGUUAGAAAUGCGAGAUUCGCUAAACCUUAUACAGAGUAAUGAUUUGGGUGCAGAAUGGAUUGAUCACCAUACCGACUUACUCUGGUCAUUCGCUCUUGCUAUUUGGAAUGGUAAAUCUGAGUGACUUACCCAUAGUAGAGAGACGACGAUAUCAAACCUUGUUUAAACCAUAGAAUGCUAGAACGAUGGAUCCCUAUAACAGGCAACCGGUGCCAAUCGUAGGAUAUACGGUGAGAUUCAACCCAAACCCUUUUCUGCAGGAGAAACCAUUAAUUGUUGACCACCAUGAGAUUUCGCUAAUUAAUUAGAAUUGGCGACACACCUGUCAGAUAUGAAGACCCAGUCUCGGAAGAACCUCACCAGGAUGAAAGGACACGAGUUUGAGGAAAAGGUUAUGCCCUACUGGAAGAGCCCCAGUGUAGGAGUUACUCCGAAGAUGUGAGAAGACCGAUAGUGUCCAAACUAAGGAUGGAGUACAUAAGAUCUGUUGGAACCAUAGCCCUGUUUUUAAGUGUGGUAGCACACUAGACCAUUCUGAUUGAUGGAUUUGCUAGAAGACCCCCAAACCCUAACCUUUCUUGCUAGCCUCUUCGAAUCUCGAGGACGAGAUUCAUUUUAAGUGUGGUAGGUUUGUAAUAUCCCAAAAUUCUAAAUUUUGGAAUGUUAUAUUAAAUAAAUAAUUAUGCUUGUUUGAUUGUGGUGGGGUUGCUUGUGUGAAAUGGAGUGAAAUUUGAAACUUUUUGAAAAUUGAAUGAGAGGGAAUGAAAUGACUUUCCCAAACUUUCACCUUGCAUUUAUGAUCUCCAUGAAUUCAAAUUCAUUUCAUCACAAAACCCUAGAGUGAAGAUGAUAUGACAUCUUCCAUAUGAAUAAAUGAAAAGGGUUUUGAAAAGAUUUGAAUUCCAUCUGAAAAAUAUUUCAAAUUCAAAACUUUAUGCAACUCAAUGAUUUUCAGGAGAGAAGAUAAAAUGACUUCUUCAAUUAUAUGAAAUAUGAGUUGGAAGUUAAAAAGAAUCAAAUUGAAAGUCAUUUGAAAGUAUUGAAACUCCCUUUCAAUUUGGAAUUAUUUGGAUUUUAUUUAAAUUAUUUAGCUCCUGAAAAUAAAUAAAUGUUAAUAAGGGUAAAAUGAUUCCCUUCAAUGGAAAAUUAGGAGAAAAUAAAUUUGAAAUCAUUUUGGUAUUUUAAAAAUGAUUUUUGUUGGGUUUUAAUGCAACAGUAGCACUAUUUGCUUUAUUUGAAUUUUUGUAGAUUUUAUUUGCCUCUGAAAAUGUGUUCAUGUUUUAGAAAUUAUUUUUCUGAAACUUUUGAUAUAUUAUAUUCCUAUAUAAUAUUUUUAUUUAUUUAUUUGUGUUGUUUUAUUUUCUGUGUUUUGUUAAAAAGAAAAAAAAAAAGCAAACGGCCGAAGCCACCGAGGCCCAUCUCUUUGUCUCUCCCCUAGCUACUGAAUGGGCCAGCCCAACUCCCCAGCACCUGGCCCCCCUUGCGAAAACCCUUCGCGCAGGUCGCCCGNNNNNNNNNNNNNNNNNNNNNNNNNNNNNNNNNNNNNNNNNNNNNNNNNNNNNNNNNNNNNNNNNNNNNNNNNNNNNNNNNNNNNNNNNNNNNNNNNNNNNNNNNNNNNNNNNNNNNNNNNNNNNNNNNNNNNNNNNNNNNNNNNNNNNNNNNNNNNNNNNNNNNNNNNNNNNNNNNNNNNNNNNNNNNNNNNNNNNNNNNNNNNNNNNNNNNNNNNNNNNNNNNNNNNNNNNNNNNNNNNNNNNNNNNNNNNNNNNNNNNNNNNNNNNNNNNNNNNNNNNNNNNNNNNNNNNNNNNNNNNNNNNNNNNNNNNNNNNNNNNNNNNNNNNNNNNNNNNNNNNNNNNNNNNNNNNNNNNNNNNNNNNNNNNNNNNNNNNNNNNNNNNNNNNNNNNNNNNNNNNNNNNNNNNNNNNNNNNNNNNNNNNNNNNNNNNNNNNNNNNNNNNNNNNNNNNNNNNNNNNNNNNNNNNNNNNNNNNNNNNNNNNNNNNNNNNNNNNNNNNNNNNNNNNNNNNNNNNNNNNNNNNNNNNNNNNNNNNNNNNNNNNNNNNNNNNNNNNNNNNNNNNNNNNNNNNNNNNNNNNNNNNNNNNNNNNNNNNNNNNNNNNNNNNNNNNNNNNNNNNNNNNNNNNNNNNNNNNNNNNNNNNNNNNNNNNNNNNNNNNNNNNNNNNNNNNNNNNNNNNNNNNNNNNNNNNNNNNNNNNNNNNNNNNNNNNNNNNNNNNNNNNNNNNNNNNNNNNNNNNNNNNNNNNNNNNNNNGACCCGUUCCCCUCCUUUCCCCUCACCGAAACCCCUUGCCUCGCCCGUAAUCUCUCGCUGGAGCCGAGCACCGCCGCCGCACCAUUGAUGCCCUAGAGCCCGCCUCCGACCUCCCCGAGACUCGCCGCCACCACCAUCGUGAUCCCCUCCCUCGACUACACCUUCCCAACAACUCGCCUGAGCCGCAAAACCACCGGAUCGCCAUCGUCGUUGAUCACCGACGCCAUCCGCCGCCUCGAGCUUGCCGUCGACCACCUCCGACCAUCUCUUCUGACUCCACGACCACCGUUGGACUCGUCGUCGCCCGCUACAUCGCCCCGACCCCUCCAUCUUCAUCGCGGACGACCGGAGCGCCACCGCCACCGACGUCCGAGCCGCCACCGCCGACGACGACCUCGCCGGAGACGCCACCACCGCUGUAAGCAACCUCCACCGUCCGAUAUGUUAUUGACGGCAUAGAUUAGAUCUAACGAACGGUUAUGUUUUAUUUAUUAGAUCGGUUUAGUUCCGGUUAGUUACGGUUUUAUUAGGUUUAGAUCGGUUCAAAUCUAGCCGGUUUAGCCGAGCGUUUUUUUUCUGUUUAACCGUACGCGUUUUAUUUAGUUUACGACCGAGCGUCGUUCAGUUGAGAUCGCCCAUUGCUUAGGCCCAAUAGCAGCCCGACGCGUAGUACCUGCCCGUUUGUUUUUUUUAUUUUCGUUUCUGUUUUAAAAACAGAAAUAGUUUCAAUUUUAGAUUGCUUAUAACUUUUAUGUUUUAGAUUCAAUUUGAGUGAUUCUUUUUGCAUUGUGUCACAAAUGUGUUGAAGUUUUUGUUUGCGUACUUAGUUUGCAAAUUUGAGUGGUUUAAAUUUGAAUUAUUUCAAAUAUGCUUCAAACACUGUUUUGGCUCUAGUUUGAGUUUUAUAAAAUAUUUUUGAUUGAUUCUUUUUGCUACUGUUUUAUUAUGAUUUUGUAUAUCCAGUAGGAUAUAGUUAUUUAUUUUUAGUUUAAUUUUAAAUUAAGUUUUUAGCAAAACAGUACUGUUUUAGUUAUAGUGUUGUUUUAGUCUUUUCUUUAUUGUUUUAUUAGUUUUAAAUUAUUUCUGUUUGUCACUUUUGACAAAUUUAGUUUUGUUUCUGUUAGUCAACCAAAGAAAAUUUUAUUUUNNNNNNNNNNNNNNNNNNNNNNNNNNNNNNNNNNNNNNNNNNNNNNNNNNNNNNNNNNNNNNNNNNNNNNNNNNNNNNNNNNNNNNNNNNNNNAGUUUUGUACGAAAACUUGUUUAGGUCAUAGUUAGUGUUUCAUAAAAGCUUUUUAUUUGUUUCUUUUUGCAAAUAAAAUUUUAUGAAAAAUACCUUCUGUUAACUUAGUUGUUUCACUUUGUAUUUUCUGUUAAUUUAUAAGUUUAGUGUUUUAAUUGUUGUUAAGUUUUUACUUGGGACAAAACUAUUUUGUGUUAUGUCUUAGAGUUUUCUUUAUUAGUUUUGUAGUUGUCCUUUGUUCUUAUUUGGUGUCCCUUGUUGUUUUGCAAUUUAUUUGUUGGUUUUAUUAUGAGUGUUAGAAUUUCUUGCUAGUAUGUUUGCUUAUAUGAAUGCUAUGUUUGACUAUAUAGAUUUUCAACGGAGUGACGAAUAGUUCUACCAAGUCAUUAUUCUGAGAGUGUUGUUAUCUUCAUCAAGUAAUACCAGGCAAGUUCACUUUGACCAUGUUUUUCAUACCUAUGUUUUAUUGCAUUUAGUGUCAUCUUUGCAACAAUCCCUCCAGUAGUGAUAUUGAAUUCUUGUAGUUGAGUAGUAUGCAUGAGGUAGGAACCCAUCACCCUCUUACCAAGCCCGGGACGUUAUUUAUUUUAAUGCUAUGCUAUAGUAGACGGGGUUUGGUAUGAGUGCACGAGAGUGGUGUGAAGAAGGAGGACUCUACGUCAAUGACGACAACUCCAUGAUGGCAUAUGCGAGGACUGCAUCUUCAAGGCCUCAAGACUUCAAGACUCGAGACAAGAAUUCAAUACACACUACUGGGUGAAGGACGGUUGACGGGCACCCUGGAGAAACCAGUGGAUGGCCGGGAUGCAUGGAGAAGCGCCAUGACAUCUUGUGGAAAGCUUCACCCAGACUCAAAGAGACGGAAGAAUACUUCAUGCCCGGAAGCUUACCUGUGCAACCGCAAGUCACUAUGGGCUCUGGCUUGGUUGACCUUAGUUGUGACUCUGGCUGGGACGGUGCUAGCAGAUGUAGAACUACGGUAGGAUUGGAUGAGCACCGGACAGUGGUCAGAGGAACUCUUUGGAAGACCAUGUUUCGGUCAUCUUGUUCUCAAACACCCUGAAGUGCGAGAACGUAAAAAGAGGGAUCGAAUCUUGCGGGUAAAGUGUACAAACCUCUGCAGAGGGUUUAAACCUAAUCGAUUAGCCGUGUCCCCGGUUAUGGACAAUUUGCGCCUCUUGACUUGGAUCUAUCUCGGAACUCUCAACACCGGACUGAUAACAUAAUUGUGGGCAAGUUAUGAUGAUUUUGGGCCAUGAGAUAUCGGUUGGCAGAACCAUGUCAUGAUAGAAAACUCCGUAGUACAGACUCUUGAUGUUCCUUUGUUAUAGGAAAAUAAAACCAGCUUUUACGCAAACAAAACUCAGAUACAGAGCCACAAAGCCAUAUUGCAUAUAGUAUAGUUAAUCAUCUGUUUUUAUUAUAGUGAUCUUGCCGGUACAUUCAAUGUACUGACCUACACGGCUGCAACGUAUCAUGUUGCAGGAUUAUUUCUACGACGAGUGAGUUUCAUUGAUUGGGUUACGGUCUACACUCAACCUGCCGAUGGCGUUGAUGGGACGCCACACCCGAUUGUUUGUUUCCGCUGAGAUUUAUGAGGUAUAUACCAGUUUUACAUUAUUUAUACAUGUGAUUGCACUUUGAUAUAUACAUUGAUGUACUGUGUGUGCCAGCAUAUUGAUCCAGGGAUGGCACAGAUACACAGAGACUUGACCGUCUGAGGUCGGGUCGCUACAGAUAUGGUAUCAGAGCACAUGUUGACUGUAGGACGUGACCCUAGAAACUGGAAAGCCCUAGGAUAGGAUAUCUCUAAAACUUUAUUUUCAAAAAGACUCUUACUUCUCGUCUUUUCUGAUUUUUUCAAGUAGUCCCUCUUACCUCCAAUAGCCGGAGUAUACCCUUUUUCCUUUGGACCACACGGAGGAUCAACUGAUGUCACUCCAAGAAGUGCAAGAUAUCGGAAAAAUGAUGACCAACUCAGAGUAAAGAGGAUUACACUAUAUAUUUCGGAGGAAAGAAGCUAUAGCAGUUGAAGACUUUGAAGGCUUGAAGAAUUCAGAGACUCUGAAGAUUGAUUUGACCUUUAGAAGACCAAACCCCUGUUAUAUAUACUUAUGUUAGAUACAAUGAUUUGUGAGCUGUCAUUUGUAUGAUGUUUUUCCGACAGCCGCAAAUAAAACCUAUUUUAAAAACUAUUGUUUGUAUUGUGUGUAUAUCGCUCUAUUCUUCUCUCUUCUCUCACCCUAAAACCCUUGGACCCAAUAGGUGAUGAAUGAAGAAGGACUGAUAUUCUCUGGACUGGUGACUCAGCCGAAGGCAGAGCUAUGGAUUAAAAACAUGGAGGAUCACUUCAAAAAAAAUGAUUUCAAGGAAGUAUGAGGUUCAAGAUGCUAUUUAGUAUUUUACCGAGAGUGCUGCAACCUGGUGGAAAAUGCAUCAAGCCAUACAAGGAUGCAACGGAGCAAAAACUUGGGAGGAAUUCAACAAGACUCUGUUGAGAUCUUGUCUUAUUGGGAAGAACUAUGAUAACCCGAAGAAGAAACCUUGUGCCUGCAAGAUUUGCGGAGAAAUAGGACACACCCAGGAGGAACACAAGGAUGGAUGCCCUCAUUGUGAGGAGAAUUAUCCAGAUGAAGAAUGCCCCACUAGGCAGGUGACUUGCUUGUUGUGUGAAGGAACUACACACGACCCUGGUUAGUGUCAUAUUUACCCCAAGGUACAAGAAAUUACCAAGCAGCAGAAAGAAGCCAUGAAAGAAACCCUCAGGGAAAAUUCAGAAGAACCUGUGAUGAAGGAAGUUAUUGAAGACCCUGAUGGUGAAGGCCUAAACAAAUUUUCGCCCAAGCCUGCUAUUCAUGUGGAGAAGAAGGACAUUUUUCAGAGUAUUGCACGAAGGAAAGCCAAGAGUAUCUCAGAGACUUCCCGACAGCAGAAGUAAAGUUUGACCCUCAGGAAAUAGAAGCUCUGAUCAUUACGGAUAAAUCUAGAAAGAGAAAAUGAAGGCAUACCCAGAACACCCCAAUUUCUACAGGAAAGGACCUGAGUCAGAUCACUUGUUACAAGUGCAAGACCUUAGGUCACUAUGCCAAUAAAUGUCCAGAAAAGAAGCCAAGAAUCCAAGGAGCCUACAUAAUCACAAAGAAGCCCCGAGACAUUUGUUUUCGCUGCAAGGAAGCAGGACAUUUUUCUAGGGAAUGUUCAAAUCAGAAGAAAGCUGGAGCUGAGUAGUUGAGAUUUUGAUAUGGAUAAUAAGAGUGGUAGAAAGCAAUCUUAUUUUCAUAAGUCGAUGAGUUGAGUUAUGUAAUGGGUGCUCAGAGAUUGUAAUGAAUUCAUGAAAUCAAUAAUGUUAAUGUGUCAUGAUUUCAUAUGUUGAAUUUUAUGAGUUGUUACUCUAUGAACAAAGAUUUUGACCAUUUUCGAGGAUAUGAGAAAUAUGGUCCAUGGAUGAAAUUGUGCAUUUCAUUUUAAGGGUGGUAGUACCCUGUAAGAACGCCCGACCAAUGGAAAAGGAAAUGUGUCCCACAGAUUGGAGUUUGGACAAAAAAUAGUUGGAGUUUUUCUUUUGAUACGAUGGUUAUGAAGAAACGAAGUACUAUUGGAUUUAAAGGAGGUGUAAUAUGGAACAAGAGUUACUCCAAGGAUGAGUUAAACUUGUACAAGUGUUGAAGUGAGCCAAGAUUUGAAAAGGAACAUACGUAACCUUGAUGAAGGAAGAAAUUUGGAAGAAUCGGUGAUUCAAUCAGCAUGCGUUUCCUAGGAGGAUACGCAAAAGCAUGAGAGUCAUGAAGAACGAUAGAUGUAUGGUUCAGCUUGCAGAACCAAUGGAAUUAUCCGAACUAAGUUCGUCGACAAGAGAAAUUCUGCAAUGCUUGUGAGAAUUCCCGAGUGUUAGAAAUGCGAGAUUCGCUAAACCUUAUACAGAGUAAUGAUUUGGGUGCGGAAUGGAUUGAUCACCAUACCGACUUACUCUGGUCAUUCGCUCUUGCUAUUUGGAAUGGUAAAUCUGAGUGACUUACCCAUAGUAGAGAGACGACGAUAUCAAACCUUGUUUAAACCAUAGAAUGCUAGAACGAUGGAUCCCUAUAACAGGCAACCGUUGCCAAUUGUAGGAUAUACGGUGAGAUUCAACCCAAACCCUUUUCUGCAGGAGAAACCAUUAAUUGUUGACCACCAUUAGAUUUCGCUAAUUAAUUAGAAUUGGCGACAGACCUGUCAGAUAUGAAGACCCAGUCUCGGAAGAACCUCACCAGGAUGAAAGGACACGAGUUUGAGGAAAAGGUUAUGCCCUACUGGAAGAGCCCCAGUGUAGGAGUUACUCCGAAGAUGUGAGAAGACCGAUAGUGUCCACACUAAGGAUGGAGUACAUAAGAUCUGUUGGAACCAUAGCCCUGUUUUUAAGUGUGGUAGCACACUAGACCAUUCUGAUUGAUGGAUUUGCUAGAAGACCCCCAAACCCUAACCUUUCUUGCUAGCCUCUUCGAAUCUCGAGGACGAGAUUCAUUUAAGUGUGGUAGGUUUGUAACAUCCCAAAAUUCUAAAUUUUGGAAUGCUAUAUUAAAUAAAUAAUUAUGCUUGUUUGUUUGAUUGUGGUGGGGUUGCUUGUGUGAAAUGGAGUGAAAUUUGAAACUUUUUGAAAAUUGAAUGAGUGGGAAAGAAAUGACUUUCCCAAACUUUCACCUUGCAUUUAUGAUCUCCAUGAAUUCAAAUUCAUUUCAUCACAAAACCCUAGAGUGAAGAUGAUAUGACAUCUUCCAUAUGAAUAAAUGAAAAGGGUUUUGAAAAGAUUUGAAUUCCAUCCGAAAAAUAUUUCAAAUUCAAAACUUUAUGCAACUCAAUGAUUUUUAGGAGAGAAGAUAAAAUGACUUCUUCAAUUAUAUGAAAUAUGAGUUGGAAGUUAAAAAGAAUCAAAUUGAAAGUCAUUUGAAAGUAUUUUGAAACUCCCUUUCAAUUUGGAAUUAUUUGGAUUUUAUUUAAAUUAUUUUUCUCCUGAAAAUAAAUAAAUGUUAAUAAGGGUAAAUUGAUUCCCUUCAAUGGAAAAUUAUGAGAAAAUAAAUUUGAAAUCAUUUUGGUAUUUUAAAAAUGAUUUUUGUUGGGUUUUAAUGCAACAGUAGCACUAUUUGCUUUAUUUGAAUUUUUGUAGAUUUUAUUUGCCUCUGAAAAUGUGUUCAUGUUUUAGAAAUUAUUUUUCUGAAACUUUUGAUAUAUUAUAUUCCUAUAUAAUAUUUUUAUUUAUUUAUUUGUGUUGUUUUAUUUUCUGUGUUUUGUUAAAAAGAAAAAAAAGCAAACGGCCGAAGCCACUGAGGCCCAUCUCUUUGUCUCUCCCCUAGCUACCGAAUGGGCCAGCCCAACUCCCCAGCACCUGGCCCCCCUUGCGAAAACCCUUCGCGCAGGUCGCCCGCUCCCUCUCGCUCUUGCCCGUAGCCACUGACGCGUGGGGCCCGCCGUCUUCUUCCUCCCCACGCCAAGUCGCGCCGCCGCCGCCGGAAUCCCGAUCUUCUCGGGAUCACGAAUCCCCUCGCCCCCUCCUCCAAGAACUCCUCCCCCUAUAAAUACCCCUCUCCCUCGACCCGUUCCCCUCCUUUCCCCUCACCGAAACCCCUUGCCUCGCCCGUAAUCUCUCGCCGGAGCGGAGCACCGCCGCCGCACCAUUGAUGCCUAGAGCCCGCCUCCGACCUCCCCGAGACCCGCCGCCACCACCAUCGUGAUCCCCUCCCUCGACUAUACCUUCCCAACAACUCACCUGAGCCGCAAAACCACCGGAUCGCCAUCGUCGUUGAUCACCAUGUUUCGUUCAUCUUGUUCUCAAACACCCUGAAGUGCGAGAACGUAAGAAGAGGGAUCGAAUCUUGCGGGUAAAGUGUACAAACGUCUGCAGAGGGUUUAAACCUAAUCAAUUAGCCGUGUCCCCGGUUAUGGACAAUUUGAGCCUCUGGACUUGGAUCUAUCUCGGAACUCUCAACACCGGACUGAUAACAUAAUUGUGGGCAAGUUAUGAUGAUUUUGGGCUAUGAGACAUCGGUUGGCAGAACCAUGUCAUGAUAGAAAACUCCGUAGUACAGACUCUUGAUGUUCCUUUGUUAUAGGAAAAUAAAACCAGCUUUUACGCAAACAAAACUCAGAUACAGAGCCACAAAGCCAUAUUGCAUAUAGUAUAGUUAAUCAUCUAUUUUUAUUAUAGUGAUCUUGCCGGUACAUUCAAUGUACUGACCUACACGGCUGCAACGUAUCAUGUUGCAGGAUUAUUUCUACGACGAGUGAGUUUCAUUGAUUGGGUUACGGUCUACACUCAACCUGCCGAUGGCGUUGAUGGGACUCCACACCCGAUUGUUUGUUUCCGCUGAGAUUUAUGAGGUAUAUAUCAGUUUUACAUUAUUUAUACAUGUGAUUGCACUUUGAUAUAUACAUUGAUGUACUGUGUGUGCCAGCAUACUAAUCCAGGGAUGGCACAGAUACACAGAGACUUGACCGUCUGAGGUCGGGUCGCUACAAUGGAGAUCCAACGAACCAUUUUCAUUGGGUGUGAAACCAUAUAAGGUUUUAUUCAAGUAAACAAAACAACAAUUAUUCUCUAACUUAAAUGAAUAACCGUGUUGCAAUAAACAUGAUCAAAUCAUAUUUAUGCUCAACGCAAACACCAAAUAACAUUUAUUUAGGUUCAACACUAAUCCCGAAAGUAUAGGGAGUGUGCGAUGAUGAUCAUAUCAAUCUUGGAACCACUUCCAAUACACAUCGUCACUUCAUCUUUUACUAGUCUCUGUUUAUUCUGCAACUCCCGUUUCGAGUUACUACUCUUAGCAACUGAACCAGUAUCAAAUGUCGAGGGGUUGCUAUAAACACUAGUAAGUACACAUCAAUAACAUGUAUAUCCAAUAUACCUUUGUUCACUUUGCCAUCCUUCUUAUCCACCAAAUACUUGGGGCAGUUCCGCUUCCAGUGACCAGUUCCUUUGCAGUAGAAGCACUUAGUCUCAGGCUUAGGUAUAGACUUGGGCUUCUUCACUUGAGUAGCAACUUGCUUGCCGUUCUUCUUGAAGUUCCCCUUCUAUCCCUUUGCCCUUUUCUUGAAACUCGUGGUCUUGUUAACCAUCAACACUUGAUGCUCUUUCUUGAUUUCUACCUUCGUCGAUUUCAGCAUCGUGAAGAGCUCGGGAAUUACUUUCGUCAUCCCUUGCAUACUAUAGUUCAUCACGAAGUUCUACUAACUUGGUAAUGGUGACUAGAGAAUUCUGUCAAUCACUAUUUUAUCUAGAAGAUUAACUCCCACUUGAUUCAAGCGAUUGUAGUACCCAGACAAUCUGAGCACAUGCUCACUGCUUGAGCUAUUCUCCUCCAUCUUUUAGCUAUAGAACUUGUUGGAGACUUCAUAUCUCUCAACUCGGGUAUUUGCUUGAAAUAUUAACUUCAACUCCUGGAACAUCUCAUAUGGUCCAUGACGUUCAAAACGUCUUUGAAGUCCCGAUUCUAAGCCGUUAAGCAUGGUGCACUAAACUAUCAAGUAGUCAUCAUAUUGAGCUAACCAAAUGUUCAUAACGUCUGCAUCUGCUCCUGCAAUAGGUCUGUCACCUAGCGGUGCAUCAAGGACAUAAUUUUUCUGUGCAGCAAUGAGGAUAAUCCUCAGAUCACGGAUCCAAUCCGCAUCUUUGCUACUAACAGCUUUCAACAUGAUUUUUCUCUAGGAACAUAUCAAAAAUAAACACAGGGAAGCAACAACGCGAGCUAUUGAUCUACAACAUAAUUUGCAAAAUACUAUCAGGACUAAGUUCAUGAUAAAUUCAAGUUCAAUUAAUCAUAUUACUUAAGAACUCCCACUUAGAUAGACAUCCCUCUAAUCAUCUAAGUGAUUACGUGAUCCAAAUCAACUAAACCAUGUCCGAUCAUCACGUGAGAUGGAGUAGUUUCAAUGGUGAACAUCACUAUGUUGAUCAUAUCUACUAUAUGAUUCACGCUCGACCUUUCGGUCUCUGUGUUCCGAGGCCAUAUCUGCAUAUGAUAGGCUCGUCAAGUUUAACCUGAGUAUUCCGCGUGUGCAACUGUUUUGCACCCGUUGUAUUUGAACGUAGAGCCUAUCACACCCGAUCAUCACGUGGUGUCUCAGCACGAAGAACUUUCGCAACGGUGCAUACUCAGGGAGAACACUUUUAUCUUGAAAUUUUAGUGAGAGAUCAUCUUAUAAUGCUACCGUCAAUCAAAGCAAGAUAAGAUGCAUAAAAGAUAAACAUCACAUGCAAUCAAUAUCAGUGAUAUGAUAUGGCCAUCAUCAUCUUGUGCUUGUGAUCUCCAUCUCCGAAGCACCGUCAUGAUCACCAUCGUCACCGGCUCGACACCUUGAUCUCCAUCGUAGCAUCGUUGUCGUCUCGCCAACUAUUGCUUUUAUGACUAUCGCUACCGCUUAGUGAUAAAGUAAAACAAUUACAUGGCGAUUGCAUUGCAUACAAUAAAGCGACAACCAUAUGGCUCCUGCCAGUUGCCGAUAACUCGGUUACAAAACAUGAUCAUCUCAUACAAUAAAAUUCUGCAUCAUGUCUUGACCAUAUCACAUCACAACAUGCCCUGCAAAAACAAGUUAGACGUCCCUACUUUGUUGUUGCAAGUUUUACGUGGCUGCUACGGGCUUAGCAAGAACCGUUCUUACCUACGCAUCAAAACCACAAUGAUAGUUUGUCAAGUUGGUGCUGUUUUAACCUUCGCAAGGAUCGGGCGUAGCCACACUCGGUUCAACUAAAGUGAGAGAGACAGACACCCGCCGGUCACCUUUAAGCAACGAGUGCUCGUAACAGUGAAACCAGUCUCGUGUAAGCGUACGCGUAAUGUCGGUCCGGGCCGCUUCAUCUCACAAUACCGCUGAACCAAAGUAUGACAUGCUGCUAAGCAGUAUGACUUAUAUCGCCCACAACUCACUUGUGUUCUACUCGUGCAUAGCAUCAACGCAUAAAAACUUGGCUCUGAUGCCACUGUUGGGGAACAUAGUAAUUUCAAAAAAAUUCCUACGCACACGCAAGAUCAUGGUGAUGCAUAGCAAUGAGAGAAUAGAGUGUUGUCCACGUACCCUCGUAGACCGAAAGCGGAAGCGUUAACACAACGCGGUUGAUGUAGUCGUACGUCUUCACGAUCCGACCGAUCAAGUACCGAACGCACGGCACCUCCGAGUUCAGCACACGUUCAGCUCGAUGACGUCCCUCGAACUCCGAUCCAGCCGAGUGUCGAGGGAGAGUUUCGUCAGCACGACGGCGUGGUGACGAUGAUGAUGUUCUACCGACGCAGGGCUUCGCCUAAGCACCGCUACGAUAUUAUCGAGGUGUAAUAUGGUGGAGGAGGGCACCGCACACGGCUAAGAGAUCAAUAGAUCAAUUGUUGUGUCUAUCGGGUGCCCCCUUGCCCCCGUAUAUAAAGGAUGGAGGAGGGGAGGCCGGCCAGCCCUUAGGGCGCGCCAGAAGUGUGGAGUCCUACUAGGACUCCCUAGUCCUAGUAGGAUUCCUCCUCCCACAUGGAAUAGGACAAAGGGAAGGGAAAAGGAGAAGGAAAGAAGGGGGCGUCCCCCUUCCCUAGUCCAAUUCUGCCAGACCAUGGGGAGGGGUGCGGCCACCUUUUGAGGCCUUUCUCUCCUUUCCCGUAUGGCCCAUUAAGGCCCAAUACGAAUUCCCGUAACUCUCCGGUACUCCGAAAAAUACCCGAAUCACUCGGAACCUUUCCGAUGUCCGAAUAUAGUCGUCCAAUAUAUCGAUCUUUACGUCUCGACCAUUUCGAGACUCCUCGUCAUAUCCCUGAUCUCAUCCGGGACUCCGAACUCCUUCGGUACAUCAAAACACAUAAACUCAUAAUAUAACCGUCAUCUAACUUUAAGUGUGCGGACCCUACGGGUUCGAGAACUAUGUAGACAUGACCGAGACACGUCUCCGGUCAAUAACCAAUAGCGGAACCUGGAUGCUCAUAUUGGCUCCCACAUAUUCUACGAAGAUCUUUAUCGGUCAAACCGCAUAACAACAUACGUUGUUCCCUUUGUCAUCGGUAUGUUACUUGUCCGAGAUUCGAUCGUCGGUAUAUCAAUACCUAGUUCAAUGUCGUUACCGGCAAGUCUCUUUACUCGGUCCGUAAUACAUCAUCCCGCAACUAGCUCAUUAGUUGCAAUGCUUGCAAGGCUUAUAGUGAUGUGCAUUACCGAGUGGGCCCAGAGAUACCUCUCCGACAAUCGGAGUGACAAAUCCUAAUCUCGAAAUACGCCAACCCAACAAGUACCUUCGGAGACACCUGUAGAGCACCUUUAUAAUCACCCAGUUAUGUUGUGACGUUUGGUAGCACACAAAGUGUUCCUCCGGUAAACGGGAGUUGCAUAAUCUCAUAGUCAUAGGAACAUGUAUAAGUCAUGAAGAAAGCAAUAGCAACAUACUAAACGAUCGAGUGCUAAGCUAACGGAAUGGGUCAAGUCAAUCACAUCAUUCUCCUAAUGAUGUGAUCCCGUUAAUCAAAUGACAACUCAUGUCUAUGGCUAGGAAACAUAACCAUCUUUGGUCAACGAGCUAGUCGAGUAGAGGCAUACUAGUGACACUCUGUUUGUCAAUGUAUUCACACAUGUAUCAAGUUUCCGGUUAAUACAAUUCUAGCAUGAAUAAUAAACAUUUAUCAUGAUAUAAGGAAAUAAAUAAUAACUUUAUUAUUGCCUCUAGGGCAUAUUUCCUUCAGGUAGAACAUCAUCAUCGUCACCACACCGUCGUGCUGACGAAACUGUCGGGACCCCGAUUCCAAGUCACACCGAUCUAGCCUGUAACACCGCAUAUCACUUUGCGGCCUCACGCACGGUACUCCCACGGGUGUCGCCUUACCAUGGCCCGGGACCGUUUGCGCCUUUUGGCUCGCGUAUAUGACAAUGUCGCUAGCAUCCAUAUACAGAGAACCCGGGCCGACAUGGCUAGUCGUGAAACCAAAGCGGCACUAACGUAUGGGGACAGGCAUACAUGAAUCAACAUUGAACGUGUCGGUCAGCAACGUGCGAAUCUGGGCUGUAGCACUGGGCUAACAGGACUCCGGGAACCCGGGCUGUAGCAGGCUAGACAGGACUCCGGAUGUCACCGCGUGACAUUUCCCCGAAGGGACAGACACAGGAACGAUAUGAAUCACAUGCCGGCCAGUCAGGUGUCCAGAGCAGUAGUGCUGGGCUAGCAGGACUCUGGUGAACCGGGCUGUAGCGGACUACUAUGGCUCAAGGAGGCACUAGACUACAUUUCCCCAUAAGAGAGGCUGCUAAGGAUAGACAACUAGAUUGUCGAAUCCCACACAUACCAAGCAUUUCAAUCAUACACACAAUAUGCUCGAUAUGUGCAAAUACAACAUGGCAUCACAACAAGACUCUACGACUCAGAGUAUUUAUUCAUUAGGCUCCGAAGAGCCAGAUAUUACAAGCAUGGGUCUCAUGACCCAACAUUCAGAGCAUACAAGUCAAAGCACAUGCGGAAGCUUAACAUGUCUGAGUACAGACAUCUACAAAUGAAAAAGGCUGAGAAGCCUGACUAUCUACCAGAUCCUGCCGAGGGCACAAGAUCGUAGCUGAGGUAUCAAGCUAAACGUCGAAGUCCACACGAAACUACUAGUGAGACUGACGUCUCUCUGCAAACAUAAAAUAAGCAAACGUGAGUACAAAUGUACCCAGCAAGACUUACAUCAGAACUAUCUACAUAUGCAUCGGUAUCAACAAAAGGGGGUAGUGGAGUUUAACUGCAGCAAGCCAGCUUUGACUCGGUGGCUAUCCUAACUACGACUGCAAGUAACUCUUUUGAGGUGGCGCACACGAGUCCACAUAUUCACCAUAUCAAUACUCCACUAUGGAUCCGCUCCCGUCUCCCUACGAGAACGCCAUCCAUAGCACUCACGCUUAUCUUGCGCAUUUUAGGGUAUCCACUUUCACUUGUCUAUGAACUGUUAUAGGCAACCCAGAAGUCCUUUACCGCGGACACGGCUAUUCGAAUAGAUCAUAUUAACCCUGCAGGGGUGUACUUCGUCACACACGCUCUCGCCACUUACCACCAUGUACACGUCGUGUACCUCGGCAACCUUCAAGCGGAAGCCUGGCGAGGGAGUCGGCCACAGCCUACCUAAACACUCAAGUCUCUAGUCCAGGUUUAUCGCCUAUUCAGGUUCCAUCCGCAGGGAGUCCGGCCGAGGUUUCCACAUACGGCCCCGAACGAUGUGUGCAGGGUUCCCGAGACACCAAACGGGCGCCCGGUACACCGUGCCACAUGCCUACCGCAUCACAACCCACCCCUCGGUCAGCGCUGUCCACGGCCUCCAGCAUACUACAAACACCAGAAACUACUUGCAACUCCUGGACAGAGGACAAGGGUGAUUAAGAAGCCGAGAGGGUCCAUUGGUUUCGGGCCCAAUGCGUGGUAGUAACUGUAUCAUGGAUCACAAACACAGAACUCAGUUCCUGAGGACGGCUUCAAUGAGACAACCCACCAUGUACUCCUACAUGGCCUCUCACCGCUACCUUUACCAAAUCGUGUUCACACACUUAGCUCACACACAGUAGGACAUGUUCAUCACCAUUCCAAUUCAUCCCCGAUGAAUCAGACCCGACUCAACUCUAAGCAGUAGCAGGCAUGACAAACAAGCAUGAAUGAGUAGGCACAUCAGGGCUCAAACAACUCCUACUCAUGCUAGUGGGUUUCAACUAUUUACUGUGGCAAUGACAGGUCAUGCAGAGGAUAAGGGGUUCAACUACCGCAGCAUGUAACAGUUGAAUCGUUGUUGUCCUAAUGUAGUAAAGAGAGCAGGAGCGAGAGAGUGGGAUUGUAUCGGAAUGAACAAGGGGGGUUAUGCUUGCCUGGCACUUCUGAAGAUAGCAUUGAGUCUUCAUUAGUGUCAUCGAACUCAUCGUCGGAAACACGGCUAUCGAGAGGGGACAAUUCCGGCAACAGAGAGGAAACACAAUCAAUGCAAUGCACAAUAUGAUGCAUCAUCAUGACAUGGCAAUAUGAAUGUGUUUUGAGCUAAUGCAGCUAGCAACAUAUUAAAUGGAGUUGGUUUGAACCUUAGGUUCAAAUUCAAACUCCAUAUAAGACAUUUCAAAUGCCAUUUAUUCAAAUUGUCAUAUACAGUGGCUGUAAGUUGUUCAAACAUGCAUGAGGAUGCCAUAAACAAAUUCUUUGGAUUUUUCUGAUAAUUUUUCAUAUAUAAAUCAUUUCAUUUGGAGCUACGGUUGAAUUUCUAUGAAUUUUAGAAGUUAGGGCAUUUUCUGGAAUUUUCUGAAUUAUUUUAAAUCCAAAAAAUACUUUACUGCGUCAGCCUGACGUCAUCACUGCGUCAGCGAGUCAACGGGCUGGCUAGGGUCAAACCUGACCCGUGGGACCUGCCUGUCAGUGACUAACCCGCUAACCUAAGUUAAUUAGUGUUAAACUAAUACUAACUAAAGUGUCAGUGGGGGUUGGCCCACGCGUCAGUGACAGAGGGGAGGUCAAACCCCGGGCCGAACAGGUCAAACUCGCCGGCGACUCGACGCCGGCGAGGCCCGAGACGGCGGCGCGGCUCGGAAAGCGCCCACAGGGCACGGGCGAGGCCGUUCUUGGGCUCAUUGGAGAGCUCUUGCAGGCGCGCGUCGAAUGGUGGUAGUGGCUGGGCCUGUGGUGUCCGGAGUCGACGGCGGCGAGCUCUUUCGCGGCCGCCGGAGUUUCGGUGGGUGCGGGGUUAGCGCUGCGGCUUGCAAACAAACGGGCUAUCGCGCUAGAGUUGCUCUACGGAACGUCGCGAGUGCAACGGUCGCACGCGCGGGGCCAUUUGGUCGCCGGAGCCACGGCGGCGACGAGCUCAUGCGGCGGCGAGCUUCGGGCACGGUGGCUAGUCUAGCUAGAGCUUGAAAUCGAGCACGGAAGUAGGGGGAAACGGUUCAGGGGCUCACAGCGAGGUCGAUGAGUAGCUCAGCGUGCUCGGGGAGGCGGAGACGGCGGCGAAUCGCCGGUGAGGUUGCCGGCGGCUGAAGGUUGGGGAUGAGCUCGGGGAAGACGCUAGAGGGCUCCCGCGGUGGAAUGGGUUGGUGUUGACGACGCAGAAGGCGAUGGCGGUUCCUCUGGACCCAUCGGGGAGGCACGGGAUGGACGGUGGCCGCGGUAAUUUGCGUCGGCGACGACGAGCUCCGCUCGGGUGUGCUCGGGAGAGGGAGCAGAGGGCGAGGGAGAGAGCAGAGAGUGAGGGGGAGAGGCGAGGGGCUGCGGGGCGUCUCCGUGGCACGUCUGGAGGGGUCGGGGUCGUGCGGCUGAAGCAGGAGGUGGCAAGGCGUCGUCGGCGUGCUCGCCACGCACCUGUCUGUCCUCCUGGCAGGAGGAUGAAGACCACUCAGCCCCUGGUGGGCUGGGCCUCUUCUGCCAGGUAAGGCCCAGGUGAGGUUUCUGUCUUUCCAUAAUUUCUGUUCUGUUUUCUAUUUUGUUUUGAUCUGUUUUGAAUUAGUAAAAAUACUAACUCAUUUUGUAAAAUCCUGAUAAAAAUUGUGGGCACUUUUGAAAAUAUUUCCAACAGCCCUCAACUAGUUUCAGAAUUAUUAGAGCAUUUAAAUUAUUUAUAGGAUUUAAAUGCCCCAAUUCAAAAACAAUAUGAGUUAAUUCAAAAAUCCAAAAAUGACCAAGAAAUAGGUGCAUCAUUUUUGGCAGAGGUUUUCACCUUUAUCAAAAAUCAUGAACUUUUCUAAAGGGCAAUCUGGGUUCAUUGAAAGAUUUAAACUUGAACCUAGUUGAAUGCAUUUGGUGCUAGGGUUUCAACGUCCCCAUUUCAAGUUUCUUUGAAAAUUAAACAUGAUGACAUGAGGAACAAGCAAAGUCAGACAAGGGCUGAUCUGGGGCUGUGACAGCUCACCCCCACUAAACAAGAAUCUCUUCCCGAGAUUCAAGACGUGAGGUAAGAAGACAGAGGGACACAAGCUAACAUGAUCUUCACGAUCCAAGUUGCACUUCGUAAGAACGUUGAUUCGAUCACCAUCUUUGUCUCGAUGUCUUGCUCUGAGAACUCCAACCGACAAGACAACAAGAGGAAAGGGGAAAACUCUAGAAGGAUCGAUCUUCCCGAAUAUCGAACAACUCAAGAUCAACUCAUGGAGUGAGACGUUGAAACAUCUCCUGAGCUGAGACUCAACACAUACAUCGAGAGAGGGAUGAGGUGAGACAGAGAACGAAGAUUCAAGUCGAUAAGCACAAUUCCACGCUGAAUAAGACGGCGCAUGGUUUCAAAGUAGCGAGGAGAUAAUUGCCAUGAUUCCAUAACGGGGCACCUUAGGGAAGGGUGACUCGUAGAACUAUUCCUUAAGUGGCAAAAAGAGUUACUUUUGAUAUAGAGAUCAUUGAAACUCUUUAUACCAGCUUAAGGCAAUCACAGCAAUCGUUUGGCGGAGUUCGAAGGAAUGGCAUACCCGGACUAGAAUGGAUGAUGUGAACUACCUUGUUGAAGACAAUGCAAGGGAUGAUUUUGCUUAUCAUCGGAAAUGGAUGGGACCCAUGGUAGGAUGGCACAAUGACGGUGCAAGCUGGGAACAAAAAUGCAAAUGCUAGGAAUGAUUCUAGUAACUGGGGAGGAGCUCAACAGUAGAGAGUGAAUCUACUGUUUGAAAGGUUUGGCAUAACCGAAGGAAACUGGGAACAAUCCCAGUUAGUGCCGAUGAUAACACCUAGUGCUUGUGCGUGCUCUCAAGAACUUGAGCAUUUCCAUAUUCAUCAAGGUUGUACCAAUAUCCGUGUCAAGGAUCCUGGCAACACAACAUACUACCAUGAUGAACGGUGAUGGAGGAUGCAGGUGCAAAGGAGGACAACACUUUCUCAGAUUUCACCUUAGCGAAGCCAGGGGAGCAAAAUCUGGAUGAUCGACCGAGAGACAUUUAGCACUCCGCUUCUAAUGUUCUCCUUGAUGUUCUAGCGUAACCCAUUAGAUGUGGUUUGGUAUCUUGAACGUCAAGUAGUAGGUCGGACUUCGGGUGCGCAGAAAUCCAUAAGGAAUAACUAGUGGAAUAAAUCCUAAGAAAUCCUUAUGGGGAGGUGGCCAACUUACUCAAUCAAGAUACUACCAUAAUAGGUCUUCCGGCUGGGUGUGUUGGCCACGACAUCCACUUUACCGGUUAUCGAGAGACCAAUGUUAUAAUUCUUGGAAAAUGUUGCAACCAUCAUAUCUGCCGGAGAUUCAGAUCUGGUUGGUGUCAGGAUAUUCCAGACUCAUCAAGUCUAGAAGGAGAAUGAAAGUUUGCAACACAAAUCGACGAGAUGACGUUGCGAGAUUCUCAGGGGAUGAACUACGAUAGCAAGCUCCAAAACAUGAGCUGGUUCUGCUACAACAUGUGAACACGCUGUCCCAGACAAGCAUGACCACAUAGUAGUCUUAGAAUAAAACGCUACCGAGUUCUGAUUGGGAACCAUCAUCGAGGAUAUCGAAGUCCUUGCAUAAGGCAUGCUCUUAAGAAGGAACUUCUUCUCCUUGAACAAAUCAGUCAGUGGCUUGGUGUGCUAGGAACACAUAUAGAAUGGAGGUAGCGAGCCUAUCCAACCAUAGCAUACUUCGCACGUGCAUGACUGACUUGGGAUGGUUCCAGAAAACAAAACAAGCUUUCUUGGACUCACGGCGGCAACUUGCACCAGAUGCACGUGAAUCAGAGGAAGUCACUUCUUCCAUCCAAACAUAUCCUUCAUGAGGUAGCACGAAGAAAAUGCUAGCACAAGUUUCCAACGCUAACUUAGAUGUUCAACCCGAGUCAUGGAGAAGGUAGUAGUGUUGCUGAUGGGCUUAACAACAAUUCAUCCAGGUUUCCAUGGAGAUGGAAUUCCAUAAUUAUGUGAACAAGUGAUAGCAUUGGUCAGAGCCAAAAGAUGUAAUUGUGUAUGCUCGAGGGAUCAACCACGAGUAAGACAACAUUAUGAACAUCGUUGGUUCUGAUUUGACUUGAUGAUAGCCCAUACUCAAAUCAAAGAUUUGGGUAAGACAAUAGAUCCAACAAUUGAUCACGAAGAUCAAUCAAUGAAGAUAUCAUCUUUCUUCAACACACACACAGACACAAGAUAUCCCUUUGGAAAUGAACUAAGUUAGACAACCUUUUAUCUUCCAACUCUCCAAGUUGUUGUUUAGCUUGACCAACUAGCUCAGGGGUAUCCAACACAGAUUCUUGGAGAAGGGGUGGUUUAUUGGAAACCAAAUUGUUCACAAACUCAACAUAUCGGUCAGGGACAACCUGGUGGUACUUCCAAGAAGAUAUUUGGAAAAUCACGAUCCACCGACAUGUUAGUAAGAUCGAGAACAAUCUUGCUUUUCAGGGCAAGACGAUAUGACCGAAUAAGCAAGGACUGACACUAUCCUAACUCAUUGAUCGAAAAGUACACCGGGAAUAUGGACUAGGUAGCACGAUCAGCCUCAGGAUGGUGAUUCAAUAACCAACACGCUAAGGAUGAAAUUAUUGUCCUUUAACUACCAAGCAACAGAGUUGCUAGGAGUAUAGAUUUCACACACCACGAUUCACUUGUCAGUAUUCCGGUUACAAUAGCACGGAGAACGAAGAAUGAAUAACGAUGGCCAGAAGUAUCACUGCAACAAGAAUUCAUAAGGGUUGGUGCAAUCCUCAUGAGAUCCCUGACAUAAAGAGGGUAAUACUCGUAGGUAGAACAGAACAAAAGCUGGUUAGGCAUUUGAUCUGCGAAAUACAACUACUUUGACCCAAUCCCCAGAGAUGGACGAGGUACUGGAGUUUGUUUCUCCUAGUCAUUCCGGAUUAGAAUGGCUUGACAGACCACAAGAAUAAUAGGCAUCGAUAACACAAAUGCACAAUUACUCCUGACUAUCAAUUGAUAGACGAGGGCCAGAAAAUAACUAAAGAGGGACAACUCAAAGGAACAUAUGUUUUUCUGAGUUGUGGAUGCAUAGAUUGGUAUGUCGAACCAAGUCCAACAAGUUUCUUCUAGAUAACCCAUGCAGAAAGGUAGGACUGGCAGAGUCACAAUAUGAAUGGAGUACUCCUCAAGAGCGCCCUGGUUGUGAUCUUUUGGUUAAAAGAACUUCUGCCAUGAUGGUUCAUGGUAUUGGAAGAAUGAAAUACCACGGACCUCGAGGACUAAUGCAAAGGUUACUAAUAUCUUAAGGAGCUAGCAAAUACUAUCAACAGGAGGUGAGUGGAGUGAAUCUCGGAUUCAAACCCAGGAAUAGAAUGCCUACUAACUAAAUGGCAUCACGGGAUGCUUUCGAGAAUAAUGGCCAGAAUCAUCACACUGGGGAUGCGAGCAUUGCUAGAUUACUAAGUGGUCCUCUAAGACACCUAGGGUCAUAAUAAUAACUCCAACAUACACGACGAGGUAACGGAGUACCUCAACAGACCGAUUAGUGUGCUUAAUCCGGCCCAAAAGGACAUCAGGUACGGGAGGAAGGAAUUUGCAAAUGCAUCAGACUGUUUAGAAACCUGGGAUGACUCUGACAGCAUAACGGCUGUAAAUGCUCAAAGGGAUUGAGACAUCCUAAAAAAUGGUGGCAUAACCACUCAACAUCACAAUAUAAACUUCCGGGAUCAAUGGUCAACAUACGGUAGUAGUAGGAACUGAACUGAGGCUUAAAUCCAUCAAUCCUACGAGUCUACGGAUUAGUAACACGUGAUCCUGAUAGAAAGAUGAGAAGCCUAGUUCUUAAUCCCCGUAGAAGAGAAGAGGGUGACUCAGAUCAGAAGGGCAUAAGGUAUAAGAAGUAAAAAGAGCCUUACGUUCCCUUCCACAAUCAAUUCCCUUACAUAACUAAAGCAUUUCUAGACACAACUUCGACCAGUUUGGCUUGGUAAUCCUACAGGCAGUCAGGCUCUGAUACCAACGCUGUCGGGACCCCGAUUCCAAGUCACACCGAUCUAGCCUGUAACACCGCAUAUCACUUUGCGGCCUCACGCACGGUACUCCCACGGGUGUCGCCUUACCAUGGCCCGGGACCGUUUGCGCCUUUUGGCUCGCGUAUAUGACAAUGUCGCUAGCAUCCAUAUGACAGAGAACCCGGGCCGACAUGGCUAGUCGUGAAACCAAAGCGGCACUAACGUAUGGGGACAGGCAUACAUGAAUCAACAUUGAACGUGUCGGUCAGCAACGUGCGAAUCCGGGCUGUAGCACUGGGCUAACAGGACUCCGGGAACCCGGGCUGUAGCAGGCUAGGCAGGACUCCGGAUGUCACCGCGUGACAUUUCCCCGAAGGGACAGACAGGAACGAUAUGAAUCACAUGCCGGCCAGUCAGGUGUCCAGAGCAGUAGUGCUGGGCUAGCAGGACUCCGGUGAACCGGGCUGUAGCAGACUACUAUGGCUCAAGGAGGCACUAGACUACAUUUCCCCAUAAGAGAGGCUGCUAAGGAUAGACAACUAGAUUGUCGAAUCCCACACAUACCAAGCAUUUCAAUCAUACACACAAUAUGCUCGAUAUGUGCAAAUACAACAUGGCAUCACAACAAGAUUCUACGACUCAGAGUAUUUAUUCAUUAGGCUCCGAAGAGCCAGAUAUUACAAGCAUGGGUCUCAUGACCCAACAUUCAGAGCAUACAAGUCAAAGCACAUGCGGAAGCUUAACAUGUCUGAGUACAGACAUCUACAAAUGAAAAAGGCUGAGAAGCCUGACUAUCUACCAGAUCCUGCCGAGGGCACAAGAUCGUAGCUGAGGUAUCAAGCUAAACGUCGAAGUCCACACGGAACUACUAGUGAGACUGACGUCUCUCUGCAAACAUAAAAUAAGCAAACGUGAGUACAAAUGUACCCAGCAAGACUUACAUCAGAACUAUCUACAUAUGCAUCGGUAUCAACAAAAGGGGGUAGUGGAGUUUAACUGCAGCAAGCCAGCUUUCACUCGGUGGCUAUCCUAACUACGACUGCAAGUAACUCUUUUGAGGUGGCGCACACGAGUCCACAUAUUCACCAUAUCAAUACUCCACUAUGGAUCCGCUCCCGUCUCCCUACGAGAACGCCAUCCAUAGCACUCACGCUUAUCUUGCGCAUUUUAGGGUAUCCACUUUCACUUGUCUAUGAACUGUUAUAGGCAACCCAGAAGUCCUUUACCGCGGACACGGCUAUUCGAAUAGAUCAUAUUAACCCUGCAGGGGUGUACUUCGUCACACACGCUCUCGCCACUUACCACCAUGUACACGUCGUGUACCUCGGCAACCUUCAAGCGGAAGCCUGGCGAGGGAGUCGGCCACAGCCUACCUAAACACUCAAGUCUCUAGUCCAGGUUUAUCGCCUAUUCAGGUUCCAUCCGCAGGGAGUCCGGCCGUGGUUUCCACAUACGGCCCCGAACGAUGUGUGCAGGGUUCCCGAGACACCAAACGGGCGCCCGGUACACCGUGCCACGUGCCUACCGCAUCACAGCCCACCCCUCGGUCAGCGCUGUCCACGGCCUCCAGCAUACUACAAACACCAGAAACUACUUGCAACUCCUGGACAGAGGACAAGGGUGAUUAAGAAGCCGAGAGGGUUCAUUGGUUUCGGGCCCAAUGCAUGGUAGUAACUGUAUCAUGGAUCACAAACACAGAACUCAGUUCCUGAGGACGGCUUCAAUGAGACAACCCACCAUGUACUCCUACAUGGCCUCUCACCGCUACCUUUACCAAAUCGUGUUCACACACUUAGCUCACACACAGUAGGACAUGUUCAUCACCAUUCCAAUUCAUCCCCGAUGAAUCAGACCCGACUCAACUCUAAGCAGUAGCAGGCAUGACAAACAAGCAUGAAUGAGUAGGCACAUCAGGGCUCAAACAACUCCUACUCAUGCUAGUGGGUUUCAACUAUUUACUGUGGCAAUGACAGGUCAUGCAGAGGAUAAGGGGUUCAACUACCGCAGCAUGUAACAGUUGAAUCGUUGUUGUCCUAAUGUAGUAAAGAGAGCAGGAGCGAGAGAGUGGGAUUGUAUCAGAAUGAACAAGGGGGGUUAUGCUUGCCUGGCACUUCUGAAGAUAGCAUUGAGUCUUCAUUAGUGUCAUCGAACUCAUCGUCGGAAACACGGCUAUCGAGAGGGGACAAUUCCGGCAACAGAGAGGAAACACAAUCAAUGCAAUGCACAAUAUGAUGCAUGAUCAUGACAUGGCAAUAUGAAUGUGUUUUGAGCUAAUGCAGCUAGCAACAUAUUAAAUGGAGUUGGUUUGAACCUUAGGUUCAAAUUCAAACUCCAUAUAAGACAUUUCAAAUGCCAUUUAUUCAAAUUGUCAUAUACAGUGGCUGUAAGUUGUUCAAACAUGCAUGAGGAUGCCAUAAACAGAUUCUUUGGAUUUUUCUGAUAAUUUUUCAUAUAUAAAUCAUUUCAUUUGGAGCUACGGUUGAAUUUCUAUGAAUUUUAGAAGUUAGGGCAUUUUCUGGAAUUUUCUGAAUUAUUUUAAAUCCAAAAAAUACUUUACUGCGUCAGCCUGACGUCAUCACUGCGUCAGCGAGUCAACGGGCUGGCCAGGGUCAAACCUGACCCGUGGGACCUGCCUGUCAGUGACUAACCCGCUAACCUAAGUUAAUUAGUGUUAAACUAAUACUAACUAAAGUGUCAGUGGGGGUUGGCCCACGCGUCAGUGACAGAGGGGAGGUCAAACCCCGGGCCAAACAGGUCAAACUCGCCGGCGACUCGACGCCGGCGAGGCCCGAGACGGCGGCGCGGCUCGGAAAGCGCCCACAGGGCACGGGCGAGGCCGUUCUUGGGCUCAUUGGAGAGCUCUUGCAGGCGCGCGUCGAAUGGUGGUAGUGGCUGGGCCUGUGGUGUCCGGAGUCGACGGCGGCGAGCUCUUUCGCGGCCGCCGAAGUUCGGGUGGGUGCGGGGUUAGCGCUGCGGCUUGCAAACAAACGGGCUAUCGCGCUAGAGUUGCUCUACGGAACGUCGCGAGUGCAACGGUCGCACGCGCGGGGCCAUUUGGUCGCCGGAGCCACGGCGGCGACGAGCUCAUGCGGCGGCGAGCUUCGGGCACGGUGGCUAGUCUAGCUAGAGCUCGAAAUCGAGCACGGAAGUAGGGGGAAACGGUUCAGGGGCUCACAGCGAGGUCGAUGAGUAGCUCAGCGUGCUCGGGGAGGCGGAGACGGCGGCGAAUCGCCGGUGAGGUUGCCGGCGGCCGAAGGUUGGGGAUGAGCUCGGGGAAGACGCUAGAGGACUCCCGCGGUGGAAUGGGUUGGUGUUGACGACGCAGAAGGCGAUGGCGGUUCCUCUGGACCCAUCGGGGAGGCACGGGAUGGACGGUGGCCGCGGUAAUUUGCGUCGGCGACGACGAGCUCCGCUCAGGUGUGCUCGGGAGUGGGAGCAGAGGGCGAGGGAGAGAGCAGAGAGUGAGGGGGAGAGGCGAGGGGCUGCGGGGCGUCUCCGUGGCACGUCUGGAGGGGUCGGGGUCGUGCGGCUGAAGCAGGAGGUGGCAAGGCGUCGUCGGCGCGCUCGCCACGCACCUGUCUGUCCUCCUGGCAGGAGGAAGAAGACCACUCAGCCCCUGGUGGGCUGGGCCUCUUCUGCCAGGUAAGGCCCAGGUGAGGUUUCUGUCUUUCCAUAAUUUCUGUUCUGUUUUCUAUUUUGUUUUGAUCUGUUUUGAAUUAGUAAAAAUACUAACUCAUUUUGUAAAAUCCUGAUAAAAAUUGUGGGCACUUUUGAAAAUAUUUCCAACAGCCCUCAACUAGUUUCAGAAUUAUUAGAGCAUUUAAAUUAUUUAUAGGAUUUAAAUGCCCCAAUUCAAAAACAAUAUGUGUUAAUUCAAAAAUCCAAAAAUGACCUAGAAAUAGGUGCAUCAUUUUUGGCAGAGGUUUUCACCUUUAUCAAAAAUCAUGAACUUUUCUAAAGGGCAAUAUGGGUUCAUUGAAAGAUUUAAACUUGAACCUAGUUGAAUGCAUUUGGUGCUAGGGUUUCAACGUCCCCAUUUCAAGUUUCUUUGAAAAUUAAACAUGAUGACAUGAGGAACAAGCAAAGUCAGACAAGGGCUGAUCUGGGGCUGUGACAGCUACUCUCCAUCAACACUCGGCUGGAUCGGAGUUCGAGGGACGUCAUCGAGCUGAACGUGUGCUGAACUCGGAGGUGCCGUGCGUUCGGUACUUGAUCGGUCGGAUCGUGAAGACGUACGACUACAUCAACCGCGUUGUGUUAACGCUUCCGCUUUCGGUCUACGAGGGUACAUGGACAACACUCUCCCCUCUCGUUGCUAUGCAUCACCAUGAUCUUGCGUGUUCGUAGGAAUUUUUUUGAAAUUACUACGUUCCCCAACACUUUUCUUCGGCAAUCACGAGGGACUCGGCCAGCCGGCUGCUGGCUGCAGCACAGUCGGAGGAUUUGUUGUAGUCUCCGGCUAUGGUGAUGAUCCCCUUUGAACUCGGCAUCUUCAUCUUGAGGUAGGCGUAGUGGGGCACAGCCAUGAACUUGGCCAGGGCAGGCCGGCCAAGCAACGCGUGGUAAGGGCUCUCUAAAUCCACCACUUAAAACCAGAUUGCUUCUCGGCGGAAGUAAUCCUUGUCUCCGAAAAGAACAUCCAUUUUGAUCUUGCCGAUUGGUGAGCAGGACAGGCCGGGUACGAUGCCAUGGAACACAGUCCGGCUUGGCAUGAGUUGCUUCGUCUUGAUGUUCAGCUUCUCCAUGGUGUCAUGGUAUAGUAUGUUGAUGCUGCUCCCUCCAUCAAUCAGUACUCGGGAGAAACGGGCAGCUCGCCUUUCUAUCGCGAGGGUGGCGUCCAAUACCAACGCAUAAGAGCCGGGAGACGGCAUCACCUCUGGGUGAUCGGCCCGGCUCCAGCUGAUAGGCUUCUUAGACCAAUGCAUAAACUCUGGGUUGUUGGAGGCGACCGCGUUGACUUCUUGCUGCUGUCGGCGCCGACUGCGUCUGUCUUCAGCUUGGCUUGUGAAGACGACGUAGGCGGCAUGCUUGUUCGGGAACUCGUCUUGAAUGGCUCCGACUACUGGUCGAGCAGCCGGCUGCUGAGGGGCUGGAGGCGGCUGGGCAGCAGGUGGAGGCGGCACCAGUCCGUCGCCUUUGGAGAUUCGCGUGAGCCAAUGACACUUCCGAGUCGUAUGGUUGGAUGGCUUCGCGCCGCUGUGGAACUUGCAGGGGGCAUCAAGGGUUUGCUCGUAGGAGAAAGCCGGCUGCCAAGCCGGCCUGCCGCCCUUCUGCUUCUUGGGCAUGGGCCGCUCUGUAGGUUGUUCGUCUUCGACUGUGGCUACUUGCCGGCUGCUAGAAGGCGGCAUAGGGGCCUUGCGCUUGUGGUCGUUCGGGUGCGGGCAUCGAUUGGAGUCUCCAGCCGCCGUCUUGGGAGCCGGAGCGAGCACCUUUCCAGAGGCAUCCACUCGAAGCUCGGUCUUCAUUGAAGAGUCGGCCGUGGUGUACUUGUCUGCUAUGAUCAGCAGCUCGUCGAGGGUAGUCGGCUCGUCGCAGAGGAGUCGGUGCUUGAGGAGGGUGCCCUCUCGGCACCCGGCGGUGAAGUACUCUAUGGCCUGAACCUCGUGCACCCCUUCGCAGGAGUUGCGGAGCUCGGCCCAACGCGUGAGGUAGUCACGAGUUGAUUCGUUGGGCCCUUGGACGCACAAGGAAAACUGGCGGGGCUUGGGAGGCCGCUUGUAUGUGCUGGUGAAGUUGCGGAUGAAGACUUCCGUGAAGUCUAGCCAGCUGUUGACGCUGUAGGGCUUGAGGCUGUUCAACCAGGUGCGUGUCGUGCCUUGAAGCAUAAGCGAGACGUAUUUCACGGCAACGCGCCUGUUGCCGUUUGCUAUGCUGACUGCGGUGGAGUAGUCGAUCAACCAGUCUUCCGGCUUCAUGGAGCCGUUGUAUUUUGGCGUGUCUCUUGGGAGUGAGAACCCUUUGGGGAAGGGCUCGUCGCGGAUGCGGGGGCCAAAGCAAGGCGGGCCAACAUCAUCUUCUUCUUCUAGCACCAGGGAUCGCGCUAGGCGGUCGAUCUGAUGGCGGGCGUCAUUCUCGCCGACUCCUUCGCGGUGGCCUAGUCGGUCGCCGAGAGUCGGAUGCGUGACAGGCGGCGGGGUGGGAUAUCUCUCCCCACGAGGCGGGGGAGGAGGCGGAUUGCCUUGUCGUUCCACAGCUCGGGGGCGGCCUUCUGCGUCGCGCUCAACGGUGAGCCGAGUCCGACUGCAGCUAGCAGCCGGCUCUUUGUCUUUUCUUACGCGGGCGCCGCUUGCAGUCGGCGUCCGGGAUGUCGCGCCGUGCUCUCGGCGUGGGGGAGGACUUUCAGCGCGGGCGCCGGCUUCAUGCCGCUCUGCGGCCGCGUCGAUCAGCUGCUGGAUGCGUCUAGUCAUGUAGGGGAGCUCGUCGGCCCCCAGCCCGUUCAGCUCGUCUACGGCCGCCUGAGCGGCACGCAGGUUCUCGAGUGGCAUGGCGUAGACUGGGCGGUCUGCUCCGAGCAUGCUGGCGAUGGCCGCGCGCGCGCUUCUUGACGAUGCCGGCUCGGCUCGGCCCACCAGGAGGCGGCGUACCAAAGGCGGCGCGGUCGACUUCGCGCUGGUGAGCCUCAGUGAGGCAUCUCAUGGAUGCUAUCUUCUGGCCCUCCAUGAUGAGGGCGAGGCGGCGUGCCUCCAGUGUCUCGGCAUCGGCGUCGGCCGGGAUGGGGGCGGACAGGUCAUGUAGCGCUGCUUGUAGGGCGUCGUGGGCGUUCUCUCCUGAGGCGGCGCCAUGGCUGAUGACCAGCACCUCAGUGACAGUGCUGCCGCCACUGUCAGCUCGAGGAAGAGGGUCGUCGAUGAUCACCACGUUGGUGGGGAAGGCGUCAAGCGAUGCCGUGUCGGAGUCGACAAGCAUCGGGUCGGUGGAGCCGACCGACUCCAAAUCCACAGCAGGCUCGCUGGAGACGUGAAGCUGGUCGAGGAGGCUGACGAGGCGGCUCUCGGGGCAGUCUGUGCCCGCGUCGGACGCAGGCUCGUCGGAGAUGCGAGCCUCGCCAAGAAGAUUGGCGAGGCAGCUCGCCGCGCAGGCAUCGUCGGCGCCUUGCAGCGCGUCGGGGCAAGCGCCAUCGGGCGUGCCGGGCUGGCUACGCUCACUGGGAAGGAAAUUGGUUCCCGUUCAGAACAGGUCUCCGGACGACGGUGCACCUGGCCCCACGGUGGGCGCCAAAUGUCGGGUGGUAGGUGUGACAUAUGCCAUCGGGUGGCUUAUCAUUGUGGGAGCCAGUAAGACAUCGCCGGUGCCUGGAAACGGGAUAAGGCGAAGACAUGCACGCCGGCGAAUCUUACCUAGGUUCGGGGCUCUCCGUGGAGAUAACACCCCUAGUCCUGCUCUGCGGGGUCUCCGCAUGAUCACUAGAUCAACACAAGUGGCUACAAGUGGUUCCUUGAGCUGAUUUGCUAGAGGAGGAAGAAGGGCAAGGCUAGCUCUCCUCUUCUCUCUACGUGUUGUCUGAAACUCUAAGAGAUCAACCCUUUGCAUGGGUGCCCUGGGGGGUUUAUAUAGGCCUACCCCCAGUGGUACAAUGGUAAUCCGGCUGGAUGCGGGUCCAGGCCGUCAGUGUCUGUAUCCGCCGGCUUCUCCGCAAGCUGUUGGGGCCCGCAGACUGGUGGGUCCCGCCGGCUACUGGUUACUGUAGCCUCGCCCCUGAUGGUGAGGGCUUUGCUGAGGUAAGCAUGGCUAUAGUGCCGCCGUCCGGCGAACUCUCACUGUAGCCUUACCUCGUCUUGUCUUCUUAAUGAUGCACAUACUUCGAGGGAGUGAGGUAGCCGGCUAUUGGGAGCCGGCUACACCCCAGGCCGACUAUAAGGGGGCUUGACCGCCUUCGAGCGUCUCUCUGGCUGUAGGGGCCCACCGCCCGCGAGCCGUACUAACAACCCGUCGUGGGUGGCGUCAUGGUCAACAUGGCUACAGUGCCGCGCCGGACGGGGGAUGGCCGACCCGUACGGCGCACUAUGGCCAUGCGUGCUCCCGGAUUCGGGGGUGGCAGACUUUACUGUAGCCAUGCCCGGUCUUGUCACCGUUAUGUGGGUGCUGUCCUGGAGGGUGCAAUCUUGGCCGCUUGCCGGGAGUCGGUCUUCUUGUGGCCGGUUUCUUGGAGUCGGCCUUCUUGUGGCUGGCUUCUUGGAGUCGGCCUUCUUGCCGGCCUCUUGGAGUCGGCCUUCUUUUGGCUCUCUUCAGGAGGGUUUCAGGGUCGGGCCACCUUCCAGCAGUCGGCCUGUGAGAUGGCCGGCCAGGGGAAGGCGGCCCGUGCUUUGGGUGCUUGAAGGCUCGAUCGGCCUGAUAAUUUUUUGAAGAGCCAGGGGGAGUCGGUUAGGCUACCCGUGGUCAUUUACUCCGACACACGAUUUUGAUUUUAAUGCUAUUCUGAUCAUAUGUUGCGCCAAAUUGAAUGGUCUUGUAGGUUACACAUUCCCUCCUCUGGCGUAGUGACUCUAGUUUAGCUGUGGGAGGAGAAGCGUUGGCUUUUACAUUUCAUGUGCCUGGCCUCACAAUAGCUUUCCUUUCAUAUCUGUAAUUCGUGAGGCUGUGCUCGGAAAAGUUUAUGUUAAGCACUUUGUACGAGAACGUUUGUGAAACUAAUAAAGCCUUCUCCUCAAAUUGUCUAAAUUAUGUUUGUUCAUAUAUCAUAUUUUGGUUCUACUAGAAAAUAUGCUCGUGCGUUGCAACGGGAGAAAAACCAUCAGAUUAUGCAUAUAUGAUAGAGAUUAAAAAAAAAGUCUGAAACAUAUGCCAAGAUGAGAUCGGGACCUUUGAAAUGUGAUUUCAUAAACUACGUCCAAAUCAUGUCAUGAUGAGAUAAGGAACUUCUAAAAAGUCAUUUCAAAAGCUAAAAAUGUGAUGGUCUCAUCACGAAUUGAUUUCCUAAGGCACAACAACAAAAUAUUUUCUAGCUGAGAAAACUAUAUUGAUGGACCCUACCUAAGCUAGACUAAUGAAUGGUGUGUCUCACCUUCACCGAGGGUCACGGUGUCUACCCUGACUAGUAAAACUAUAGUACCAGAAUAAACAUAGAUGUGUAUGGAGGCAAAUUAGAUAUUUAGUCAUUUUCAUACAUCUUACAAAAACUAAUCCGUAGGAAGUUUUGUCAAUUUUUUUGGGCUAAACGCUGUGCAGAUGGAAACCUUUUUUUACGCGACUCACAUGUACUAAAUAAAAGCAUAAAACAACAUCUACAUAUAAAAAACCCUCUAUAUAAGCAGGUAAUUUUUGUUCG
rnacentral:lncRNA from 1 species